ACCAAUGGCCUCCCUCUCGUCUGCACCAUGUAUGCAUCGAGUGAAUGCUAUUUUGGUGUCAACCUCAACCCUCUUUGCAAGCCAAGUGAAGUUUCCUACACUCUCAUUCCCACAAUGGCCUACUUUGAGUUCUUGCCGGUUCAAAGGAACAAUGGGGUCAAUAGUUCUAUAUCGGUGCCCAAAACUCUCAAUGAGAAGGAACAACAAGAACUGGUUGACCUGGUUGACGUUAAGCUUGGCCAAGAAUAUGAACUCGUUGUCACCACUUAUUCAGGUAAUACAUUAAGUAAAUAUUUUAAGAGUUAUAAUAUAAUUUUACUUGCCUGCAUCUACUGAAUCUACAAAUUAAUGCUUUUGCAGGGCUUUAUCGUUAUAGAGUUGGUGAUGUGCUAAGGGUAGCAGGGUUCAAAAACAAUGCACCGCAGUUCAAUUUCAUAUGCAGGAAAAAUGUAGUUUUGUGCAUUGAUUCAGAUAAGACUGAUGAGGUUGAACUUCAAAAUGCUGUGAAGAAUGCAGUGAACCAUUUUCUGCCAUUCGAUGCAACAUUGGCUGAGUACACUAGUUAUGCAGAUACCACUACAAUUCCAGGCCACUAUGUGCUGUACUGGGAACUUAGUCUCAAUGGUACCACCCCAAUUCCUCCCUCAGUUUUUGAGGACUGUUGCUUGACAAUUGAAGAGUCCCUCAACAGUGUAUACCGCCAAGGGCGUGUAUGUGACAAAUCAAUUGGACCCCUUGAGAUCAAGAUUGUUGAACCGGGGACAUUUGACAAGCUGAUGGAUUAUGCCAUCAGCUUAGGUGCAUCAAUUAACCAGUACAAGACUCCAAGAUGUGUGAAAUUUGCUCCCAUUGUUGAGCUGUUGAACUCAAGGGCUGUGUCUAGCUUCUUCAGUCCAAAAUGUCCCAAAUGGUUUCCUGGCCACAAGCAAUGGAUCAACAUGAAUUAAGGAAAAAUCAAGGGGAUAAUACUCUUAAUUGGUAGCUUUUCAAUGGAAGUGCAUAAGAACUGUUUUUGUAAUCAUCUUAGGUAAAAGUUAAAUGAAGCCAUUCUAGAUUAACCAUCCCCUCUCAUGAUAUCAUGUUUCUUUUCCUUUCAACUUAUCUUAUAACUGUCGUUUAAUAUGCAUAGGGACUCUUGAUUUAGCCAUGUACCAAAACAGUUCAUACGCCCCCCCAAAAAAAAAUCUUUCUUUUUAUCUGUUAAUAUCCUGAUAAUCAUCACAUUUUAUGGGAAUUUGGUCUUAAUUCCAGAAAGGAAUAUAUCCUUUUACUGAAAUGGCAAACAAGAAAGGUAACUACCAUAAACACCCAUCUUUUUCCCAUUACUUUCAAGAAAAAGAAAACCAACUUUUCUUCAUUACAUUUAUUCAUUAUCUCUUGUAGUUACAAACUAAUUAAACUACUGUUUCUGAAUGUUCGAACUUGAAAUGACCAAUAAAGCUACAAACUGAAAAGCUCAAUGCACAUAUCCUGGAAUCUAAUACCUAUGCAGAACCAAGCCUAGUAGCCUGGCUUGUUAUAAAUUAAUAAAGAAACAAUGAUACCUUUUUCAGUGGAGUAAAGAGAAUCCAAUUUCUGUCAAAUGAUGAUAGGUGCUUUAGAUGAAAGACUUUAUAAAAAUUGGAAUCAAUUUACAUGCAUACUCCUUAAUGCUAGAUUAGGGUUUGAGUUUAUAAUUAGCUAAUCAGCCAAUACUUUAUCAUAUCAAAUAAAAUCACCUGACCACUCAUUGUUUCUUGUUAAAUCCCAUUCAUUAGCUUAUACUGAAAUUAGUUCAUAUGAAAUCCUCUUCAAGACUAUAACCUUUUAAGAUACAUGCAUUCGAAAGAAUGUAUGGCAAAAAUUUAAUUGUCAUAUUAAAACAUGACAAUGUAAGCCACGUGUGAGAGUGUGUCACUUGGCCCUUGCAAUCAUGUUUCAGGUCAUAAAAUUGUCCAGGAAUUUAUACAUAAUGGUCAAGGAAAAAAAACAGAACUCAGAAGACAAGAACUGUUGAUCAGGCACCAACUUUUGUCUUAAAGUGGCAGGGAGAGAUAAGGUAGAACCAGAGGCUGUUCCCUUUACUAGUACCAUUGUCUGAGAAAACAAACAAAAGCAGUUUAGUUUUUUCAAAGAACAAAUUGAGAAUCCAGACAGGCAUAAAACCCAGAAAAAGAAAAGAGAGAGAGACAAUUGAUUCAGUUUUUUUCAGAUAAAACCCAUUUUUCUAUCAAGAAAGAAAGAAAUAAAGCAAUUGAAAUUUGAAAGUGAACGAAAAGGAGAUAAGGCCCUUUUUUUGUGUGUGUGUCUGCUAGUUUAGUGUUGUGGAGGCACUGUUGCCAUGUUCAUAAAUGUGUUGGAAUAUCUCAUGAUUUCUUUACUGAUUUUACUUUUGAACACCAUUGACCAAGAUUUCUCCACUCCACAAAUCCCACCAAUCGAUUCUCAACAAAUGCAUUUUCAGCUAAAUUCAAUGUUCUUUGAUUAAUUAACUAGAGUUGAUUUCACUAGCUUGGAUUAUAAAAGAUUUUGAGCGUUUAGAUUGCCACCCAUCGUUUUAGGCGGGGAAGAAAGAAAAUAUAUAAUAUCGAUUUCUUUUAAGAUCGUUUACGCUAGUUAAUUUAAAGAAAAUAUAAAUUUAUUAAAAGAUAUAAAUACUUAUAAUAAAAUUUAUUAUUUUUAAAAAUUUGGAGAGUUUUCAACUAAGUUGAUCUUUCAAUAACUCAUGACAUAAUUUGGAUUAAAACCAUUGACAACCUUUAUAAGUAUCCAUUAUUUAUUUAUUUUUAUAUUUUUGAAUUAUCAAAAUUGAAUAUGGCAAUGACUUAAAAAAAUCACUACUUAAUUGAUUAUUCUAAUAUUUUACCAUCAGACUACAUAAAUAAUCAGUGUGUAUUUUAAUAACACAAAGUUUGUAUGUGGAAGAAGGACGAAAGUUUACAUAGAGGUGUGGAGAGCCUUUAGGUCAUAAGAGGUGCUAAGGUAGGUGUUUGUGGCUUGAGGAAGUGUUUGAGCAGAGUAACAGUGUGUAAAAUAUCCUGGGAUAGAAUGUGAUAGGAUUGGGCUAUUUAUAACCUUUAUGGUACCUAGGACCUUCAUUGUACAAGUGUCUUAUGGGGAAGAGCCAAUGAUAUAGUCAUCAAUGGCUCUUUACAUGUUUUUUUCGAUGUGAUUGAAUGAUGCAUUGUUCUAUUAGGAGGAUCUUAUGCGGCUCCUACGAUAAUUUUGAGGGUUUGUGUAUAUGCAUAUGUCGUUUUUUUUUUGUACAAGAUUGAUGCAUAUGAGUCACUGAAGGAUGCAUUGGCCGGUGUAAUUUUAUGAUUAAAACUUUCCUUUUGUAGGUUGAUGGAUCUUUGUUAUAUUUGUUGAUGAUCAUUUGGUGAAGGUUGAAGAUCUCAUUCUAAGCAAAGUGUUAGAACUAUCCUUUGCAUUAGGUAUUCGGUGAAGCUUUGAUGGUUUCUAGUUGCAAUAAAAUGGUGAUAAAAAUAUAAUUUUAAAUUAAUAAUUUAUAUCACUAUCACUUCGAUAAUUGUAGCUCCACGAUAUCAUUGUCAAAUCAUAAUUACAAUGAAAUAUUUUCAUUUAAUGGAAGUAUUUCGACAAUAAAAUCCUAGAAAAGCAUAUUACAAUCAUAAAUAAUUUAACUACUCAACUCAACUAAAUAAGAAAAUUAACUAAGUAUUAAAUAUAACAACUAACAAAUAAUUAAUAAUGAAAUUAACUAAAUACUAGAUUCAACAUCAAGGUAUAGGUACUUGAGUUGGUGUAUAGCUUAUAAGUAAUGUCUAGUUGUACCUAAGUUGAUGUAUAGCUUAUAAGUAAUAACUAAACUCUUAAUCAUCACUAUCAUCAAUCUUCACAACCUAAGUUGGUAUGUAUCUUUGUUAGAUUGCUAACUAUUCAACUAGUUAGCUAGAGUCAACUCUCAUAUUUUCCUAAGAUUUUACCAACUUGGUGUCAUUUAGAUCAACAAUGAACAUAAAUUGAAUAAUUAAUUCUUUUUGUUCUAGUUAUAAGGGCUAGAUGCAACGUCAAUUGCAAGUUGAGAAACAUUUGAUAGACAAUUGUAGCUUGCCUUAUUUGGUUAGUAUAUUUUGACCAAAAUUAUUUGUAGCUUUUAAUUGCUUAUCUUUGAGGACUUUUAGUAGCUCAUUAUUGAAGACAUAUCGUGUAAAACUCAAGCCAAGAAAGGAUUGAAUCAAUACUUUCAAUGUGAUUGAAGUUCCAAUAAAUAAAAGGUUUGAUCUUCAAGGCGUUUGAUGUCGAGAAGAUCUUUGCCAAUAUACUCUUUGUUGAAGACAUAUUCAGAGGCUACUUUUGAGGAAUUAGAUAUUCACAUUGAUUGUAUGUUAACAGAACACAUUAUGCUUAUAUAUGGGACAACUUGUUUAAGUUUAAUGUACGUGAGAGAGAGAGAGAGAGAGCAUGCAGUUGUUCAUUGAGAAACUGAUUUUCAAUGUAUAUUUGCGUAAGUAAAUUAUUUUGUUUAUCAAUUUACAACUAAGCGUCCAUGGGGAAAGACUUAGUGGGAGAGUGAUCUAGAUUGGAGUAGAGUGAGGUUGCAACUUGGUGAGUUAAACUUAAAACGCAUAUUGUAUUUUUUGAUUUAUAGUGGACUACUCUUUGGGCAAGGUUCAGCAGAUGUAGAAAGUUUUCAAACUAUGUAACUAAACUUUUGUUUCCAUAUCUUAUUUUACAAUUAUUAGUUAGUUUGUCUAGUUGCAAUUGAACAAAAAUCUAGAACCAAAUUUAAUUAAUUCUGAAUUCGAAACAUCACAUGUCAUUGAUUUGUAAUUGAGAGGAAAGGAUCAUCAAUCUCAAGAUCCCCCAUAUUGGAUGAAACAAACUAUGGCUACUAGAAGGCAAUGAUGGAAAGUUUUAAGUCUAUGGAUGAACAUGCCUAGCAUUCAAUUUUGACUAGUUAGGAAUCACCAACAACUAAUGCAUGUUGUUUGAGGACUUCCAAACCUGAAGUGACUUGAACUAGAAAUGACAAAAAUCUGAACAAUGCAAACUCCAAGGCCCUUGUUGUCAAUUUAUUUUUGUGGAGUUGAUCUUCAAAAGUUCAGGUGAAUAUCUAAAUGUACAAUUUCUAAAGAAGCUUAGACUAUUCUUGGAGCUAUUUAUGAAGGGACUAAUACUAUGAAACAAUUUAAACUUCAUUAUUGACUACAAGGUUUGAAAAUUUAAGAACGCAAAAUAAUGGAACCUUAUUUGAAAUCUAUGCAAAGUUUUGUGACAUCUCAAAUCAGGCUUUUGCCAUUGGUGAAGAAUAUUGUUUUGCAAGUUGCAACCAUAGUUGCAACGAAGGGUGAAUCUUCAAUAGAAGACUUAUAAGAGCAGAUAACCCUACUCACUAAUCAUAUUGAUAUGGCAUUUAAAAAGCUGACAAAAAGAAAUAGGAAGUUUGAUGAGAAUAAAAUUCUUGGCAAAGCAAAGGUAAAAGGAGUUGUAAUAAAUAAAAAUUCUCUCAAGGAGAAAAAAAAGGGUAUACAAUGCCAUAAGUGUUAAGGCUUUAGUCACAUUCAAUUUGAAUGUACUAGUGUCAUAGGCUACAGUUCAAAACCCAUGACCAUCACACAUAAUGCAUUCCAUGAAGGUUUAUCAUUGACAUGGGGAUCAUUUGACCCACGAGAGCUGGCCCAAUUCAAAGAGCUAUUGAAGAAACCUGUCUAUUUGAAGCCUAGGUGGCCUAAUGAUAUGGAUAUGGAAGGUUAGGCUACUUUGGCAAUUAAGGAAACUAAUAUUAGAAGAUUGAGGGAAAUCAUAUACUAUAAGAUUAGAUUUAAUUUGAUAUUGUAAAUCUUGUAAAUCCUUUGAUUGUAAGGAUAGGCUUAAUCUUGUCCUUCGAUGUAACUUGAUCUAGACUGUCGAUUUUGGGGGAGCUCAACUAUAAAUAGAGAGUUUCCCCCUCAUUUGUAAAUCAUUCAAUGAUCCAUUCAUCGAUUUUAGUCUUGUAUUCUUUGAUAAAGUAAUACAAUUAAGAGCAUUUACUCAAACAACUCUCGUGCAUAAGUUUUCUGUGGCUAUUUUGUUCUUUUGAGCCUUCUUUUGAUUGUGUUGCUUUCACUAUAUAAAUUGGUGCCUUGGAGGAUUUCUUUAUGAAUCCUUAAUUUUUUGGUGGUGAGCUUGACUUAGACAUGUUUGGAAUAAAAGGAUCGCUUAAGGCUGCACAGAUUGCGAGACUAAAGUUUUAGCCCCAUGACAAGUGGUAUUCGAGCUGAUUUGUAAAGGAUCGUUGAGAUGUUGAAAGAAUUUUCUAAUCAGAAUGAGUCAGUGGAGACCCAUUAUUUGGCAAGAAAACCAAUCCUUUUGAAGGACAAGUUGUCGGCUAUAGGCUAUAAAAGAACGAGUGGCAAAACUCGAGGAGUCCAUAAGGGUUGAGAAGGAGUCAUUCAAAGUGGUCGAGGAACGGAUAGACGACUUGAGGAACAAUCCAAGGACUAUGUAAUCAUGUCUCUCAAUUCUAAUAGGGAAAAUGUACAAGAGUUUUUAAAUUCCCUUAGGAAUAAGCUGAUGGAGAGGAAUGAUACUCUCGAGGCCAUGGUGAUGGCUUUGAAAGAGGAAACAAUGGCCACGACGAAGGUUUUGACCACAAGAACAGAGGAGCUCGAGGGAGAGUUUGCUUAUGUCAAGCAGCCAUAGGGAAUGAAGCAUCGAGUGUAACACUAAAUCGUGAGGUAGAUGUCCCGAAGCCGAAAGAGUUUGCGAGGAUAAGGUCUACAUACAAUGUGGACAAUUUCUUAUGGAGGAUGGAGCACUACUUCUGUGUCAAAGGUAUCAUGGAAGAUGCGAUUAAGGUAAAUAAUACUUCUAUGUUUCUUACUAAUAUUGCACUUUUAUUUUGGCCAGACAGGUCCACAAAUAAAUGGCAUAGUGAAAUCAGGACGUGGAAAGUGUUCCAACAUGAGUUGAAGAUGCAGUUUUAUCUAGAAUUUUCUGAACAGGAAGCUCAGGUAAAAUUCCUAUGACUUAUGCAACGAGGCACAAUGGGGGAGUAUGUUCGAGAGUUCAAGGAAUGCAUGCUCCAAAUUUUAGAUGUGAUCUAGAAAGAGGCAUUACUUAUUUUCAAGAAUAGGUUAAAGUCAUGGGUCUAACAGGAAUUGCAAUGAGAGGGUGUCUAAGAGUUGUCCAAAGCCAUGAUGAUAGAGGAGUCCGUGGUCAAGUUGGGUUUAAGGAAAGACAAGCUUGUGUCUUUUGAGUCUAAGAAAAGAGGCGUAUGUGGGCGAAACCACAUGAGAGAUAAUGGCAAUGGCAAUGGCAAUAGUGAUGGUGAUAAUGGGAAACCACAAGUUGGGAAGAAGAAAACCAACAAAAUGAGGGACAAGAUCAAAUGAUUUCUUUGCGAUGGUUCACAUAUGUUAAAUAAAUGUCCAAAGAAAUUUGUGUUUUCUGAGAAGGAUAAGUCAGAAGGUAAGGGCAUAAGACUUAGGUCGAGCACAAAGGGUGCCGAAGCCAAGGAGGGCGAAAGAAAAAACAAGCUAGUAGAGUGUUUAUUGUGUCAUGGUCCGCAUAGGUUGCGAAAAUGUCUGAAGAACCAUCGAAAGGUAAGAGGAGCAAGAAGAAGCGAGUAAAAUGCUUCUUGUGCCAUUGUUCGUAUGAGUUAUGGAACUUUCCAAAGCAAUCCAUGGUCAAGAAAGGCAACGGCGGAGCUUGUUGAGUCAUCGGAGAGGUUUCCACCCAAAGAAGAUGUGAGUUUGGCAUCGAACUUAAGGGAAAAAGUGGCGAUGUAAACAUUGAAGCUAGGACUAAUAAUGCUCAAUUCGAGGAAAGCGGCGAAGUUUGCUAAGUUGUCGGUGAGACUUCCACCCAAGGAAGAGGUGAGUUAUGCUUCAGACUUAGAGGAAGAAGUAGUGAUACAAACUUUAAAGCUAAAAUCAAUGAGGCUCAUUUCUGUUGAUUCAUCAAAUUUGCGAAAGUGGUGAUGCAAACUAGACAGUUGGCCAGAGUAAAUGCUAUGAGUAAGGUACAUUUUGAAAACAUUGAUAGUGUUUUACAUUCUAACUUGUUGGCUUGGACAGAAUGUAAGGGCCUUUUCAAAGUUCUUAAGCAAUGAGGCUGAGGGACUGUAGGCAUGCCGAAACAUAGUUGUGAGAAUCGAGAGAAUUCCAAUUGAAGCGAUUUAGAGUGUAGACAAGUGUGAGCCGUGGCUUUUUACCAACGAGAUGUACCAAUGAGUAAGACAGUUCGAGUUAAGAGGUGACAAAAGUCGAGGAAAAAGUUUUGAAAGAAGGGAUGACCCAAUAGUGAGACUAGUCGGGAAAAAGUUAAGGCGAAAUAAGGGUAUUUGGAGAAUGGGUUGGGAGAAUGUCACAGGCCGCAGUUCAAAGCCUAUGACAAUCACACAUAAUGCAUCCCAUGAAGGUCUAUCAUUGACAUGGGGAUCAUUUGUGUAACACCCCAAACCCGGCCUGGACGUUAUGGCCAAAUCUAGCGAUGUCACAUGGAAAUGUGUUUGAAAACCAUAUCAUUGUUAAAACCAUUUUCCGUUUAGAACUUAUCAUUAUCUUCCAUUAAUUCUCAAACCGUGAUUCAUUUUCAAAAUGAUAUACUUUGCGGAAGCUUUUAAAAUAGUUUGCUUGUGCGUGGUAUUUUGAUAAAACAUUCAUCCCUUUUGAAAACCCGAAUUUUACUUACUUCUAGCAGAUAUAAACAGAAAACAGUAUAAAAUCCAAAUUUUAGGUAAAAAUCCAUAGGGGCCAUUAUUACAUAAAAAUAACCCAAAUUAAAACUUAAAAUCGUAAAUAUGUAUCAAAUAGCAAAAGAAAGAAAAGAGUUGUGUGACCACUACUUAGGCCUCCACCGCACCGAUCCAUCUAUGUCUAGGGAUUACCUGUACAGAUUAAACAGAAGGGGUGAGUUUACGUAAACUCAGUGUGUAAUUCCCAUGCCACAAACAAACAAUAACAGAUAAUCUCAGUUUGGGCCUAAGCCCAUUUUAGUAUCACUAAGUAUUAGGGCCUUAGCCCAUCACAGAACAGUAACAGUGACAGUUAUACAGUUAUAAAAUCCUACCCAACCAGCCUCUACACUCCAUCUCCGUCCAACCCUACACUCCAUGUAGGGAUAUAAUCAACCCACCCAUCCCUACACUCCAAAUAGUAUUGAAUGCGGCACUCGAUAGUUGUUGCAACUGAGCUCUUAGUAAGUUAGGCUUGAAGCCUUUCAGUACACUUCCUCCAAUCAAUAUCAAUCCCCAACCCAAUGCAAUGCAUCAUACAAACAUGUUAUGGUAUCAUGUAUAAUCAGUAUAGUGUAUAUAGCAUGCUUAACAUACAGACAUACAUAUCUAUCUCAUAUAGGCAUAUAAUAGUAUUUUAACCAUUUCAGUCAAUUAGGGCUCUAGGUAUACUUACUGACCCUACAGUAGGUUCACAGUCGACUUGGGCGACCCGUGCAACCUUAAUAGUCAAACAGUGAAGAUGGGCCUACAGGCCUAUGUUGCAAGCCCAUGUAGGCCCACACUCUCGUGUGGCCCACACGACCCAAUUCUACCCGACCCAUGAAUCGCACAUGGCCAGCCUCGACGAUCACAUGCCCAUGCUCGAUCAUACAGCCUACCAUACUAGCGGUCCCACGCUUGUGUGGCUUCUUCAAUCCUAUCUUUCAGCUUUUCACCAACUAAUGUUUUUAGUGAUGUGAUUACACACCUGACUUUGUUGGGAGUUAAGCCACACUCCUGGUACACCAAAACCUAAAUUCAACCAAAACGUCAUUCAAUCAACUACAUAAUUCAUUAAUCAAACAAAGCCAAACGACGUUAAGGAAUGAUCAGCAACUGAAACCCCUUACCAAAAUCAACCGAAACUGCACCUUCAAUUCCUUGAUGAAGCACCAACCAACCCUUGAUCUCCACCUAGCACGAGAGCCACAAAACUCUUUUGUUUCAACCCUUAAUUGUAUUUCACUUAACAAGUCAAUUAAACCCAAGAAUAUACAUACAACCUUUCAUUAAGCAUCUUAUUCAACGAUACAAAAAACACUUACUCACUUACCAACAGUCGAUAGGGUAGAGUGCAAAAUCGAAAUAGACAAAGGGUAACGUAGAACUCACCUUUCAAUAUUCGGCCAAGGAGAGGAGCCAAAAUUAUGCACGGCCAGCUUGAGGGGAAGAGAAGCUAGCGUAAAAAAUUGAGAACAGAAAAAAGGAACUGAAUUUUGAACAACGACAGUAAGUGAGGGAAAAAUAAUUAAAACAAAACCAAAAAGGAGUAGAAAGAUGGAGAAGAAAAUAGUCACAGCAAAAAGAAAAUCGAAUGACACAAUCAGUACCAAAGAAAUUAGAAUAUACGAUAAAAAUCAAAUGAGAGAAGAAAAAACCAAUGAGGAAAUUUGGCAGCAACAGGGAAGUUUUAGGGGAAGCAAACGACAACAAAAUUGUAAAAUAAGAGAGAAAGGAAAAAAAUCUAUCUGCCACCGAAAUUUCGAAACAGAGAGAGAGGGAGAGCCGAAUUUUACAUCCCCCAAAUCAAGAUAACUUCCCACAUCCCAUAAUUUCCUCCUAAAAUCACUCCAACCUACCCACUACUCAGACUUUUAAUGAAACACAAACUCUUGCCGUCCAUCCUUGCAAAAAUUAAAUCCCUUCGUGCAUGCAAGGAUUUGAACUUCAGACCUCAGGCAACAAUAAUAUGCCACUCAUCCCCUAGACCAACAGGCCCAUUCUGACAUAUUUCACCAACAUUUAUUAAUAAGCCUACUAGUUGGAGAUAGGGAUUUAAUCAUUUAAAACAAAAAAUUUACCCAAGCUAAGGCUUGAAACCAAGACUUCUCAGACACUCCCAGAACACAUAACCACUAAGGUGGACAUAUAUUUGUGUCACAAACAUACGAAAAUAAACAUAAAGGAUUUUAGGGUGUUACAAGUUGACCCAUGAGAGUUGGCCCGAUUCAAAGAGUUAUUGAAGAAGCUUGUCCAUUUGAAACUUGGGUGGCCCAAUGAUAAGGAUAUGGAAAGUUAGGUUGGAUAUUUUAAAUCUCGUAAAUCCCUUGUUGUAUGGAUAAACUUAAUCUUGUCCUUCGAUGUAACUUGAUGUAGACUGUCAAUUUUAGGGGAGCUCAACUAUAAAUAGAGUUUAACAGCCCGGUUUAGACCCUAGUCGGACAGUGGUUUUGAGACUAAAAAUCUAAGUCAAAAAAAUAUUUUAAUAUUAUUUUUCGUGCUUAUAGUACGUGAGUUGACAUGUGUGAAAUUUUCAUGAAUUAAUUUUAUCAUUUGUGUGCCGAUUUGUGAAAAAGGACUUAAUUGCAGAAAAUGAAAAAGUUGUGUGUCAUUUGUUAAAGUGCCGAAUUGACAUGGAUUUUUAAUUUUGAGGUCCUUAAGAUGCAAAUGGACCAUUGAAUUAAUGCAUGGACAAGUAUGGACAUUAGUUAGUGGAUUUUUAAUGUUAUAUGGCUAAGGUUAAAAUAGUAAUUUUUGUGCUAUUAUUAAUCAAAUAAAAACAAACAUGCAAAUGUCCAUCAUCAUCUUGUUUUGGCUGAAACACAAAAGAAAAAGAAAUAUUUGAAAAAUUCAUUAGGUUCGACACUUGUUUAGUGAGAUUAAUGUAUGUUCUUUGCUUGGUUUUUGAUAAUUUUUACGUUUUUGAGAUCGUUGCUUUGUAUAUUACCUAGCCCAUGUUUUAAUUUUUGGAAUUUAUAAUGAUUUUGAGAAUUGCCAUUGAUGAGAAAUUGUUGUUUUUUUUUGUUUGAUGAUGAUAAAUAAAUAUUUGUUGAUAGAUUAUUAAAUUUUGUUAAGUAAUUUUUGAUAAAAAUCUAAAUUAUGGGUUUAUUUGUGAAAAUGAAAAUUGAGGGGAAAAAAUUUGAAUUAAAUGAAAUAUAUGGGCUGAUAUGAGCUAUAGGGAUAUUCGGCCAAGCUAGGAUAUUUUUAAAGUAUGUGUAUUUUGUGUUUUGUGAAAUAGGGACUAAAUUAUGAAAAAUGUAAAAUGUUAGAGGCUAAAAUGCAAUUUGCCCAUUUAUGUGUUUAUGGAAUAAAUUUGUAUGAAAUGUGUUAUUAAAUAGUCAAAGUUGAAUUUAUAUAGAUCAAGAACAAAAGAAAACGAAAUUAGAUCGGGGUAAGUCGAAAGUGGUCGAGUAGUCGAUUCCAUCCGCUUGUCUUCAUCUGAGGUAAGUUAGUGAAUAAAUGAUGUUAAAUUGAAUGUAAUGUAUUUUUUAUAUAUAUACAUUGCCGAAUUAAAUUCAGCAUAGAUUGAUUGGUUACGAGCUUAAUUUGAUUGAAUUACAACAUCCGAAAGCCUUAUGAAUUAUAGGAUUUUGAUAUUUGAUUUCGCGUAAGACCACGUCUGUGACGAUGGCAUCGAUUUGGGAUUUACGUGUAAAAACAUGUUUGGGACAUUGGCAUCGUAUAUGAUUAUGUGUAAGACCCUGUCUGGGAUAGUGGCAUCGUUAUAUGACUACAUGUAAGACCACGUCUAGGACGUUAGCAUUGUUCGAGCUUUUUGAGCUAUCCGAGUAUCCUUUUGAUUCCGAAUGGUUCAACGGAAAAUGUUACGGCAAAACCAAAUGUGAGUUUGAAUUAAAUGGUUCAAGUAUAUUUGAGUUAUAUAAAGUUUGGAAGUAAAGGUAAGUAUUGUAGUAUAACAUGAUAAUGUGAAAUAAUCGCUUAAAUAUGUUUAUAUUUAUGUGUAUUCAAGGUUGGGAGUUUUCGGCCUACUUGUAUGAAUUAUAUAUGUUCUUUGUUAAAAUAUUUUCUUAUGACUUACUAAGCUAUUUAAGCUUACUGUGUGUUCAUUCGUUCGCUCGUUGUUUUAUAGAUUUUGGAAGUUAGUUACGAGCUCGGGGAUCGUCAAGGAAAUCUGUCACACUAUCGAACGCUAUUUUGGUAUUUUUUUGAAGCUUGAAUUUUGAACUUAUGUCAUGUAUAGGCUAGCAUUUGUUUUGGUUGGUCUUGAAAUUUGUAUAUGUUUAGCCAUGCGAAAAAGGCUUGAUCUUAAAGCUAAUGAUCAAUGUUUAAGUAAAUUUGGUCAUGGUAUAUGCAUGUGGUAAUUUUGAUAUAUGGAUGUGUUUCAGUUGUAGAUUGUUAAUGGUGCUAAAGAUAGUGAUAAUCGGUCAUGUGUUAGCUUAAAUCGCAAAUAUAGAUGAUGGUUUUAAUCUAAAUUCUGGUUCGACAAUGGUAAUUUAUUCAUGUAGUUAAUUGUUUAGUUAUAUGUUAAUGUUGAAAUUGGUUGUAUUCGUUAUGUGGGAAUUAUGCUAUACUCGGAUAGUUGACAAUUUGAAAUGGUAUGAUUGCAUUAGUAAAUUGGAUAGAAAUGUUGAAUAAAGUGUAUAUGUAUAUUCAGUUAAAAUAUUAAACUCAUAUUAUUGAGUAUGUGAUAUGGUUAUGUCAUGUAUUAAAGUCAUAUUGGAUGUCCGAAUACGUGGAUAAGUAAUUAGUUAUGUGUAUGUAUGUUAAGCAAGCGAAUUAGGUGUAUUUUUUAGUGUUAUAUGUGCUUAAAAUGGUUCAAAUUAAUAUUUUUAUAUAUGCACAAACUUGUGUUAAGAGAAUAAGUAUAAUUGGUCUCUAAAUAAUGCUUGUUUAAAUAAAUAUAUGCAAAGUGAUAUGUUUAGUAUGGGUGUUCGAAAAUGAUUCAAUUAAUGUAUGUUUAUAUGUAUAAACUUGUAAUAAGAAAAUAGGUAUGUUUGGUCUUAUAAAUUGAUGUAUAAUUGUCUUGUAAAUAGGUCUAGAGUUGUAAUAAUGCACAUGCAAAAUUGGUUAAAGUUAGGCAAGUAGAAUGUAUAUCUAUAUACCCAUAUAUGUGUCUUGGUUACUAAUGUUUGGAUUGUUGAAUAUUAUUAAUUUAAUGAGUUGUGCAUGAUUUUUUUUCUUGAAUGGUUCAAUUUAAUAUGGUUAUAUGCGCAUGAGUAUUUUCUUAUAUUUGAUAUCCAACUUAUGAAAUGUAUGUAUUGAAAUUUUUAUAAGCUUAAAUAGUAAAUUUUAAUAUACGAACGUUAAGCAUACAGUACUAUUAAGCUUCGAAAUUUGAGUAGGAUUAGUGAAUUAAAAUGAUUGUUUUAUGGAUCAUGAUAUGCAUUGAAUAUCUAUUUUGAGUUGUGUUCUGUUCUGUAAUGCCUCUCAACCCUAAUCCAGCGACGGGUACGGGUUAAGGGUGUUACAUUUAAUUGGUAUCAGAGUUACGGUUUAGUCAGUUCUAAGACUAACGCAGCGCGUGUGAGUAUAGCUAUACAUACCAUAUUUUUAUACUGCAAUAGUGUGAUGAUUCCUGACAUUUACAAAUUUGUUUUCGUAUAGUAAAUGGAUCUCGAUUGAGCCGUAGCAGAUGAUGUGGAAAGUAAUGCACCCGCUCCCAUUCAAGGGGCAGUGCAGUCUGAUUCUAGACCUUCUGCAAGUAACCAAGAGCGAGAGGCUAAGCAAGCCUUCUUCCAAAUGAUGAACGAAUGGUUCACGGAGUUCGUAUGAACGAAUCCGGCUGCUCAAUAACCUCCACCCCCGCCUAAUCCCUUUCAGACUUCUAUUUUACCUCCUGUUAUGAAUCCGAUUUCGACGAAUAAGUCUCCUGUCAAUAAAAUCUGAAAAUAUGGGGCCGAAGAGUUUAGGGACACCAAUGAUGAUGAUGUUGAGAGAGCCAAAUUUUGGCUCGAGAAUACCAUCUGAGUAUUCAAUGAAAUGUCCUGUUCUCCCAAAUAAUGUGUUAAAUGUGCCGUUUCUUUGCUGAGAGAUACAACCUAUCAAUGGUGGAAAACUCUAAUUUAUGUUGUUCCGAAAGAACGAAUUACCUGGGAUUUCUUUCAAUCUGAAUUUUGAAAAAAAAUACAUCAGUCAGAGAUUUAUUAAUCAAAACCGAAAUGAGUUUCUCGAGUUUAAACAGGGUCGUAUAUCCGUAACAGAAUACGAGCGAGAAUUUGUUCGACUAAGCCGAUAUGCACGAGAAUGUGUAUCCAUAGAAGAAAUAUUGUGUAAAAGAUUCGAAGAUGGUUUAAAUGAAGAUAUCCAUCUGUUAGUCAGGAUUUUAUAGAUCAAAGAGUUUGUUGUGCUCGUUGAUCGAGCAUGUAAAGCCGAAGAACUCGGUAAAGAGAAGAGAAAAGCUGAAUCAUAAGUUAGGGAUGCAACAAAGAGAUCCUCGAGUAAAUCAUUUCAGUCUGCAUCAAAGAAAUUUCGAGAUGAUUAUAGCCGUUCAAAGGCUAAUGUGGGAUAUUUGAACAGAGAUUGUGCUAGAUCACAUUCGAGCUUUAAAGCUCUUGCUACUUUAGUUGCAACUGUUGGAAAUGUUUGCUCUGAUCGACUUGAGUGCAAGCAUUGUGGCAAAAUGCAUCUGGGAAGUUGUAAAUUGAAUGAUCGAGCUUACUUUAGAUGUGGAUCAUUAAAUCAUUUUAUCCGUGAUUGUCCUAAGUUGGCUGAACAGAAUACAGUAUAGAAUAUGAGACCGAGUAAUACUAUAACUAGAGGGAGACCACCUAGAGGUGCUGUGAAUGUGAGUAAAAGUCAGAGAACGACCAAAGAUGUAACGGCCCAAAAUUUAAGUCUUUAAUUUUGCAUGAUUUGACACAAAUUGCUUGUUUGCUUCAAUAGUUAAGUAAUUUGGGUGUGUAUAGGAGUGUUUGAGAAGCCUGUGUUCAAGUCUUGGCUUUUGCAGAAUUUUUAAUUUUUCCCUUAAAUGAAUCUGGACGCUGGUUUAUAGGCUUUAUAAAUAUUAGUGUUGGUUUUAUGUCACAAAAAGAGGCUGUGGUCUAGUGGCAAUGUGGUGUGUUGUGUACUGUGAGGUCUGAGGUUGAAGUCUUAGGUUGUGCAAUGGGGUAUUUAUUUUGCUGCUUGAGGCAUGUAAGUGGUAGUGUUGGAGUGAAAUACUGCUGAAGGAAGUUUGAACUGGUCAUAGAGGGAGUUGAGGAGAAACCGGUGGAGUGAUAAGGGGAGUGAUUUGAGAAGAUAAUCGAUGAGUUGUUGAGAGGAAGAGUUGUGCCGAAAUUGGACUUUGGCACUCUAGGAAAUUUGGCUAGGGGGAUUGCUAGUGCUGAAUUGGUCUUUAGGUUGCUGAGGCUUCCAGUAUUUGAGAGUUUUCCCCCUUUCGCAGUUGAAAAUUUUGGUCAAUUUCGGUUUACCUAUUUGCAAUUAGUACAGUUUUUGCCAAGUUCUCGAGUACGCUACUGCUCUUUUUCUAUCUUUCCUUCUUGCUAUUGGCCGAAUCUCUCUUCCCCUCUCCUCUCUUCUUGUCGAAAACUCCCUUUCCUCUUCCCCACUACCUUUGUUGUUCUUUUCCUCUUUCUCCUUUUCCCAAAACCCCAAUCGGUUAGUUCUUUUUCUUAAGCUGAACUUUCUCCUCUCUCAUUGUGACCGAAUAUUACACCUCUCCUCCCCCACCUCUUUUCUUUUCCUCCUCAUCUUUUCAUUUUCUUCUUUAGUCAACUCUUUCCUUUUUUAUUUGCUCUGAUUGCCAAAUCCUCCCAUUCUUUUGGGGCAAAUCGUGGGGCUUGCUUUUCGUAGUUAAUUCUUUCGUGCAUUAUUGAUAAGUAUAGUAAUAGAGUGAUUCCCUUUUUACCGGUUAAUCUAAAUGCUUACCCAUUUUUCAAUUAGUGCUUAGGAACCUUUCAAAGGGUCUAACGUUGGUGAGUACUUUGGUUAGGCGAACCGUUCCUCUUCGCUCAAUCAAGUUGGGGUAAGCUGGUGAUUGUGAUAACUUGAGAUUAAUCGAUUGUGUAACUGCGUAUACAAUUAACUAAGAUUCUUAGUCAAAUGUAGGUUUUGGGUGCUCGUGGAUCGUGGUACGUUCUCACAAAUCAGGUGUGUAAUCACCCAUUACAAUCGUAGAUUGGCGAAAGCCGAAAAGCUGAUAACACGACUUAUGAGUCUACACGGGCAUGCGAUCGCUCGAGUGGUAAGCCCAACUUGCGAUUCGUGGGUAAAUAACCGAAAUACCCUCGAUAGGUAAAAUGACCGAAAUACGCUCGAUAGGUAAAAUGACCGAAAUACCCUAGAUGGGUAAAAUGACCAAAUACAUUCGAUAGGUAAAAUGACCAAAAUACCCUCAAUGGGUAAAUUGAUCGAAAUACCCUCGAUGGGUAAAAUGAUCAAAAUACCCUCGAAGGGUAAAAUGACCGAAAUACCCUCGAUAGGUAAAAUAACCGAAAUACCCUCGAUGGGUAAAAUAACCGAAAUAUCCUCGAUGGGUAAAAUAACCAAAAUACCUCCGAAGGGUAAAAUAACCAAAAUACCCCCAUAAGGUAAAAUAACUGUUAUACCCCUAGGAGUUGAAAUGAGUGUAUGACUGAUUUGUUCUAUGUUAUAUAUAUUUGACUGUUUCUGAAUAUGACAUACUGCAUACACGUAUAAUUUAUGACAUGACAUAUUACAUGGGGUUGGGAUUCUGAUAUAGGGGAAGUAUACUAUACUGGUGGCUUUGCUGUAUUACUGUUAUUGGCAGCUUUGUUCCGUCAUUAUUAUUGGCAGCUUGGCUGCGAUAUUGGUGUGUUGGCUAGGUGGUUCGAUUUUAUCCCCACAUGGUGUGUUAGUGGUACAAAGUGGUGUGUUGGCUGGAUUAAGAUGAGUUGCAUUACUGUAUUGUAUUGAUUACUGUAUUGGGCUAAGGCCCACACUGUACUGAUACUGUAUAGGGCUCAUGCCCAAAUUGAUUUUGCAUGUUGCAUAGUGAUUGGCUAGUAGGGGAUUACACACUGAGUUUCGUAAACUCACCCUCUCUUUUUAACUGUGUAGGUAAUCCUCAACCUUAGACGAUUCGGGGCUAUGAGGGACUUGGAGGUGGCCACACAACUACUGUCAAUGUUUACAUUUACUUUUAUUUUACUUUAAAUUAUAAGUUGGGUUUUAUUUUGUAAUAAAGCCUUUAAUUUCGGUUUUAAAUUUUAAUUGGGCUUCUGCUUACUUAUUUUAUACUGCUAGUUAGGUGAAAAUGAAUUUUCAAAAUAAUCACUAUUUUCAAAGACACAAACUUUAAACGUUAGAGUUUUCAAAUGCUUCUAUGAUUUAAAUCAACUUAAUAUAAUAAUAGCAAUUAAUAAGGUAAAUAUUUGGUUAAGUGUUUCGUUAAACAUGACUAAUGAGGGUUCCAAACUUAAGAAAUAAGUUUUAUCAACAAGUCUAAAUUUGAGAGACAGUUCAAUGUGACACACUAGAUAUGGCCAUAACAUCUAGACCGAGUUUGGGGUGUUACAAAAGAUACUGUUGUGAGGUUCGAGGCCAGAGCACCAGCUCAAGCAUACGCUAUUCGCGCUCGCAAAGAAGCGUCAUCUCCAGAUGUCAUUAUCGGUACUUUCCUUCUUUAAGAUACUACGGUUGUUGCAUUGAUUGAACUUGGAUCAACUCAUUCUUAUGUAUGUGAGACUUUAGUAUCCAGUAAGACUUUACCUAUAGAGUCUAUUGAGUUUGUGAUUAAAGUAUCGAACCCCUUAGGCCGGUGUGUAUUGGUUGAUAAAGUACGUAAAAAUUGUCCGUUGAUGAUUCGAGAUUUAUGUCUUCUGGCUAAUUUGAUGUUGUUACCAUUCGAUGAAUUUGAUAUAAUUCUGGGUAUGGAUUGACUAACUUUGCACGAUGCUAUUGUGAAUUGUAAAUGAAAAACUAUUGAUUUGAUAUGCAAGAAUGACGAGAUAAUCCGAAUUGAGUCCAGCGAUCUGAACGGGUUGCCAGCUGUGAUAUCAGUAAUGAAAGCUCUGAAUCAUGUAAAAAAGGGAUGUGAAGCCUAUUUUGCUUAUGUGAUUGAUUCGAGUGUGACAGAUAAGAAAUUAGAAUCAGUGCCUUUUGUUUGUGAGUUUCUUGAUGUGUUUCUAGAAGAGUUAUCAGGUUUGUCGCUGAUUCGAGAGGUUGAAUUUGGUAUUGAAUUAGUGUCGGGAAAAACUCUGAUUUUGAUGACUCCAUACAAAAUGGCUCUGACCGAAUUGAAAGAAUUAAAGUCUCUGUUGCAAGAAUUGACAGAUUGAGGGUUUGCUAGACCUAGUUUCUCACCUUGGGGUGCUCCGAUUCUGUUUGUGAGAAAGCAAGAUGGUACGAUGAGAAUGUGCAUUGAUUAUCGUUAGUUGAACAAAGUGACUAUAAAGAACAAAUAUCCUCUGCCUAGAAUUGACGAUUUGUUUGAUUAGUUUAAAGGUGCUAUUGUGUUUUUGAAGAUAGAUCUAAGAUUGGGUUACUAUCAGUUACGAGUUAAAGACUACGGUGUGUAGAAAACUAAUUUCUAAACAAGGUACGGUCAUUAUGAGUUUUUAGUUAUGCCUUUCGGACUUUCUAAUACACCUGCUGCUUUUAUGGAUUUAAUGAAUCGGAUCUUCAGACAGUAUUUCGAUCGAUUUGUGGUUUUAUUUAUAGAUGACCUCUUGAUAUAUUCUCGUAAUGAAUCUGGGCAUGCUGAACAUUUGAGAAUAGUGUUAUAGGCUUUAUGUGACAAGCAGUUACAUGCAAAGUUCAAUAAAUAUGAGUUCUGGUUACGAGAAGUUAGUUUUCUAGGACAUGUUGUGUCAGCAUCGGGUAUUCGGGUUAAUCCGAGCAAGAUUUUGGCAAUAUUAGAUUAGAAACCUCUGAUUUCUGAAGUCCAAAGUUUUAUGGGACUUGCGAGUUAUUACAGACGGUUCAUAAAAGGUUUCUCUAUGAUUGCAACCCCGAUGACUAAACUGCUUCAGAAAGAUGUUAAAUUUGGGUGGUUAGAAAAGUGUCAAAAAACUUUUUAUCAAUUGAAAACUUUGUUAACUGAAGCUCCAGUAUUAGUUCAACAAGAAUCGGGUAAAGAAUUCAUAAUCUUUAGUGAUGAAUCUUUAAAUGGUUUGGGCUGUGUUCUGAUGGAGGAAGGCAAAGUGAUAGCUUAUGCCUCGAGACAGUUAAAGUCGCACGAAAAGAAUUAUCUGACAUGUGAUCUGGAAUUGGCAGCUAUUGUAUUUGCAUUGAAGAUUUGGCACCACUAUCUGUUCGGUGAGAAAUGUCAUGUCUAUUCUGAUCACAAAAGCUUGAAAUACCUAAUGACUCAAAAAGAUUUGAAUCUGCAGCAAAGAAGAUAGUUAGAACUGUUAAAAGAGUAUGAGCUUGUUAUUGAUUAUCAUCCGGGAAAAGCAAUUGUUUUUGCUAAUGCUUUGAGUCAGAAAUCACUAUGUUCAAAAGGUUGAUAAGGAGAUAUUAGCAAAAUGAGUUCAAUGUGAUGUGAAUACUGAUCCAGAGUUUCAAAUUGAUGUUGAGGAUUGUUUGAGGUUCAAAAAUCAGAUUUGUGUUCUGAGAAAUCCAGAGUUGAUUCAGAUGAUUUUGAACAAAGUUCACAGUAAUAGACUAUCAGUACAUCCGGGAAGUACAAAAAUGUAUAACGAUUGAAAUAGCUUUAUUGGUGCCCUGGUAUAAAACGGGAUAUCUCAAAAUUUGUUUCGAAAUGUCUAAUCUGUCAGCACGUCAAAGCCAAACAUCAAUUGCCCUUCUAGUUACUACAGUCGAUUAUGAUUCCAGAGUGGAAAUGGGACAGAAUCACGAUGGAUUUUGUAUUAGGUUUGCCUCUGUCACUGAGUAAGAAAAAUGUAGUCUGGGUAGUGGUUGAUAGACUAACAAAGUCGGCCCAUUUUAUUCCUGUACGCACUGAUUUUUCACUUGAUAAGCUUGCUAAGUUGUACAUCUCUCAGGUAUUUAGAUUGCACGGAGUACCUAUUUCUAUUAUUUCGGAUAGAGAUUCGAGGUUCACAUCGCGAUUUUGGAAGAAAUUGCAAGAUACGUUAGGUACGAAGCUACACUUCAUCAUUGCUUUUUAGCCAUAGGAGGAUGGUCAAUCAGAGCGAAUUAUUCAGAUACUCGAGGAUAUGUUGAGAUGUUGCAUUCUAGAGUUUGAAGGUACGUGGGAAUGAUACUUGCCACUGGUUGAAUUUGCGUAUAAGAAUAGCUUUCAAUCGAGUAUCAAAAUGGCACCUUACAAAGCUUUAUACGGUCGUAAAUGUCAAACAACUUUGUAUUGGACGGAGCUUAGUGAGAAUAAGAUACACGAGGUCAAUUUGAUCAAAGAUAUUGAAUAGAAAGUGAAAGUAAUUCGUGAUAGUCUGUAACGCUCCAGUAUUUCAGCCUAGAAGUAUUGGGCCUUGAGCAAGGGAAUGGUUUGGAAACUGUGUACAAAAGUAUGACUGCUUUAGUGGUUAAGGGUCCUGAGAGGAGUUGGAAAAGUCCUGGGUUCAAAUCUGGGCUUUAGCAAAAAUUUUGGUUUUAAGUGGAUAAAACCCUGGAUGCUUGGAUGUAGGCCUUUUAAAUUAUUGUGUUAAAAAAUGUCAUAAGGAAGAAUGUGGUCUAGUGGUUGUGGCGUCAUUAAGGUUACAAGGGAGCCUGGGUUUAAGUCUUGGCUCUUGCAAUUUAUUUUGGUUUUUCUUUUAAAGGAACCUGGACUUUGGCAUUUAGACCUUUUAGUUUAUUGAAGACAAAAUGUGACACAAAAAGAGCAUGUGGCCUAACGGCAAUGUGGUGUGUUGUGUACUGUGAGGUUUGAGGUUUGAGGUUCAAGUCCUGGGUUACGCAAUGGGGUAUUUAUUUUGCUACUUGAGCCGUGUGUAAGUGGCAGAGUUGGAGUGAAAUACUACUGAAGGAAAUUUGAACUGGUCAUAAAGGGAGUUGAGGAGAAAUGAUGGAGUGAUAAGGGGAGAGAUUUGAGGAGAGAAUAUUGAGAUUUAGGGAGGUUGUUGUUGUGGAGAGUUAUAUAUAUCACAUCUCAUUUGUUCCUUAUUCUAGAUGGGGGGAGAUCGGCUAGUCAAGGUUGAUUGACACAUUGCCUGGGAACCAAGAGUACGAUGAUCAUUGAUUUGCGAAAUAAGAGUGUUCGGAUCGAAGAGAAUUUGCAAAUCGCAUCAGGUGUGUAUUUCGCACUACUCUAGCUGUAGAGCGGCAAAUGCCGAAAUGCUGGUCACACGGGGAUGGUAGCCACACGAGCGUGCGAGCACACGUGUGGGAGCCUCGACACGAUAGUUGAGGCUAUCAUGAGUGUUCUUAUGGGUUUAGGCUGUUUGGGCCAUAUGGGGCAAAUGGGCCCGUGGGCCCAAUCGGAUAAGUUAUAUGAUUGUAUAGUAAAUAUUAGACUGGACUAUGUGAAUCUUAUAUCUGUGGCUAGGUUUGGGCUAAAUGGGCUACACGAGCGUGUGGUCCCAUUUGGGCUAGGCCCAUUCACAUCGUUAUCCCUGUUUAGAAUACUUUGGUUUACAAAAUUACUGAAAUACCCUUGAUUUACAAAAUUAUUGAAAUACCAUUGGUUUACAAAAUUUCUAAAAUACCCUCGAAUUGUAAAAUUACCAAAAUACCCCCAGUUUACAAAAUUACCGAAUACCCUCAGUUUUUGAAAUUGCCAAAAGUACCCCUGAUUUGCAAAAGUUACCAAAAUACCCUCAGUUUGGAAAAUUACCAAAAUACCUUAUAGGGUAAAAUGACUAUUUUGCCCUUGUGGGUAGACAACUGGCUUGGUCUUCGAAUUUGACUGACUUGACUGUGGUCGAAUGACUGGUAUGUUUGUAAAUGAUUGUUACUUUGCAUGGCCAUAUUGCAUACACGUGUGAUGGUUGAGCAUGACAUUCACGACAUAUUGCAUAGGGUUGGGAUUUUGUUAUGGAGGAAGUGCUUUUACUGGUGGCUUUGCCAUAUAUACUAUUCUGGUAGCUUUGCUGCGUUAUUAUUACUGAUUUUAUAUAAGGCUAAGACUGCACUGUACUGAUAUGGUAUUAGGCUAAGGCCCACCUUGUUCUGUAUUGGGCUAAAGCCCACAUUGUUCUGUUCUGUUAUUGAUCUGGGCUAAGCGCAGCUAUUAAUGAUGUUGAGAUUGAGCUAGGCCCAAUUAUUUCUGUUAUGGGCUGUGACCCAAAUGAUAUUGUAGUGGGUUUUGGCCCACGUGUGCCCUGAAUUGGACAGUACCGUUACUGAUAAAAAGGCAUUAGCCCUGACUGUUUUUAUUUCUUUUUCUGUUUUUGUAUACUGACUGUUUUUUUAGUAACGGGAUUACACACUGAGUUUAUAUAAACUCACCCCAUUUAUUAACUAUGCAGGUAAUCCCCAGUAUUGAGAGGAUCGGUGCUAUGAAAGACUCGGAGAUGGCCACACAACUAUUAUUGAUUUCAAUUUUCUUUUAAGUUACCUACUUAUAAGUGCUUAUAUUUUGAUUUGGGUUGUAAUGAGGGCUCCAUUAAUUCUAUCUGUCUUAAAAGAAGAUCAUGAUUUUCCAAGUUAAUAGCUGUUUUCAAAACACUACAAUUUCACAACUUAAUCUUGAAACAUCACGUUUUCGUAAAUCGGUUACUUUUAAGCUUAGCUUCCGCAACUAUAAAGAAAUUUUGGGAAUAAAACAACGCAACUGGGAUUUUACUCAAGUUUUUAAUUAAGAAGGAUUUUUUUUAAUGAAAACAUGGUUUUCGAAAGACACUUCAAUGUGGCACGCCAGAUUCGGGCUUAACUUCUAGGAUAGGUUUGGGGUGUUACAUAGUCUAAAAGCAGUAUCAGAUCGUCAGAAAUCGUAUGCAGACUUGAAACGGAAGGAUAUUGAGUAUCAGAUCAGGGAUAAAGUGUUUUUAAAAGAAUCACCGUGAAAGAAAAUACUCUGAUUCAGUCGUAAAGGUAAAUUGAGUCUGAGAUUCAUUGGGCCAUAUGAGAUUAUUGAGCGUAUCGGGCCGGUUGCUUAUAGAUUGAUGUUGCCAUCUGAGUUAGAAAAGAUUCGCAACGUGUUUCACGUAUCUAUCCUUCAACGAUAUCGAUCUAAUCCCUCGCAUGUGAUUUUACCGUCUGAGAUUGAAAUUAAGUCCGAUAUUACAUAUAAAGAAGAACCAAUUCGGAUUUUGAAUCACGAGAUUAAAUGUAACACCCCUAACCCGUAUUCGUUGCCGAAUUAGGGUUAUGAGGCAUUAUCAAACAUAGCACAGAUCAAAACAGACAUUUAUUUAAAUUCAAGCACUAAGCAAACUCGUAUAUAUAUAUGGAUCACAUAAUCAAUUUAACGAUGUGCAAUAAAACAUAUUACAAGUGCUUAAGGCAUAAAGAUGUUCGAACCACUUGAUUUAACAUUAAUAGCAUCUAUAUACUUAAAACGCAUCCCAGCAUAUAACAUUAUAUAGUAUAUAUAUAAAACAUAAAUCAAAACAUAUAUACAUAUAUAUAUCAUAAAUUGAAUAUCAAUUAUUUUACUUCAAUACUUGCGCAUAUUAACCAACCGAACCAUCUUAUACCAUUAAAUAAUUCAAUGUAAAUUCAAGCAUAGUAAUAUUUCAUCAUAGCCGAACCUAUAUAGUCAACAUACAAUCUAAUACAUCGUAAACCCGUUGUUUACCAUUCAUUAAUCAAGUAUAUAAGCAACUUUGGUGCAACUCAUAAGACCAAAUAAACAUAUUUUAUUUCGUGACGAAUAAUCAAAAUAAACUAUCAUUCCAUCUAUAGUAUAAUUAACAUUUCACCUAAAUUUAUUAACAUAUAAGUACAUCUAAUUAUCAUGCCAACAUGUAUUUAUUCGACCAACUCAUUACAAUUGCCAUUAUGACAUAUGCGUAUAUGAAAAUACAUAUAUAAUUUCAAUUAACCUAUCAUGACCAACAUUUAUGUAUAUCGUCUAUUCUUUCCACACCAAUUCUUAAUACAAAACAUACAUAUCCAUCAAUUCAAUAUCAUAGCACAACCGAAACUCAUCCCUUAACCAAUUUAUAGCAUAAACACCACUUCAAAUUAAGGUUAGAUCAUGAUCAAAUAUACAUUAUGUUCUUUCAUACUCUUUAGCCGAAUAAUUUAGUAAAAACUUACAAGCAUUUUUACUAUGUUUUAAACUUACUAAUACAAACUAAUUCAUGAAUUAUUCAUGAUGUAACCAAUCAAGACAUAAAAUCAAGUUACCAAUCAUACUAAUUAUCAUUUAUACAAAUAGACUUAUACCAUGGUCGAAUCAUUGAAACCAAACACAUUGAACAUUCAACCUAGAAUAUAUAUAAAACUAAGUUUAAACAUAAUGAUCAAGCCAUUUUUAAUUAAGCCGAAUUUAAGCAUGGGAAUUAGACCAUUAAAGCAUAUUCGUUAAUACCAAAUUCAAAACAAAAAGAGAUAAGCCAUUUUCGCACGGCUUUUAAUUACACAUACACAUUGAUUUCAAAAUCACCAUUUUUAACUAAGCUAUACAUGCCAUAUAUUUGAAAACAAUUUAGCAAAAUACCAAAAGGAGACACCGAUAGUGUGAUGAGCUUAGCUGACGAUACCCGAACACGUAGCGAUCUCCAAAAUCUAUACAUCGAAACAAUAAUCCAACACAUUGUAAGCUAAUUGAAUAUCAAUUAUUUUACUUCAAUACUUGCGCAUAUUAACCAACCGAACCAUCUUAUACCAUUAAAUAAUUCAAUGUAAAUUCAAGAAUAGUAAUAUUUCAUCAUAGCCGAACCUAUAUAGUCAACAUACAAUCUAAUACAUCAUAAACCCAUUGUUUACCAUUCAUUAAUCAAGUAUAUAAGCAACUUUGGUGCAACUCAUAAGACCAAAUAAACAUAUUUUAUUUCGUGACGAAUAAUCAAAAUAAACUAUCAUUCCAUCUAUAGUAUAAUUAACAUUUCACCUAAAUUUAUUAACAUAUAAGUACAUCUAAUUAUCAUGCCAACAUGUAUUUAUUCGACCAACUCAUUACAAUUGCCAUUAUGACAUAUGCGUAUAUGAAAAUACAUAUAUAAUUUCAAUUAACCUAUCAUGACCAACAUUUAUGUAUAUCGUCUAUUCUUUCCACACCAAUUCUUAAUACAAAACAUACAUAUCCAUCAAUUCAAUAUCAUAGCACAACCGAAACUCAUCCCUUAACCAAUUUACAGCAUAAACACCACUUCAAAUUAAGGUUAGAUCAUGAUCAAAUAUACAUUAUGUUCUUUCAUACUCUUUAGCCGAAUAAUUUAGUAAAAACUUACAAGCAUUUUUACUAUGUUUUAAACUUACUAAUACAAACUAAUUCAUGAAUUAUUCAUGAUGUAACCAAUCAAGACAUAAAAUCAAGUUACCAAUCAUACUAAUUAUCAUUUAUACAAAUAGACUUAUACCAUGGUCGAAUCAUUGAAACCAAACACAUUGAACAUUCAACCUAGAAUAUAUAUAAAACUAAGUUUAAACAUAAUGAUCAAGCCAUUUUUAAUUAAGCCGAAUUUAAGCAUGGGAAUUAGACCAUUAAAGCAUAUUCGUUAAUACCAAAUUCAAAACAAAAAGAGAUAAGCCAUUUUCGCACGGCUUUUAAUUACACAUACACAUUGAUUUCAAAAUCACCAUUUUUAACUAAGCUAUACAUGCCAUAUAUUUGAAAACAAUUUAGCAAAAUACCAAAAGGAGACACCGAUAGUGUGAUGAGCUUAGCUGACGAUACCCGAACACGUAGCAAUCUCCAAAAUCUAUACAUCGAAACAAUAAUCCAACACAUUGUAAGCUAAUUUAGCUUAGUAAGUUACAAACAAAUAACUCUACAAUUUAACUUGAUAUCUAGAAUAAUAUUUAACCAAUUCAUACUUCUAAAUCAUCUUACCUUUAACUUCCCAUAGCAUAAUAUAAGUAUUCACUUCAUACUAUGAUUUAACAAAAAUCAAUAUAAAUACUCAACUAUAAGCAUUUCUUCAAAUUUAAGUACAAGGCCAAGUACCUUAUACAUUUUAUUAUCAUAAAGAAUAAUAAAUCAUCUUAAAUAAAUAUAACUCCAAUUAUAAUCACCACCUAGGUUUGAUACAUAUAAAAAUUAAUCUUGAAUACCAUCAAAAUAAUUAUUACUCACUUUGUUACUCAUGAUUUCUCGAUAAGUCAAAUACUCGAUAUUAAUAAUCUUUCGAAAAUAUUUAAUAAGUACGCACACUUAGUGCUUAAUAAUCACACUCGCACACUUAGUGCAUUUCAAUUAAACUCGCACACUUAGUGCUAAUCUCAUUAUCGUUUAUUUUUAUACUCGCACACUUAGUGUUGGGGGUCAACAACUCAAUACGUCAUAUUUCAAAAAUCGUAUCACUACAUAUAUCAAUUCAAUUCAGCAUAAUUACAUAGAUGUUUAGAUAAUUUAAAACGACACAAAUAUGUAUGCUUAAUAACUUACCUCGGAUGUUGUCGACAAAUAGAUCGGCUACUCAACUACCUUUGAUUUCCCCCGAUCUAAAUUCAAUUUCUUGGUUUCUUGAUCUAAACAUAUUCAAAUAAAUCUCAUUUAAACAUAUUUUCAUUCAAUUUAGUCUAAGAACACAUAAAUGGGCAAAUUACAUUUUUACCCCUAAUAUUUCACAUUUUCACAAUUUAGUCCUUUUUGCUCAAAACACAAAAUACACAAAAUUUGACUACACUCCUUAAGGGCCGAAUAUUCCUAGUAUCCAUAAAAACCCACACAUUUCAUUUAUUUCACAUUUUAGCCCCUAAAAAAUUUUAUUUUUACAACUUAACCCUAAUUACUCAAAUUCAUCAACAAUUCAAAGACAAAACAUGCUAAUCUAACACAUAUAUUUCAUAUUUCCUCAACUAACAUCAUAAAACUCAAACAUUCAUCAAUGGCACAUUUCAAAAUCAUCAUCAAUUCACAAAAUUUAAACAUGGGUUUUAAAGAACACAAAGCAACGAUCUCAAAAACGUAAAAAUUAUCAAAAACCGAAGAGAAGACUAACCUCAAUCUAGUUCAACAAUGGCCGAACCUUAGCCAAGCUUUUAUCUUUUAUUCUUUCUCUAGUUUCGAAAGUGAAGAAAGAUGAUAUGAUAAUGGCUUUGUUAUUAUCACUAUUAUUAUUAUAACAUAUAUUAUAAUCAUUUUUUUAUUUUUAAUGUAUAAAAACCAUAUAUUAAAACAAUAUGCCGUCCACUACUUAUAGUAUUGGCUAAAUUUCAACAUAAGGCCUCCAAAUUAGAAAGACAACAAUAAUUAGGCACUUUCUUAUUUAACCAUCAAAUUUUCAUUUUACGCGAUUAAGCCCCUUUUUAUUAAAUCGACACCCAAACAACAAAAUUAAUUUACGAAACUUUCACACAUUUAAAUUCACACAUCAUAAACACACAAAAUAAUAUUAAAAUAUUUUUCAGACUCGAAUUUGUGGUCCCGAAACUACUAUUCCAAUUAGGGUCAAAAUUGGGCUGUUACAACUCUCCCCCCUUAGGGAUUUUCGUCCCCGAAAAUCUUACCAGUGAAUAGGUUUGGAUAAUGUUCUUUCAUUGUAUCUUCUGACUCCCAAGUUGCUUCUUCAACUCCGUGUUUAUGCCAAAGUACUUUGACUAAUGAAGUUUUCCUAUUUCGUAAUUCUUUAACCUCACGAGCCAUAAUGCUAAUCGGUUCUUCUUCAUAUGACAUAUCAGAGUUAAUUUCAAUCUCGGUUGGACUAAUCACAUGCGAAGGAUCGAAUCUGUAUCUAUGAAGCAUCGAAACAUGGAAUACAUUGUGAAUCUUUUCUAACUCAGAUGGCAACAACAAUUUAUAAGCAACCGGCCCAAUACGCUCUAUAAUCUCAUACGGUCCAAUGAAUCUCGGACUUAAUUUACCUUUGCGACCAAAUCUAAGUAUUUUCUUCCACGAUGAGACUUUUAAAAACACUUUGUCCCCGGUCUGAAUUUCUAUAUCAUUUCUUUUCAAGUCCGCAUAAGAUUUCUGAUGAUCUGAUGCUGAUUUCAGACUAUCCCGUAUCACUUUCACUUUUUGUUCAGUCUCUUUAAUCAAAUCGACCCCUUGUAUCUUAUUCUCACUGAGCUCAGUCCAAUACAAUGGUGUACGACAUUUACGACCGUACAAAGCCUCGUAAGGUGCCAUUUUGAUACUAGAUUGAAAGUUAUUAUAUGCAAAUUCAAUCAAAAGUAAGUAUCGUUCCCACGUACCUUCAAACUCGAGAAUGCAACAUCUCAACAUAUCCUCAAGUAUCUGAAUGAUUCGUUCAGAUUGACCGUCUAUUUGCGGAUGAAAAGCUGUGCUAAAAUGUAAUUUCGUACCUAAAGCAUCUUGUAGUUUCCUCCAAAAUCGUGAUGUGAACCUCGGGUCUCUGUCCGAAACAAUAGAAAUAGGCACACCAUGCAACUUCACAAUUUGAGCAACAUAUAAUUCGGCAAGUUUAUCAAGCGGGAAAUCUGUACGGAUUAGAAUAAAGUGUGCCGAUUUUGUCAACCUAUCAACAAUAACCCAGAUUGCAUCUUUCUUACUCGGUGUCAACGGUAAACCAGAUACAAAAUCCAUCGUGACCCGGUCCCAUUUCCACUCGGGAAUCAUAAUCGGCUGAAGUAACCCAAACGGUACUUGAUGCUCAGCUUUAACUUGCUGACAAAGUAAACAUCUCGAAACAAAGUCAGAAAUGUCUCAUUUCAUACCAUGCCACCAAUAGUAUUGUUUAAGAUCGUUAUACAUUUUCGUGCUACCCGGAUGAAUAGAAAAUCGACUAUUAUGAGCUUCAUUCAAAAUAAUUGAAAUUAACUUUGAAUUUCUCGAAACACAUACUCGGUUUCUAAAUCUCAAACAAUCCUCAGCAUCAACUUGAAACUCUGAAUCAACAUUUGAGUCACACUGAGCUCGUUUUUCAUUUAAAUCACCAUCAGAUUUUUGAGCUUCACAAAUCUGUGGGAUGAAUAACGGUUUUGCUUUUAACUCAGUUAUUAUCGCACCAUCAUUAGAUAUAGCUAUAUGCGCUUUCAUUACACGCAAAGCAAACAGUGAUUUUCGACUUAAGGCAUUAGCGACAACAUUAGCCUUUCCCGGAUGAUAAUCAAUCACAAGCUCGUAAUCUUUUAACAAUUCUAACCAUCGGCGCUGUCUCAAAUUCAGAUCUUUCUGAGUCAUCAAAUACUUCAAGCUUUUGUGAUCGUAAUAAACAUGACAUUUUUUGCCAAACAGAUAGUGACGCCAUAUUUUCAACGCAAACACAAUAGCGGCCAAUUCUAGAUCGUGCGUCAGAUAGUUCUUUUCGUGUGGCUUUAACUGUCUCGAAGCAUAAGCUACAACUUUGCCUUCCCCGUGUUUAUAACGCAUUCAAAUCAAUCCUUUUAUUGUUUUUAAAUUUUGCCUAACAUUUUCUUUUUGUUUCAUUUUGGUCCACACCAAAACGCAGCGUUUUGAGGGAAGGGACUAUUUCUCAUUUGGCCCCCAUGUUAUUCGCGCGUUAUGCUGAGGUCCCCUCAUUUUGUUUUAUUUUCUUUUUUAUUUUCAUUUUUUAAGUUCAAUUUAACCCAUAUUAAUGUAAUUUAAUGUGUUUGAUUUAUUUUUAAUUUAUUUAAGUAUUUAUUAUUCUAUUAUUGUUUUUAAAAACGUAUUAAAUUUUAAAUCUAAUAUUAUUUUAAUAUUUAAGCUUAAUAUUAUUUUGAAUUCAUAAUUAAUAUUAUUUAAACUUGUAAUGUACUAUUAUUUUAAAUUAUCAUCAAAAUAUAUCAUUAUUUUUAUCAUGUACUAUUGUGUAAAUUUAUCAGGUAUCAUUAUUUAAGUUUAUCAUAUAUUAUUUUAUAUGUUUUCUAUGCAAACUUAAUAUAAUUGGUAUACACUCCUUAAUAGUUUUAUUUUUAUAAUAUAUUUAUUUUCAAAAUUCUCUUUUAUAAUUCUAUGUUUUAAAGAUUUAUACGAUAAUAUUCCUAUACAUAUACUAUUAUAUGAAGUUUUUCAAUCCAUAUGUAUUACUUAUUUAAAUUAAUAUAUGUAUAUUAUUUUAUGUAUUUUGACUUUCUUCUUAUAUAAUAUUUAUUUUAAAAUUUAUUUAGAUACUAUUAUUUUAUGUAGUAUUUAUUUUUAACGCUAUUUUUGAUUUAUCUCAAGCUUUCAUAUAUGUAUUUUAAAUUUAUUUUAAUAUAUAAUUUAUUGAUUAUAAUUUCCCUUCUUGCAUGUUGUUCUUUUUUUUAGUUAUUUUAAAAACUUGUUAUAUUGUAUUUGUGUUAAUUUGCUUGGAACCUCGUUUAAGUUUAGCUUUUAGUUCAUUAGCUUUCGAAUGUUAAUGUUAAUAUUUACAUGUGAUGUGAGAUUAUUGCUCUUAUGUGUAUGGUAUUGUUUAUUUGCAUUAAUUAAUUAUUUGUCAUUCAUUAGACUGCAAUUUGGUUUCUUAAUUAUCACUUCGCGUUAUACAUUAUCAUUCCCUCGCAUUUUAUUCGUAAAAAAAGGUUAAAUUUAAUAUGAUUUAAGUUUUAAAAUCAUUUUAUGCAAAAGCCUCUAAGAUAUUAUAAUACUCGGUGUUUGAGAUUUUCGAAAAGAUCAUACCCUAACUUACGGGGUCUCGAUUUUUCGAUAAUUUCAAAUAUAAGAACCUUUUUUUUAAAUAAAAAACAUAUUUUUUUAAAAUUAUCUCGGGAAUCAGAAAAUGACUGUGUUCCAGCUUACGGGAUAUGGUUUUUUUCCAAAACCGAGAUGAUCAAAAUUUCUAAAAAUAAAUAAAUUUUUGGUGUUUAUUCUCGUGUCGGGAUUAAAGAUAUUGUGUCCUAACUCACGAGAUAUAAUUAUUUUUCUCGAUUAAUGUGAAAUACACCCUUCUUUAAAUUUUUAAUAAAAGGAUCGUAUUUUUAAAUUUCUUUUUGAAUUUUCAAUUUUUCAACAUUAAGAUAUUAAUUAAUCAAUUAGGUACCAAUUUUGGGCAUGAUGAGGGUGCUAAUCCUUCCUCGCAUGUAACCGACUCUUGAACCCGUUUUUCUUGAAUUUCGUAGACAAAAAUUAUUGUUUUAGUAAAAUUAAAACGUUUUAUUUAAACAAUUGAAUUGCAAGGUGAUUCGAUCACACCUAAAAUAUCGGUGGCGACUCCCUUUUUUAUUUUCAUUUUCAAAAUAAAGGUCGACUCAUUUUUUUUUCAAAAAGUGGUUUCGAUAGCUUGGCGACUCCACUGGGGACUAGUUUUGAGAGUCGAGCCACAAAUUGAUUAAUUUCUGUCUUUUUUUCGAAAUUUGAAAACUCAAUAUAAAUUUAUGAUUCUUUCAUUGCAUUGUUAUAGUUUGCAUCAUUGUGGUAUUUUUGCUUUGUUGGGUUAAGUUUUUAAAUCAUUGCAUAUUGCACUGCAUAACCAUUCGGUUAUACCCUCUUAAGUGGGAGUGAGAAGCUAGUCCUUCGUGAGGUUUUCACCUUCGUAUAGGAUAGUGGAUCACUUUCGAGAUACAUCCAUACCUAUGCCUUCGUGAGAUUUUCAUCUCUGUAUAGUCAUAGGAAAAUGUAUUCCCCUGAACUGAACUCGGUAGAACCUCUAGGUAGAACCUCUCCGCACCCGUAGUGGUCGACCGAGUAGAUACCUUGUUUGUGAUUUCUUGUUUACUUUAAAUUUUGGUCUUAAACGUACUAACUUGCUUUGUUUUUUAUUGUGUUUGCAUGACCUGGUCAUCAUAUACAUAAAAAGGUGUCAAUUCGCAUUCGGUUACUAAAUAGAAAGCUUACCAUGGAGAAUGAAUUUCUUGAGAAAAUGGAAGAUAAUAUGGCUCUCCAAGUGUGGUCAGAGAGGAUGCAACUUGAGAAAGGUGAUAGCUUGACCGAGGGGUACAGAUCAGAAUUAUGGGACUUCACUCGUAUCAGCGUGACUCAAAACAAUCUCCAGGAGUUGAAAGAAAUUUGGGCUCAAUGGGAUGAUGAAGUCAAACAGUUGUUUUAUGGUAAUUAUGGUGAUUUGCCUUAUUUACUUGAUAUCAAGGUAGACGAGCAUUUGUUUCGUGCUUUGGCCCAAUUUUGGAAUUCCGCUUUUAGUUGCUUCACCUUUAGGAAAGUACACUUGGUACCAACUAUGGAGGAGUAUACAACCUUACUUCGUUGUCCGAGGAUCCAAGUAGAUAAAGUUUAUUCUAAAGCCGUCAAUGUCUUGACUUUUGUAAAGAAGUUAAUGAAUGUCACAAGAAUGAGUGAGUAAUAGGUCGCGACACAGAUCAAGUAGAAAGGAGAAAGAAAAUGUAUCCCCUAGAGUUUGCGAGAUCUGAUUUUGGCACACCUUGAUAUGAAGAAAAAGGUCGAUGUUUUUGCUUUGAGCAUUUACGGGCUAAUUAUUUUUCCUAAAGCCCUUGGACAUGUAGAUGAGGUAGUUAUAGACUUGUUCGAUCGACUGGAUAAGAAGGUCACGCCUAUCCCAGCAAUUUUGGCCCAGACAUUUAGAUCUUUGAAAGCGUGUCGGAGGACGGGUGAAAGAAGAUUCAUUGGUUGUGCACAGCUUCUAUUAGCUUGGUUCCAUAGUCACUUUUAGAAAGUAGAUAAAGUUUCUUAUCAAGUAUUCUCCGGGAGCCAUUCUCCACUGAAAGAAUUAGCAGCGAUGCUAAGGCACGAUGACAUUAUAGAGGAAAGAUGGAUAAUGAUCCUUCAAAAUCUCCAAGAUGAAGAUAUCGAAUGGAGAGCUCCUUGGUUGGUACCCGAUGAGAUUCUAUAUCAAUGCAGAAACUUAGACUGGGUCCCUUUUCUUGGAAUUUGGGGAGCUGUAAGAUAUGCUCCUCUGCUCAUUUUAAGAUAAUAUAGAUCAAGACAGUUCAUACUGGUAACGUAAGGGUUGGCUUAGUGUGAAUUUUCUUAUAAAGGUGAUAACUAUAAGAAAAAAAUUUGAGAAAUGUUUAAUGCUUGGAAUCAAACGCACCGGAUGAAAAGACUUGCUGUAGGACCGAUGACAACACUUGAAUAUUAUAGAUGAUGGAGUAAAAUAGUCAAUGACAACAUUUUGAGGCCGAGUCAAGAAGAUGUUCGAUCGAUGGAGGAAUACCCGCAAGUGAUGCAAUCUGAGAUAAAAAUCAUAAAGCAGGAUUUUAAAAAGAAAAAUUCAGAGCUAGGAAAGAGGAUAAAGCAGUUGGAGGAAGAAAAAAUGCAUUGGAAAUUAGAUGUUGAUGUUCAGAAGUUAGAAACCAAAAAAUUAAGACUUAGAUAGUUUGAAGACAGAUUAUAAGAAGUUCCGUUUAUCGAUAAGAACUGUUGGGUUGGGGAAAACUUCAGAAUAGUGGCGUCAAGAGAUUCAAGAAGAGAAGAUCAAGGCCGAUAGGUGGAAAAAGAAAUUCCAAGAGACUCAAAAGUGAAACAAGGCCUUAGAGAAGAGUUUGUUAGAGAGCCAAAAUGAAAAGGGUGAACUAAAGGCUAGAGUGGUUGAACUUAAAACUUUCUUCAUCAUUAUCGAAAUCGUAAUUCUGCGAUAAAGCUAAGAGCAAGCUUAAGCAAGAUCGAGGAAAUGAAAAGAAGAGUAGAAGAAUUAGAGGAGACAUUACAAAACUAUGAAAUGCGGAUUGAAUUCCUUGAAGCCAGUGAAGAGCGUUAGAAAGAACAGCUCCACUUUUGUCAGAACCAAGUUAGAAACAGAGAUCACAUUAUGGGGGAGGUUGUGGCUCAGAUUCGAAAUGUAGCUGAUUACUUACAAACUUUGGUAGUACAAUCUGAUACGCUAAGCGUAAAGUACAAGCUUGAAUCAGACCGAGGGGAAGAGUUAGCUUCACUGCUUAGGAAAAUUAAGGUUCUGAGCAUUAGGGCAAAGCCGUAUAUCUAAUAUGUUUUAUGUAAAGAACAUUGUUUUCCAGUAAAGUUUUCUAAAUAGAAAUGAAUUAGAAUUGAUGCCUUUUUGCAUAUAUUUCAUGCUUUUGCAUUACAUCACAUCAUAUGCAUUAAGGUCUACCAAAAGAUCCUAAUUGGUUAAAAUUAUUUCAGUUAAUCUAGAAACCAACAAAAAAACUUGCCAACCAAACAUCAUUACGGUACCCGAGCAAAGACAAAAGAUAUGGGUCAAAGAUUAGAAAGACUUGAACAAUUUCAAAGAGAGAUGCAAGACCAAAUACAAACAUAAAUGCAAGAGCAGCUAGCUAAGAUACAACAAGGCCUAAUGGAUGAUAAUGAACUAGAAUUCUUUGAAUAUAAUAAAGGCUCGGAGGGAAUAUCCAGAAAUUGGGGCAUCAAUAUCAUAUACAAAUAAGCAAUUGAAGGAGAGACCUUGUUAGAUAUCUACCCUUAUGAACCGAGGAGUGAGCUAAACAGUUGGACUGCAGAAGAAAUGCCUGUAGUUUUUAGACCUUACUUAGAGGAAUGUACAGAACACACUUGUUGCUUUUAGCCUAGAAGUGAUAAGAAUCCUUCUGUGAAAUAGGCUCAUGUCUGAACAUCAUUAUUUUAAUGAAAUACAUCUUUGCAUUCAUUUUGAGAAAAUAUUCUUUCAUUCUUUCCAUACGAGUAACUAUUCUUUCAUUCUUUUGGAGAUUUUCUUCCAAAUCAUUCUUUCAUUUCAUUCAUAAUCAUACUGUACAGAUAAUUAUUCUUUAAUUCAUACAUUAUUUGUAUAUUCUUUGGUACCUACAAUAGGUCCCUUGAUAUCAAUGACAUGAGUGACGCUGGUACAAACUUAGAAUUUCCUUUUGAACAAGACAUGUGUUUAGAGGGAUCUCAUGACUUUGAAGAUGACAUAGAAUGUGGCUUAUCUCCGGACUUGUUAAGGAUGGUAGAACAGGAGGAGAAACAAAUCCUACCCAACAAGGAAUCAAUGGAAAUUGUGAGCUUGGAAGAAGGAAAAGAGGUGAAGAUUGGUAUUAACAUGCCAUAAAGACGAAGCGAGACCUCGUUGAAGUUACUCAAGAAUUCAAAGAUGUCUUCACAUGGUCACACCAGGAUAUGCUCGGGUUAAGCACUGACAUUAUAGUACAUUACUUUCUAAUAAAAAAAAGAUUGCAAGCCAGUUCAGCAGAAAUUCUGGAGAAUGAGGCCUGAUAUUGUGCUAAAAAUAAAAGAAGAAGUCAAAAAGCAAUUUGAUGCUGGGUUCUUACAAGUGGUCAAAUAUUCAGAAUGGGUAGCGAACAUCGUCCCAGUCCCUAAAAAAUGAGAAAAUAUGAAUGUGUGUGGAUUACAGGGACUUGAACAAGGCCAGCCUAAAAUACAAUAUCUCAUUGCCUCACAUUGACACUUUGGGGAAUAAUACAGCAGGCUACUAACUAUUUUCCUUCAUGGACGGCUUCUCUGGAUACAAUUAGAUAAAGAUGCAUCCCAAAGACAUGACAAAGACUACAUUCGUAACCCUAUGAGGAACAUUUCGCUAUAAAUUGAUGCCAUUCAGAUUAAAGAAUGCGGGAGCAACAUAUCAAAGAGCCAUGGUAGCCUUAUUCCAUGGCAUGUUGCAUAAGGAAAUCAACCUUUAUGUCGACGAUAUGAUUGCAAAAUCUAGAACAAAAAAGGAACAUGUACAGGUCUUGAGAAAAUUGUUCUUAAGAUUGAGGAAGUUCCAGCUCAAGCUCAAUCCAGCAAAAUGCACUUCCAAAGCUAGGUCAAAAAAGCUGUUAGGCUUCAUAGUCAGUGAAAAAGGAAUUGAGAUCGACCUAGAUAAAGAUAAGGUGAUACAAGAAUUACCUCCACCAUGCGUCAUAGGACUAGACCUUUCGUCUUGCAAUCCGUGCGGCUUUAGGCGAUCUGUUCGUCCCAAACUCGCCUAAGUCAGCCUUUAUGCCCAAAAGUGAGGAUUCUUUUAAGAACACCUCUAAGGCACCAAUUUGUAUAGCGGAAGCGGUUGUGCCAAAAGAAGCUACAAGUGAACAACAGAAAGCAAAAGAAAGAAUACACACAAAAUGUUUGAGUAAAUGCUCAAGAAUUCUAUUACUCUUAAGAAUUCAGCUUACAAUGGAUGAGUACAAAUAAGGGGGAGACUCUCUAUUUAUAGUUGAGCUCCCCCAAAACCGACGGUUAAGAUAAAUUUACAUCGACGGACGAGAUUCACUAUAUCCCUUGAUUUUAGGGAUUUACAAGAUUUUCCAUAUCAAAUCUAAUCUAAUCUUUACAAAGUAUGAUUCUCUCUAUCUUCUAAUAUUAGUUACUAAAAUUAGCCUAAGUUGUCAUGUCUUCAUCAUCGGGCCAACCAGGCUUCAAUCUGACAGGCUUCUCCAAGAGCUCUCUGAAUCGAGCCAGUUCUCGAGGGCUAAAUGUUCCCCAUCUAAUCGAUAGACCUCCAUGGGGCACUUUUUGUGCCAUGGUCACGGGCUUUGCACUUUGGCCCGUGACAUUCUCCCUCACCCAUUCUCGCAACACCCUCGUUGUGACUUCUGGAUGACACUAACUUGAUUCACCAUGAAACUUUCUCGUUGCCUCAGCUUCUUCCCAAAUUGUCUUUCGAUCGGGUUGUCCCUUCUUUCGGAACCUAUGCCUCAGCUUCUGUCGCCUCUUAUCUUGAACCGUUGCACUCGUUGGUACAUUCCGUUGGCAAGAAGUCUCCGCUCUAAUUUGCCCCAAUUUUGAGUUGUUCUCACUAGAAUCCCCUGGAUUCUCACAUCUCAGCUUCAUACCACCCACAGUUCCUUGGCCUCCUUGCUUAUGAACUUUGAAAGGGCCCCUACGACCUUGCCAAGCCAACAAGUUAGAAUUCAAAACACUAUCAAAGUGUUUGCAAUGUACCUUACUCGUCUCGACUAUUUUUGCAUGCUCCUUUUCCCUCAAAGCUCGAUGCACAACCCACCUUUCCCAAAGGUGUCGGCUCCACAGUCGAAUCUGCAGGCUUCAUAUCGGUCCCUUGCACCACUAACACUUUCGAAGGGGCUUUCACAGCUUUUCGUUCCGACGUAAUAUUUCUCCUAUACGAAACAUCUUCGACUAGUUGGAUUGACGAUAACACCUGGGUCCCAACCUUCAUAUCCCGAUGCACCGGUACAACCAUUUUUGUUAACUGAUCGGUGACAAUAUGGAUUUGAUCGACCCAUGGUUGCAGAGUUGCCUGAAUCCUGUCAGGGAAGUUUAAGCCAAGCACAUAAUCGUAAUCAUCCAAUUGGAUUACCUCGAAAUCUUCCUUACUCUUCCAUUUGCCGAUUUGUAGUUUCAUAUCACGAACUACUUCCACAGUUGGGGCUCUCUUGGAAGUUGCUAUCUUGAUCUUCUUAUUUGAUUUCCUAAUCGACAGACCAAGCUUUUUCGUAGGCUUUUCCAACACGAACAAGUCCGAUGCUCCCGUAUCAAUAAGAGCACUCUGCUUCUGACCCGCAAUGUUGAUGUCCACAAACAUCAACCCUUUUCCACCAUUCCUCUUCCCAAGAAUGAGCACCAUCGAAUUGACUCUCGAUGUCUUUCCUUCGGUAGGCUUCGCCUCUUCCUUCCGCCCAUCUUUCUUUUUUAUUGCCGAAAUCAUCAUUUUAUUUGGACAUUUUUGCGCCAUGUGUGGUCCUUGACAAAUGAAACAUUUUAUCUUCUUCCUCUUGUCCCUUGGGUUGUCGAAUCCCCCCUUCGCAUCUCAUGGUUUCCCAUUGCCACUUGUGCUAUCGGUACUGUUGCAAUCAUCGUUAUGUCCCUCUUCAUCUUCUUCAUGGUUUCUCUCACCAUUGCCCUUUCCAUUGGGCUUAGACGUCUCGAGCUUGUCUCUCGCUGGACCAAGCUCAACAAAGGACUCUGCUUCUGCCAUGGCUACAAUAAGUUUAGUGAUUCCUUACCUUCGCAACUCAUGCUUUGCCCACAGCUCUAACCCAUCCUCGAACCAAUAGAAAGCUUCUUUCUCACUCAAGUCAGAGAUUUCAAGCAUCAACUUGCUAAAUGCCCGAACAUACUCCCGAACAGUGCCUUGUUGCGUGAGACAACACAACUUUGCUCGAGCCUCCUUCUUGGCAAAACUGAGGGUAAAACUGCUUCUUCAACUCUCUUUGGAACUCCUUCCAAGUCCCAAUUGUGUUCCCACCACGUUUCUCAUCCGUGGACCUACGAUGCCACCACAAGAGAGCUACAUCAGUAAAAUAGAUUGAAGCAGUGUUUACCUUAAUGGCAUCAUCCUCGAUGCCCACCGUUCGAAAGUAUUGCUCUAUUUCCCAUAAGAAUUUGUCCACAUUCCUUGCGGAUCGUGCACCCUUGAACUUCUCUGGUUUGGGAACAUCCAUUGCUUGUUGCUUUGGCCUUGAAGACAACAUCCAAUUACUCAAAGCAGCUUUGUAAAUCGUAAGCUCCUCCUUGAGCUCCUCCAUUUUUUUCUUCAUGGCAAGCACCAUAUCUUCGAGAGCUUCAUCCCUUACCGUCAACUUGUCCGAAGUGGACCUAAGAGUGUUCAGCACGAAUUCCUUGCUGUCUUCCCUCAGUUCCUCAAUACGGUUCAGGACCACUUCGAGUGUCUCUCUCAUGUCACCAACAGGCUCCUCGAGAUUAACCACUCGAUUUUCUAAAGCUGUUAGCAUGUCCUUCGAGUGACUUCCUUUUCUGGCCCUCCUACGGGUCUCCAUUGGCUCACUCUGACCAACGAAUUCUUUCAACAUCCCAACGGUGCCUUUGAACCAACUCGAAUAUCACUUGGUUCAAAACUUGGCUUGGAUACCACUUGUCACAGGACUAGGCCUUUUGUCUCGCAAUCCGUAUGUCCUUACGUGAUUCGUUCGUCCCAAACUCUCCUAAGUCAGCCUUUACGUCCAAAAGUGAGGAUUCUUUUAAGAACUCCUCCAAGGCACCAAUUUGUAUAGCGGAAGUGGUUGUGCCAAAAGAAGCUACAAGUGAACAACAGAAAGGAAAAGAAAGAAUGCACAGAAAAUGUUUGCGUAAAUGCUCAAGAAUUCUAUUACUCUUAAGAAUUCAGCUUACAAUGGAUGAGUACAAAUAAGGGGGAGGCUCUCUAUUUAUAGUUUAGCUCCCCCAAAAUCGACGGUUAAGAUACAUUUACAUCGACGGACGAGAUUCACUAUAUCCUUUGAUUUUAGGGAUUUACAAGAUUUGCCAUAUCAAAUAUAAUCUAAUCUUUACAAAAUAUGAUUCUCUUUAUCUUCUAAGAUUAGUUACUAAAAUUAGCCUAAGUUGCCAUGUUUUCAUCAUCGGGCCAACCAGGCUUCAAUCUGACAGGCUUCUCCAGCAACUCUCUGAAUCGGGCCAGUUCUCGUGGGCUAAAUGUUCCUAUCUAAUCGAUAGACCUCCAUGGGGCACUUUUUGUGCCAUGGUUACAGGCUUUGCACUUUGGCCCGUGACACAUGCAUCUCCUUCUCCUCUUCACAUUAUGACUUCUCCAUGGCUUUUCUCCAUGUGGGGCAUGGAUGUCAUUGGGGCAAUAUUGUCGAAGGCUUCUAAUGGACAUCACUUCAUCUUUGCUGUCAUUGAUUACUUCACCAAGUGGGUGGAAACUACUUCAUAUGCUAACGUCACAAAGUUUGCAGUCAAAAAAUUCUUGAAAAAUGAGAUCAUAUGUUGGUAUGGAAUGCCAGAAAGAAUCAUAUCUGACAAUGCGCUGAAUUUGAACAACAGCAUAAUAGUGGAGGUCUGCAGUCAAUUCAAGAUCAGACACCAUAACUCGUUGCCAUAUCACCCUAAAAUGAAUGGCAGUAGAGGAAAAAAAAAGAAAAAAAUACAAAAAUACAAAAAAAAUAAAAAAAAAACAAAAAACAAAAAGAAACAAAAACUUUUACCAGGGCAACGCCUUUCUCUUUGGCUUAUCACGGUUUUUCAAUUGUAGUCGAGAUUCCUUCUCUCUAAGUUUUGUCAAAACUAAAUUUAGGUGAAGUAGAAUGAAUCUGGUUGAACUUGAUCAAAGAAAAGAGGCUGAGGACUAUCCUCACAAUCAGAUGUACAAAAAAUGAAUGAUGCGAGCUCAUGACAAAAAGGUUCGUCCUAAGAGAAUUCCAUGAAUGAGACCUAGUAUUGAAAAUGAUCCUCUCAUACAAAAAGAUUUUAGAAGGAAAUAGAUGCCAAAUUGGGAAAGACCUGAUGUGGUAAAGAAGGCCUUUUCCGGAGGAGUGCUGAUUUUGACCGAGAUAGAUGGUAAAAACUUGUCUAAUCCUAUAAACUCAGAUUCAGUCAAGAACUACUUCACCUAAAGAAGGAGAAGGGACCAAGGUGAAAACUCGCAAAGGGCGAUUUGAGUUCUAAACACAAAAAAAAAGACCAAUGUGAAAACCCGCAAAGGGCGCUUUGAGUUCUAAAAAAAAUGAGAGGCCAAUGUGAAAACCCACAAAGGGUUCCUUGAGAACAAAGGGGAUUUAAGUUGAAAAAUCGAACAGGGUGGCUCAAAUAUUGAUCAAAAUGGGGCAUGCAGUGAUCUUACUAUACCUAAAUUAAUAGGAAAGGGGUAUGUGACAUCUUGGGGCAUCGACAAAGUACUGUAGAUCUCCUAAACACAUGUCAAACUCAAAAUGGUCUUCAGGAAAUUUGUACAGAGAAAUUCAAGCUGCGAUAUCUGGGGCACCUAGUUUUCAUACUAUUUACAUUCAAUUUGUCAUUCUUGGAAUACUUCAUUCUUUUUAAGAUGCGUGUCCCCAAUCAAUUCUUUUUAUCCUUGAUAAUUUAUUCAUUUUGAGCUAUGCUCCAAACCAAUUCUAUUCUUAUUCAUUGUUAUGAUCUUUUACAAGCAUGAUGCAUUAGAAUAAUGAUUAAUGGACUAAUAAUACUUUCACAAAGGCAGUUUUGCAUAUUAUUCUAGAAGUUUCUAAAUAAUACAAGAACCUAAAACAGGACUAUUGUUUAGAACACACAGGGUUUAACGGUUGGAAAUAUCUAAGAAGGAAGAGUCUAAAUUAAGACUAUCCCUUCGGAUUUUUCUAUCAAAGUAUUGAUUGAACAAAAUGACGAGUUAUCUUGCUGGUGAUAGAGCUUCAAUGAACAAACGAGCAAUGAUCACCAAGUAUAUGAGGAGGUUAUUCUUUGGGGAAUAAAAUUCUACAUUGGUACGACACAUUGGGAAUGGUGUAAGGGACCAAAGAGAUUCACAUCCUGUAUCCUUGAAUUACAGUACGAGAGGAUUGAGAAAGAGCCAGAUCUUGUAUUCCUGAAUUACGGUGGGAGAAAGAUGGUACAAAUUUUAUGUCCCAGUGGAUUGAACCUUGAAGAUUACAGUGGGGCAAACUGAUUGAGUGUUUCUUUGAGUUUUUUCGAAGGUACCAGUCAAACAAGAACAUGUUAAUGAUAGAGCCUUAAUAAACAACGAGCAAUAACAACUCAAACAUUAAGAGAUCAUUUUCAUGACAUUCUGCAUUCAUUCAUACACAUCUAGUUAGGUGAUUUUGAUUUCAUUCCAAUCAUAACAUCCUAAUCACUAGGCAUGAAUAGACAUAUGAAAUGGAUUUUACAGGUUAUGUUCCCCAGAGAACAGAUUGGUAAAACCACAAAUCCUAUACUGUUGAAGUUGCAGUGAGAUGGAUUAAAGUUAUUAUGGAAAAUUUUUUUCCCUGGUGUUGCAGUGGAACAGAUUAAAGCUGAAGGCAGCGAAUCUUAUUUCCUUGGCGUUACAUGGAACAGAUUAAAGUUGAAGGCAGCGAAUCUUAUUUCUAUGGAAUUGUAGUGGAACAGAUUAAAGCUGAAGGUAGCGAAUCUUAUUUCCCUUGGCAUUGCAGUGGAACAAAUUAAAGCUGAAGGCAACGAAUCUUUUUUCCCUGGUGUUGCAGUGGAACAAAUUAAAGCUGAAGGCAGCGAAUCUUAUUUCUCUGGCAUUGCAGUGGAACAAAUUAAGGGUGCGUUUGUUUGCUGGAAAACAUUUUCCAGAAAAUGUUUUCCUAAUUUUACAGUGUUUGGGAGCCUGAAAACAUUUUACACUUGGAAAAUGUUUCCAAAACACGGGUAAAAUGGCCUCAGUUCAGGGAAAAUGUCUUACCAAUUUUAAUUCCGUAAGACAUUUUCCGGAAAAUCCCUCCCUCCUUCCGACCUUCUCCUUCUUCAAUCUAUCUUCCCCUCACGAAUUUGCAAGAUCUAAACGUCUCAAAGUUGGCCCAUUGUCGAUUUUGUAAGUAUCCCCUUCUGUCUUCCCCUUUUGGUAGCUUGCAAUUAGGAAUUUUUACAGUUCUUUUUGGUAUCCCCUUUGUCUUCCAAUAUAUGUCAACAAACAACUGUUUGCAAUUGGUUGAGACAACUUCAAUUCCAGCACCAUGACUUCAACUUCUUCAUGUCUCGUCAGUUCCAAAAUCCCUAAUGUUAACCCUGGUCAUAGUUUUUUUUACAAAGGAGGCCACAGUUUCUCGAUGAAAUUGCCACUAAUUCCAUUCCAAUUCACUGCUGUUAAGUGCCAAUCAUCCCUCGAAUUUGCUCCAUUUUACUGCAAUUUCAUCCAUAUUUAUCGUACCAAUCCAUCCAAACAUCAACUACUUGCCGUUCUUAAAGCCACUGCCAUGCUCCUUGAAAGCCAUUGUGGUGCCUUCAAUUUUUGUUUCCAUCUCCUUUAAAAAAUUUGAUGCUUUCCAUAUUGUGGUUGUCUUUAAUUUAAAGCUGCUCUGUUUUUGAUUAGUUCAAACCCCAAUUUGUUGUUGCUUACUUGAAUCGUGUUACAAGAUGUUGCUUUACUUCAUUGCUAAGAGGUUAGUAUCAAUAAGGCUAGCUCAAUAUAUUAAUUAUUUAGUCGAACGAUGUUAUGGUCAGUUUACAUAUAUUAAAACAUACAUAUAUUAAAGAGUUAUUCCGACUUUUGACAUCUAGUCUUUUGCUGUAUAUUCUGAAACUAUUUUGGUUAUUUUUCAGGCUGCCAAACGUGCAGGGUGGCUUCCUCAAGGUGAUAGUUAUCCCAAAGCUAGCCAUGUUGGUUUUUGACUUGUUCUUGGAGAAGAUGGCAAGCGUUUUCGAACCCGUAACACUGAAGUAGUUUGUUUAGUUGAUCUACUUGAUGAAGCCAAGAACCGAAGUAAAGUAGCACUUAUCGAGCAAGGUAUGAUAUUGAACCUUAUCUCUGUUGUUACAAAUGUUUUUCAACUCUUUUCAACUACCUUAUGUUUGUCAGUCUAUUUGUGACGUAUUUGUUACUGCAAGUCCUUACAGUUGUUAAAUUGUGUAGCCUUUGAACUUUUCAACCUCUUGUAUCUGAAAUUGUUACUUUGUGUGCGAAUCAGGUAAGGGUGAAGAAUGGACCGAGGAGGAGAUUGAGAGUACUGCUGAUGCAGUUGGUUAUGGUGCUGUAAAGUAAGCUACUUAUUAUUAUAUCAAGUUAUUUAUGUAAUCUAAUUAGUAUUGCUAUGAUCUUCUCAGUAGUUCUUGUACUAUUUUGUUUUCUUUUUAAUAUUCAUUAAACCUGAUUGCAGGUAUGCUGACUUGAAGAACAACAAAUUGACUAAUUAUACACUUAAUUUUGACCAGAUGCUUAACGAUAAGGUGCCUAACAGUUUUCUUUUUUAGAAUGCAAAUAUUGUGGAACUGGUUUCAUCAUUUUGGUCUCUAGUGAACUUUUAAUGCUAACCAUCUAGCUCUAGUUUAUUGUUUUUAGUUCUAUGUUGAACAUUUUAGCUUUCAAAUCUUCUGUUUGUAUAUUCUAGAUGUUUAUGUUAUGAUCUUUUUAUCUUGAUUACUAUAAUUUAAAAAUCCUUUUGGAAUGUGUGUUUAUUUUGCAGAAAGUAAUUUGCAAGGAGCCUCAAGAGUCAAAGAUUCCCCCAUCUCUUCUUUUUAGUGAUAAAUUUUGAUUUUCUUGAUGCAGUCAUGCCAUUUAUACAUUUCUGCAAAAUUUUGAAGUUGUAAUGAAGUUGUAAAAUGGCUUGUGUUAUUCAAGUUGUUGGUAUUAAAUUUUGGACUCUGAGUAAUACUUGAAUCUGCUUUACUUUUGUUGAUAGGAUAUUGAAUCCUUUUUUUGAAUCCAUUUUUUUUUUGGGGAUGACAGAUUCUGGUAUACGAAUUGAUUAGCUACUUUACUUUUUACAAUUUUUUGACUUGCUAAAUUCGAAUAUUUUGGCAGAUUCAGAUCUUUGGUCUGUUUGUUAAUGCAUAUUCAGACCGAGUCACAUAGAUGUAGUUAGUUUUAGUUUUUGAGGGACUUGGUUCAUAUGUUCCCUUGCUCAAUUUAUAGCUGAAGAUGCAUAUGUUUUUCUGGUUAACUGGUUGGAAAGGUUUCCACAAUACAAGCAUAGAGAUUUCUAUAUGUGGAUAAUGGAAAUUGAGUAUUAUUAUAAAUAAAUCAUUGCAAUAUAUGUAAAAACAAUUUCAAAUAUAAAAAUUUAUUAAUAUAUAUUAAUAUAGGUAAAAACAACUUUGCCGAAAAAUAUUUUCAGGAAAUCUGCCAAACAGCAGAAAAUAUUUUACACAGAUUCAUCCAAACACCAGAAAAUAUUUUCCAGUAAAUCAUUUUACAGAAAAGUAAAACAUUUUCCAGAAAUCAUUUUACGGAAAACAUUUUACUGGCAAACAAACGGACCCUAAAGCUGAAAGUAGCAAAUCUUAUUUCCCUAGCGUUGUAGUGGAACAGAUUAAAGCUGAAGGCAGCGAAUCUUAUUUCCCUGGCAUUGCAGUGGAAUAGAUUAAAGCUGAAGGUAGUGAAUCUUUUUUCCCUGGUGUUGUAGUGGAACAGAUUAAAGUUGAAGGCAGCAAAUCUUUUUUCCCUAGCGUUGCAAUAGAUUAAAGCUAAAGGCAGCGAAUCUUAUUUCCCUGGCAUUGCAGUGGAACAGAAUAAAGCUGAAGGUAAUAAAUCUUUUUUCCCUGGUGUUGCAGUAGAACAGAAGGCAACGAAUCUUAUUUCCCUGGCGUUGGAAUGGAACAGAUUAAAGCUGAAAGCAGUGAAUCUUUUUUCCCUGGUGUUGUAGUGGAAUAGAAUGCAACGAAUAUUAUUUCCCUGGCGUUGCAGUGGAACAGAUUAAAGCUGAAGGUAGCGAAUCUUUUUUCCCUGGCAUUGCAGUGGAAUAGAUUAAAGCUACAAAUUGUGGCGGAUCUUAUCUUCUUGAAGUUACAGUGAAGCAGAUUGAAGCCACCAAUCCUAUCUCAUUGAAGUUGCACUGGAGCGAAUUAAAAUGACAAACCCUAUACCUUUGAAGUUGUAGUAGGUCAGAUUAAAUCUACCAUAAUAAGUCUUAUUUCCCUGAAGUUGCAGUGGAGCAGACUAAAAUCACAAAUCUCGUCCCUUUGAAGUCGCGGCAGAGUAGAUUGAAGCUACAAGUUGUAUCUGAAGUUGAAGUAGAAUGGAUCGAAGCAACAAGAUGCAGUGGGCUGGAAUUAAGCUAUUUGAAGAAGAGAAGCACCAUGAGAGGUCAAGCCUCGGCAAGACCAGGCAAAAUUGACCCUUUUUAAGUCUUUUCUCCAUUUUCGUUACAUGACAACGAGAAAAGAGGGGCAGCUAUAAUAGGCCAAUUUUGGUUUGGCCCAAUAUUAACCAAAUUAAUAAUAAACCAAUAAAAUAAUAAAAUAGCAGUCCAUUAAUAAAGUCUAAUAACAUGUCCAAAUUACAGAAGCCCAAAAUAAUAAAAACCACUACAAUCCUAGACCCAACUAAAGCCCAGUUUGCAGCCCACAACAUUAAAAAACAAACAGAAACCCUAGCCUUCAACUUUCAGCCGCUGCUCCUGCCCUUCGCGCGCACCAGCCUCUUGCCUCAGCCGCACGUGCACCUCCAUUCCAGCUGACCUCGCACCUGCAACAAACAAGAAGAAAAGAGCACACUAGAAAGCCAUAACAGAAUGCAACAAAUAACAGAGAAAAUAUAAAAGAAAAAAUGAAUAAUUUUUGUGUUUUCAUUCGGCUAUAUAAAGCUAAUUUUUGCAUCUGUAAAUGGAUUCACGAAUCAAUAGAAAAAUAGAAAAAUAUUUAAUAUAACAAGCAGAGAUCUUAGAAUACAAAAAAAAAUUUAAGGUAGAUAUUAGGGGUUUUUUCUCUUCUUCUUUUUUCGAUUCAUUUUAAAAAAAUAAUACAGUAAGUAUUAAGAAAAAGAAAAGAGAAGGCUUAGCUUGCAACGCCUUCAGAUCCACACAAAAAAGGAGCUAAAAAGCCUUUUGUGGUGCAGCUUCGACCACCGUUCACGAUGGAAUCGUGAUGGAGGCGCAGAGGAUUGGCUUCAGUUUAGGAAACCCUAGCAGAGAAAAAAUAGGGUUGAUAGUUUUUUUUUUAAAAAAAGGCAGGAAGUGAUUUUAAUUUUUUUUGUUUAUUUUAUAACAGGUACUGAAUGACGUCGUUUAGGGUCUGUUUCAGUGGCCUCAAAACAACGCCGUAUAAGGCAUAACCCGCGCGGUGGCCCGACCCAACGGGAGGAUCCACGUGCUUUUGAUUAAUGGGCAAUUUGCACAUCUGGCCCAUCCGCAUUUUUAAUUAUUUUAAUUUAGUUUUUUUUACUUUUUUCAUUCAAUUGAUACUUUAAAUUUUAUUUGGUUUUUGAUUUGGUCCUGGUGAAAUGGUGCAUUUCAGAGGGUGGGGAUAUUUCCCCAAUCGGUCGCUUUGAGUUAUUCGCGCCUUUCAAUUAGGUCCUUUAUUUUAUUUUAUUUACGUUUUUCCCUCUAAAUUUGUUUUAAAUCCAAUUUAAUUCUUAUUAGUUUAGUUUAAUGUUUUUUAAUUUAUUUAAAUGUAUAUUCUUUUAUUUUUUAAUAUAUUUAAUUUUAAAUCUAAUUUAAUGAUUAAGUUCAAUUAUUAUUUUAAAUUUAUUAUUAACAUUGUUUAAAUUUAUCAUAUAUUAUUAUUUUAAUUUCCAUCUAUUAUUUUAUAUAUUUUUAUGUAAUUUUCAAUAUAAUUUGUAUUUUUUAAUGGUUUUAUUUUAUAAUACAUUUUUUAAAAUUCACUUAUACAUAUUUCAUCUUUAAAGAUUUAUACGAUAAUAUUCUUAUGCAAUAUUUGCUUUAAAAUUUAUUUAUACUACUUCAUAUAGUUUUUUAUUCUAUUUUUUAAACUUUUUCAAGUUUUCAUAUUAAUUAUUUUUAAAAAAAAUUAUACAUAUAAUUUAUUGUUUAUACAUUGAUAAUUCCAAUUUUUUAUGCUAUUUUUUUGUAGUUAUUUUAAAAUUUUUUGCAUUUUAUUUGUGUUAAUUUGCUUGGUAUUUUAUUUUAGGAUUGACUUUUAGAUCAUUAGCCUUUGAUUGUUAAUGUUAGAAUUUAUAUAAUAUGUGAUGCGAGAUUAUUGCUCUUGUGUGUAUUGUAUUGCUUAUUGGUAUUUACUAGUUAUUUGUAGUUCAUUAGAGUACAUUUUGGUUUACAAAUUAUCGCUUCGCAUUGUACAUUAUUAUUCCAUCGCGCUUUAUUCGCUCAAAAAGUUACGUUUAAUAUGUUUAAGUUUUGAAAUCAUUUUAUUCAAAAGCUUCCAAGAUAGCAUAACACUCAGUGUUUGGGAUUUUCGAAAAGAUCGUAUCCUAACUUACAGGGUCUCGAUUUUUCAAUAAUUUCAAAUAUACGAACCUUUUUUCUAAACAAAAACUCAUUUACUUAAAAAUUAUCUUGGCAAUCAAGAAAAGACCAUGUUCCAGCUUACGGGAUAUGAUUUCUUCUCUGAAACUGAGAUGAUCAAAAUUUCUAAAAAUAAAUAAAUUUUGGUGUUUGUUCUUAUUUCAGGAUUUAAGAUAUUGUGUUCUAACUCACGGGAUAUAAUUUUUUUCUCGAUAAACGAGAAAUACACCCUUCUUUAAAUUUUUAAGUAAUUUUAACAAAAUGAUCAUAUUUUUAGAUUUCUUUUCGAAUUUUCGAUUUUUUGACAUUAAGACAUUAAUUAAUUGAUUAGGUACCAAUUUUGGGUGAUACGAGGGUGCUAAUCCUUCCUCGUACGUAACUGACUCCCGAACUCGUUCUUUUUAAAAUUCGUAGACUAAAACUGUUUUCAAGGUGAUCUAAUCACACCUCAAUGCAAGAUCGGUGGUGACUCCAAUCUUUUUUAAGUCGAUGACUAUUUUAUUUUUUACAAAAAAAUGGUUUCGACAGUAAGAUUUUCGAGGACGAAAAUCCCUAAAAGGGGAGAGUUGUAACAACUCGGUUUAGACUCUAAUCAGAAAGUGGUUUCGAGACUACAAAUCUUAGUCAAAAAAUAUUUUAAUAUUAUUUUCCAUGCUUAUAGUAUGUGAAUUGACAUGUGUGAAAUUUUCGUGAAUUAAUUUUAUCGUUUGUGUGCCGAUUUGUGAAAAAGGACUUUAUUGCAGAAAAUGUAAAAGUUGUGUGCCAUUUGUUAAAGUACCGAGUUGAUAUGGCUUUUUAAGUAUGAGGUCCUUAAGAUGAAAAUGGACCAUUGAAUUAAUGCAUGGGCAAGUGUGGACAUUAGUUACUAGAUUUUUAAUGUUAUAUGGCUAAGGUUAAAAUAGUAAUUGUUGUGUUAUUAUUAAUUAAAUAAAAACAAACAUGCAAAUGGUCAUUAUCAUCUUGUUUUUGCCGAAACAUAAAAGAAAAAGAAAUGUUUGAAGCUUCAUUAGGUUCGGCACUUGUUUAGCUAGAUUAAGGUAUGUUCUUUGCUUAGUUUUUGAUAAUUUUUACGUUUUUGAGAUCGUUGCUUCGUAUAUUACCUAGUCCAUGUUUUAAUUUUUAGAAUUUAUGAUUAUUUUGAGAAUUGCCAUUGAUGAGAAAUUGUUGUUUUUGUUUUUUUUAUUAUGAUAAAUAAAUAUUUGCUGAUAGAUUAUUAAAUUUUGUUAAGUAAUUUUUGAUAAAAAUUCAAAUUAGGGAUUUAUUUGUGAAAAUGAAAAAUUGAGGGGCGAAAAUUUGAAUUAAAUGAAAUAUAUGGGCUUAUAUAAGCUAUAGGGAUAUUCGGCCAAGCUAGGAUAUUUUUAAAGUAUGUGUAUUUUGUGUUUUGUGAAAUAGAGACUAAAUUGUAAAAAAUGUAAAAUGUUAGGGGCUAAAAUGCAAUUUACCCAUUUAUGAAUUUUUGGAAUAAAUUUGUAUGAAAUGUGUUAUUAAAUAGCGAAUUUGAAUUUAUAAAGAUCAAGAACAAAAGAAAACAGAAUUAGGUCGGGAAAAGUCGAAAGUGGUCGAGUAGUCAAUUCCUUCCGCUUUGUCUUCGUCUGAGAUAAGUUCGUAAGUGAAUAAAUUAUGUUAAAUCAAAUUUAUUUUUAUAUAUAUAAAUUGUUGAAUUAAAUACAACAUAGAUUGAUUAGUUACGAGAUUAAUUCGAUUGAAUUACGACAUCCGAAAGCCUUACGAAUCAAAGGAUUCCGAUAUGUGAUUUCGUGUAAAACCCACGUCUGGGACGAUGGAAUCGAUUUGAGAUUUACAUGUAAGACCAUGUCUAGGACAUUAUCAUUGUAUAUGAUUAUGUGUAAGACCCUGUCUAUGAUAGUGACAUCGUUAUUUGACUACAUGUAAGACCACAUCUGGGAGGUUGGCAUUGUUCGAGCUUUUUGAGCUAUCCGAGUAUCCUUUUGAUUCCGAAUGGUUCAACAGAAAAUGUUACGGAAAAAUCGAAUGUGAGUUUGAGUUAAAGGAUUCAGGUAUAUUUGAGUUAUAUAAAGUUUGGAAGUAAAGGUAAGUAUUGUAGUAUAACAUGAUAAUGUGAAAUAAUCGCUUAAAUAUGUUUAUAUUUAUGUGUGUUCAAGACUGGGAGUUUUCGACCUACUUGUAUGAAUUAUAUAUGUUCUUUGUUAAACUAUUUUCUUAUGACUUACUAAGCUAUUUAAGCUUACUGUGUGUUCGUUCGUUCGUUGUUUUAUAGAUUUUGGAAGUUAUUUAUGAGCCCGGGGAUCGUCAAGGAAAUCCAUCACACUAUCGAAUGCAAUUCUGGUAUUUUUUUGAAGCUUGAAUUUUGAACUUAUGGCAUGUAUAGGCUAGCAUUUGUUUUGGUUGGUCUUGAAAUUUCUAUAUGUUUAGCCAUGCGAAAAUGGCUUGAUCUUAAAGCUAAUGAUCAAUGUUUAAAUAAAUUUGGUCAUGGUAUAUGCGUGUGGUAAUUUUGAUAUAUGGAUGUGUUUUAGUUGUGGAUUUUUAAUGAUGCUAAAGAUAGUGAUAAUCGGUCAUGUGUUAGCUUAAAUCGCAAAUAUAGAUGAUGGUUUUAAUCUAAAUUAUGGUUUGGCAAUGGUAAUUUAUUCAUGUAGUUAAUUGUUUAGUUAUAUGUUAAUGUUGAAAUUGGUUGUAUUCAUUAUGUGGGAAUUAUGCUAUACUCGGAUAGUUGACAAUUUGAAAUGGUAUGAUUGCAUUAGUAAAUUGGAUAGAAAUGUUGAAUAAAGUGUAUAUGUAUAUUCGGUUAAAAUAUUAAACUCAUAUUAUUGAGUAUGUGAUAUGGUUAAAUCACGUAUUGAAGUCAUAUUGGAUGUCUGAAUACGCAGAUAAGUAAUUAGUUAUGUGUAUGUAUGUUAAGCAUGCAAAUUAGGUGUAUUUUUAGUAUAAUUGGUCUCAAAAUAAUGCUUGUUUAAAUAAGUAUAUACAAAGUGAUAUGUUUAGUAUGGGUGUUCGGAAAUGAUUCAAUUAAUGUAUGUUUAUAUGUAUAAACUUGUAAUAAGAAAAUAGGUAUGUUUUGGUCUUAUAAAUUGAUGUAUAAUUGUCUUGUAAAUAGGUCUAGAGUUGGUAAUAAUGCACACGCAAAAUUGGUUAAAGUUAGGCAAGUAGAAUGUGUAUCUAUAUACCCAUAUAUGUGUCUUGGUUACUAAUGUUUGGAUUGUUGACUAUUAUUAAUUAAAUGAGUUGUGCAUGAUUUGAGUAUUUUUUUAUAUGGUAAUUGUUAAUUGAGUAAAGGAAAGAAUAAAUGGCAUGGUGUGCACAUGAUUUUUUUUCUUGAAUGGUUCAAUUUAAUAUGGUUAUUUACGCAUGAGUAUUUUCUUAUAUUUGAUAUCCAUCUUAUGAAAUAUAUGUAUUGAAAUUUUUAUAAGCUUAAAUAGUAAAUUUUAAUAUACGAACGUUAAGUAUGUAGUACUAUUAAGCUUCAAAAUUUGAGUAAGAUUAGUGAAUUAAAAUGAUUGUUUUACGGAUCAUGAAAUGCAUUGAAUACCUAUUUUGAGCUGUGUUUUGUUCUGUAAUGCCUCUCAACCUUAUUUCGGCGACAAAUAGGGGUUAGAGGUGUUACAUAGAGAGCACCCCCCUCAUUUGUAAAUCAUCCAGUGAUCCAUUCAUCCAUUUUAUUUUUACAUUCUUUGAGAAAUUAAUACAAUUGAGAGCAUUUACUCAAACAUCUCUCGUGCAUAAGUUUUUUUGUGGCUAUUUUGUUCCUUUGAGCCUUCUUUUGAUUGUGUUGCUUCUUCUAUAUAAAUUGGUGCCUUGAAAUAAUUCUUUGUUAAUCAUCAAUUUUUUGGUGGCUAUGUUGACUUAGGCAUGUUUGGAACGAAAGGAUUGCCUAUGGAUUGCGAGACUAAAGUUCUAGCCCCCUGACACUAGUACUUUGAAGAAGAAGAAAAAUCACCCUAUGUUACUUGGAUUAUAAAGAUUCAUCAAGCAGUUCUGAAGCAACUAUGUUGCCUUUACCACUUAAGUUACUCUAUUAGAUGCAACUGACUUAGAUUAUUCAAGUAACAUUGACACUGAGUUCACUGAUGAUAUCAUAGAGACUUGCAAGCUAUGCUAGAUAAAAGGGGACCAAGUGUGCAAAGUGAAUGAGUGACUCACUAAUGAAAACUCCUUUCUAGAAUUGGAGAACCAAAAGCUAAUGAGGUAGAUUGAGGGAAAAUAUUCUUUUUUUGAAUGCCAAGUCAUCCAAAUUGGGGGUAGAAUUGAAAGAGUCAUUAAUAGCUCGAUUUGUGCUGAAGAAAUCUAUGUUUAGAAAUGAUAAGUUAGAUGAUAUAUCGGUAGCUAAUAUAAGAGACCUCGGUAAGGGUGGACUUGGUUAUGUAGACAAAGGAAAAAAAACAACAAAAACCAACUAUGUUUUUCAAAUGCAAAAGAGUUGUUGAACAACUUCAAUGUUCUAAGAAGGCUGAGAUUAUUCAGCCAAAAGGUUGUAGAAAGAAAACCCAUAAGAUUAUUUGUUACCGUUGUGGUGUUCCAUGCUAUAUUAGGCCAAGGUGUUUCAAGCUCUAGAAGAAUUUGCGAAAGAAGUGCCCAAAUGUUGCUUUUGUUACAGCUCGAGGAGAGCUUGCUAGGGGACAAAAGUAUAAGUUAAUCUAAAGAAAAAAAAGACCAAAAGUGCUUUAUUGUUUCACAUAAAUUAUUAAAACUUACCACAGGUCAUAUGUGUUACUUUCAUAGUGGAUGCUCUAGGCACAUUACUGGGAACAACAAUUGUUUAAGAAUUUUUAAGAAAAUUGUUAGAGUUGUGUGACCUAAAUUCUAAUAGAUUGCUUGAAAGUCAAGUUAAACAAAUUAUAUUUUCUUUCUAGAAUAUUUAGUAUUUAUUAGUAUAAUAUAUUUAGAAUUUAUUAGCAUAAUAUAUUAGGCAUAGAUUGGAAUUAGGUUUUUUCAACUUAUAAAUAGAUGUAGUCAAAACUCCUCUUGUAUCAUUCAAAUUCGACAUUAGUGAAUUUUCUUCUCCUCUACCUGUGAUUUUUUUCCUAAAAGGGUUUCCACGUAAAAUAUGUGUUAUAUUUUUCUUUGCGAUCUUUCUACAUUGUCAUUAUCGACGUUCAGUUUUUUAAAAAAAUCAUAAUUGUAAGGUGGCCUUUGAUAAUCGGCAAAAGGGUAGAAUUCAUGAAAAAAAGGUGUUUUGAAUGUUGAAGGAAUGCCUCAAUAACAAAAUGUGUUUCUUGUGGAAGGAUUUUGGGAAAUUCUUAUAAGCAUCAGUCAACUUUGCGACCAAGGGAUGUCUGCUUGUAAACUUCAUAAGAAAUAAAUGUUUGGUUACCAACAAGUUAAAUAAGCCAAUUAUGAAGGGUGCCAGAACACUUGAUAAUUGCUACAUAUUAAUUGAACCUUUGAAUUAUAAUUGGCGAAGAACAAAAUAUAAUAAUUUUUUUCAAAAAUAAUAUUUAAUUAAGCCUCAAAACAAUGUCCAUUAUUUGUCUAAUGAUUACAAGAGCUCAAUUUUGUUGUCAAGUAAUGAUUACAAUGAAAUAAAUCAGUUAAGAAGUAUUUGAGGAUGGAACCCACAAGAAAGUGUGUGAAUGACUUUAACUAUUGACUUGAAUCAGUAACUUACUAAAUUAUUUAUAUAAGUUAGAAGACAAUAAAGCAAGUAACUAGGAAAGGUAUGUAAGAUGAAUGCAAAGACCAUAAACAAAUAAUAAAGUGCUAUUUUUUUUAAUAGUCAAAACCAAUUUACAAAAGUAAUGGUUAAGAAUCUCCUUCAAAUAUUGGAAAUUAAUAAUCUUUGUCGAAUUAUCCCAAAUUUAGAAUCAUGGAUGUGUCUCUAAAUCUAGGCCAAGUCUUGUAAAUCACAAAUGUUACUGUCUUACCUUCCCUAAUGCCUCCAAGUGAUAUACUAUAGUUUGCCAACUUCGUUUUUGAUUUUAGGGGUCUUCAAUAUGAUGUUGUUACCUAGAAUCAAUAUUGGAUAACUUUUGAUUUAGAUUUCUAGUGUAGAGGAUGGUUGACUCUAAACUCAUUUUCCUUUAAAAUUUAUAUUAACCUUAUUUGUCAUUUAGAAUUAACGAUAUGAGCACAAAUCAAGAAAAUUAAAUUACAACCAUAUUUUUUAAAUCAAUUUUAAUCCAAUUUCUAUUAUUAAGUGAAUAACCUACAAAUCUCCCAACAACAUAAUCAAAUUAGCUCACUGUAGAUUUGCAAGUAACAUAAAAGAUUUGGAAGUAAAGUAUAAUGAAAGAAUUUGUUAUCCUAACAUCAUCAGUGAUGAAACUGCCUAACAUUUGGCUUUACCAAUAGCUCGAGCUCGACUCGAUAACUGUCGAAACAAACUCAAGUUCUAGCCAGACAUUUUCUCAAUACCUGAUGGUUACUCAAUCGAUAAAAGGCAUACACACAAAUGAGCGUUAAAUCAUUGAUGAUUCAAGUUACAAUAAACUAGUUUCCAUUUAAAUCACUGAUGGUUUACCGUGGCGUCAAAGAUUAAAACAUUUUUGGAAUUUAGUUAAUAUAAUUAGAAAAUGGGGUAAAAAGGAUAUUUAAUCAUAUAAAAUAUUAAAAAAAACACUUCUAUAAAAACAACACAAUAACAUCACCGGUGAUAAGACUGUCUAGCAUUCGACUAUAUCAAUAGCUCGAGCUCAACUCGAUAAUUUUUGAAUCAAACUUGACAUUGGGCGUCGCAUUUUCUUUAAACUCGACGCUUACUCAAUCGGUAAAAGACAUAUAUACAUUUGAAGAUUAAAUCAUCAAUGAUUCAAAUUACAAAAAGUAGUUCCAUUAAAGAAUAUUUUAGGACUUUUCAAGGAUUUUAUAAUGAUGAUUUUAGAAUUAUGAAUAAAUAUUGAUGUGAAAAAAAAUUAUGGCUAUAGAUUUUGGAAUUUUUAAAUCAUGGAAAUUUGUCGGUCAUUCAUUUAUUUAUUUUUUUGCAAGAAAGUGAAGAGCCUUCAUCAUCAUUUCUUCAUUCGCUCUCUCAAAUCCAACCAAGAAUAUUAACUAUCUAGGUUGUUUUUUUGUUAAAAUAUUGUAAAAGCACCCACUCUUAAACUUGGUUCCAUCUUCAUCUUCAUCAUUGGAAGCAAGGGUUUUCUUAAGCUAGAGAAAAAAAAAGCUGGAUUAGUGCGAGAAAGUGAAAGACAAGGUAAGAAAGUGCUGCUUGUCUUUUCCAAUAUUAUUAUUCAAUGUUACUUUUAAUAAUUUCUACACAAACAUGAUUUUGAGUAUUAUACGUGAUGUGUGUUUAUGAAGAAAAUAAGUUGAUAGUGGGUGUGUAACAUCCCAUUUUUUUAGUGGUGUUGGAAACAGUAGUUUCAAGGCCACCAAAUCCGACGAGUAAGUUCGUAAAUAUUAUUAUUUAAUAUUUACGAGUCAAAUGUAAUUUUUAAAAAUGUUUUUGAUUUGAUAAUUUAUGUUAUAUAAGUGAUUUAUUAAGUUCAAGUGGUUUUAGAAAAUAAGGUAUCCGGACCUUAUUUUUAUAAACUGAUCCGUAAAUGUUUUUAUAAAUUUUUACGGAGUGUCAUUAAGGUGGUAUUAAAGUUUCAUUAAGAAAUUUUAACGUUUCGAUGGUUAACUAAUUAAAAAGGAUCAAAUUAAAAAAGUGCAUUCCCAGGACUCCAUUCCCGUAAAUCGAACUCAUAUUUACGAAGCUAGUUGUGUAGUUAAUUAGGUUUUGAUUAAGUGAAUUUGCUUGAAUUAAAAAUAAUUAGGUAGAAAGACUAAAUUGCAUAUAGGGUGAAAGUUGAAUUAUAGAUUAAAAAAAAGUAAAAGGACUAAAGAAGCAAUUAUGUCAUUCCUUAUAAAUGAGGGGACAUUAGUGUUUAUUAUUAAAAAAUUUAAAGUUAAAAUAUAUAUUAUAAUAUUAUAAUAUUAUAAUAUUAUAUCUUAAUGUUUAAGUAUAUGUAUUAUAUAUUACAUUAUAUAAUAAUCAAACAAAGAAAUAAAAGAAAAAAGAAACAGAGAAAGAAACAAAGAAGCAAAAACAAAGCUGGACAAAAAGAAAGAAAAAAGAAAACUACGGUUUCAAAAUUUUAAGUUCAAUUAGUUAGUCAAUUUAGUCCCUUUUUCUUUUAAUUUUUAUGUUUUUGGAAUCUCGGUAUUAAAUACUACACGACCCAUGUCAAAAUUUUAGAAAUUAUUGAGUUUUUAAAUGUUGUUAAUGUUGAAUAAUUUUAGUAUUAGGUAUUAAAUUGAUAGAUUUUUAAGUUAGAAGUGAAAAAGGAUUGAAUUGUAGAAUAAAUUGUAAAUUUUGAGUAAUAGGGACUAAAUUGUGAAAAAAUCAAAAUUUAGGGAUUUAAGUGAAAUUAGAGAGUUAAAUCUAGUUUAAAGUGAAAUUGAAUGAAAAGAUAGAAUUUAUUGUGAAGAAAUAAAAUUAGUCUCAGUUUAGGGACUAAAUUAGAAUUUAGACAAAUUUUGAGUAAAAAUUGAAAUAUGCAAUAUGAAAUUGAAUUCAGUUGUAUUGAUGAUUUUUAAUUAUUUUAAUUUCGUAGCUAAUGUUGUACCGGAAUCCUCGACUAAAAAGGGCAAGAUAAAGUUGACGAGGAAUAGCUCGAAAUUUCUGGUUUGUAUUUCUAUCAUCCGAAUUUAGUUGUUAAUUGUUAUAAUUCAAUUUAAUGUAUAUGGUAAGUGUUGAGGUGAGAAUUAUUGUGUUUUGCAAUUGAAAUGGAUUGAUUUAGUAUGUGAUGAAUUUAUUGAAUUUAUAUUGAUUGAAUUGGUAUAUAUAUUGAAUAUAUUGAUUGAAUUGUUGUAAUUGAAAAGUGAAUUGAAACCCUAUUAACUGUAUCGGGCUGAGUCAGAUAUAGAUAGCAUACCAUAGGAUUGGAAGAGUUCAGGGAUUUCUUAGACUUCGAGUCGAUGAGACACUGGGUGUCAAUUUACUACUUCGGAUUAAUUCGAUCAGGCACUGGGUGCCAAUUUACUUCAGUUUAACCGAUGAGACACUGGAUGUCAAAUUAUUACUUCGAAUUAUCUGAUGAGGCAUUGGGUGCCAAACUGGUGUGUUUUGGUUGGAUCUGUGUAUUCGUCCAAGUCCGAGUCAUGUUAAUAGGGAUAAAUGAAUAAUAAAUUUUUAUAAUUGAUGUUGAAAUGGUAGAGUAUGAGAAAUGGAAGUGAAAUAGUGAAUUAAAAAUAGAAUGUGAAAUAUGUUGCAAAUAUAUGGAAUAUAUGAGUUAUAUACUCAUGAAAUGACUAUGGAAUUGAUAUUGCAAUUGUAUAAUGAAAUGUGAAAUAAAUUGUGAAAAUCUAUUUAUAUAGCAAGUAUGAGAAUUGAGAUAUUUGUGAAACAAAUGAAAUAUGAUAUGGUUGUUGUAAUAAUUAAAUAUUAAUAUGUGUUUAUAUUUCAAUUGUAUAUUUGUAAUUCAUUAUCUUUAAAUAUUCGGAUUAUAGAAAUACCACUGAGUUUAUACUCAGCGUAUGGUUUUGUUUCCCGUACACAGGUUAGGUACUUAACUUUUGAUUAUUGAUUCAACAUCCAACAACGAUCCUGAACUCAAAUGUGGUGCUGUUUAUCCUUUGUGUCGGCAUGAACCUAGGGUGUCUAAAUAAUAGUUAUUUUGUGGUUUGAUUGUAAAUAAGGUUAUAAGUUAAUUUUGGUUGGUUUUAUACAUAUAAAUAUGUGUUUGUUUUUGAAGCCAUAUUAUGGCAUGAUAAAUUGAACUAAAUCUAGAUAGGUGCAUGUGAAUUUAAUUCUAUGUUUAAGUGCUCAUGAAAUAGGCAAAUUGAUUUGGAUUUGGUAUGUUUAUAAUUUGGAUUAAAAUUAUGCUUUGAUGACUUGUUUUGAUAAUAUGAAAUGUUUGAAAUUUAUGUCUGUUUGAUCUGUAAACUCUAGUAAUGCUCCGUAACCUGGUUCCGGCGAGGGAUACUGGUUGGGGGUGUUACUGGUUGGUGGAGGUUUAAGCAAGAAAAGAGGAGUCUUGGAUUGUUGAAAAUAGAGAAGAUUUGUUAUUUUCUCUUCAAAGAAAGGCAAGUACUCAAGGAAUCAUCCUUUCCUUGUGAGAAUUAAAAUUGAUAAAUCCUUAGAGUUUAAACGAUUAGAUGUGUAAUAGGGUUUAAUAUCAAUAUUCAUUAGCAAAUAAAAUGAUUUUUGAAGUUUUAGUGUGCCUUAAUUAAUAUUGAGACAAAAAUGUACUUAAACUAUUGUAAAUGGAAGUUUUAAUGAAGUUGAUUAAUUUUUGAAGAAAAGAGUAAGUUAUGGCAUAUAAUGGACCUUUAAAUAAUUUGGUGUGCAAAUGUGGAAAAGAGGUUCAAUGCUUUCACUAGUGAUAAUAAGAAUUUGGAAAAUGAAAUUUUGAUAUAAAAUAUAAAGUGUAAUGACAAAUGGCAAUAAGGAAAUGACUAAUAACUCUUUAAGCUUUAUGAAUGUGUAUUAUGAAAUGUUGAGCAUAUGCAAAAUUUUGUGCCACAAGGUAUAAUUAUUAAAAUUAAGAAUCUCUUAUUAAACAUAAAAGUAUGAGAGUAUAUACUCUUGGAUUAAAAUAAAAAGAUUGUCUAAUGAGUUAUUAUCUAUGAAAAUGAUGUGUGAAUGUUACAUUGAGAACUAUCAAGUAACAAUAUGUUUGUAUGAGUUCCUUAAUGAAUGUGAGCAUUUGUAUGAAAUGAUAUAUAUGUGAUCAUGAAUGUGUUAUAAAUGAAAUUGAAAUAAUAAUUAAACUUUUCUCUUGUAAAUUUAGAGAAGUAGUUAGGAUACAAUUGGCACACUAAUUGAUGUCUAUGAAACCAACUAAAAAUUUGAUAAAGGCAAGUGCACCUAUCAAUUAAUAGUAUAACUACAGUAAGCAAAGGUAUUGUUGCCACAAAGACUAAAAGUACUAUUAAUUACCAUCUUUCUAUUAUUUAAGCGACAAUUUGGAGUGAUUGAUUAAAACUAAAAUUAACUAAAUUGAUUAAAACUAAAGAACACGACAUAAGAACAAAUUAGGAAAAUAAAAGAUUUAAAACCAAGAAGCGAGACAAUACCUAGGAAAGAAUUCACGUAGACUUCAUUUGUCAUUAUCAAUCUAAAUUACGCAAUUUCUUCACUUAGUAUAUUGAUUCGUAGAAAUCCCUCAAUUAUGCUAAUAUAUCUCUUCAUGACUAAGAGCAACUAACUUUAGGUUGAUUAAUUGGAAUUUAUUUUUAAUUAAAACCCCUAUUAUCGCAUUAACUCGAUCUAUGGAUCCCCCUGUUAGAUUUGACUCUAAUCAGGUAGAAUUAUGUCAUCCUAUUUCUAGGAUUACAUGCAACUCCACUCAAUUACACUAGAUUUACUCUUAAACAAGGGCUAUUCAUCAUCUGAUUUAAGCACAUCAAACAUGGAUUAAUAGUCUAGAAAUAAUAAACCAAUAAUUAAGCACACAAAAUUGAGAACAAGAUCCAAGUAUUUGUUGCGUAAAAAUAUAAAUCAAAUAACAGAAUCUAUCCUAAGGUUCAUCUCCCUAGGUAUUUGAAAAAUUAGUUAAUGGUUGCAUAUAAAAACAUCCCAAAGAUAGUAUAACCAUAAGAAAUAAAAAAAAUCAUAAUAAACUUCAAAGAAAUCAAAAGGAGAUAUUCAAUCUUGAUGAAAAUCUGCUUCAGAGUUGGCUCAAUGGUGUUUUUCGAGUUGUAUUCUUGAGUAUUCUCUAAUGGCUCACUCCUGUAUUCUUAUCUUUGUCAUAUAUAGGUCCUACAAUGCCCGAAAAAACCUAAAAAAUACGUUUUCUCGCAGGUUUAGAGUGCGAUUCGCGAUUUCCAUAUGGUCUGGCAUAUGGCCGUGUAGCUUACACGGUCGUGUGUCUAGCCUGUGUGGCUCCUAAAACUUGCUCUGAUAUUCUUAUUUUUGCUUGUUGUUCACUCCUUUUAUUCCCAAAUGCUCUCCUAAGUAUAGAAACAUGAACUUAAAGGAUUAGGAGCAUAAAAUUCACCAUUUUAAAUCAAAUAAUCAUCCAAAACUGCAUUAAGAAUGAGGCUAAAACAUGUUACUUUUGACAUUUAUCACCAAUAUAGAUUAGAUACGGAGUUUUGUUUUGGCUUGGAACUUAGUUUUGACCUGGAGUUCUAUACUUAUUGAAGUUGUGUGGGGUUCUAGAGUUAUAUAGUUAUACAUGGAGUUCUGAUGUGCUACUCAUUGAUUGGGCAUGUUAUGCGGACCACUAGGGCAUAUUUGGGGUCUAUUGGCUUUAGGAUUUGCACUUCUAUUAGCCUUUGAACCCUGCAUUCACAUACAAUUUCUAAAGCCUUUGGGCUUGGCAUUUCAAUACUCUCGGUGUUGUGGAGACUAGCACUUGGUGCUUUUUGGUUUUUGAUGAAUCAUGUGUAUCAAAGUUUCCUUUACUAGUGUGUGCUAAGGUUGUAUGCUGUAAAAAAAUGAGAAUUUAUUACGUAAUAAUAUUAUAUUAAAAUAUUUUCGUGAAAAGAAUUCUAGGAGUUAAUAUAACUCGCUAGAAUGUCCUUAAAUAUGAGUUGAUAUUGAAUCAUAAGGUUAUAUGCUAUAAUAAGAAUGAAAAUGUAAAGUGAUAGAAUAUUGAAAUAAACUAUGAAUCAUGAAAUGAAUUCCAAGGGUUCUGUAACACGCCAAACCCGACCCUAUAAUAGGAUUCAAUUAUGGUGUGUCACUACUUAAAACCAAACUAACUUUAAAACAUUUUGGUGAAAGCUUUAUAUAAUUCUUACCAAGUUAUAAGUAUAAGGCAUAUAUUAGUUGAUACUUUACCAAUGUUUGAAUGAAAACAUCAGCAGUUUAAAAAUAAUAUACAAACCAUAUGGUGUAUAAGUUCAAAUAUAAUAACUUCAUUAAACAUAAUAUAUUAAUUUAAAACCAAACAUUAGUGCUUCAUAGAAAUCUCAUAAAAAUAGAGUCUUAACAAAACAAAAGUUCUUAGUACAAAUCAUUUCCAUAUGCACUUCUAUGCCACCCCCACGAUUCAUGUAUGAUACAAAACAAAGUAGUCAACUCAUAAUAGCAGUAGCGCUCUGGCGUAGUCAUUCUAACAAAGCUUUCCUUCAAUUAACAAGCCUAAGAAGAAAAAGGUAAUAAAGUAAGUUCAUACGAACUUAGUGAGUUCUAAAGAGAAACCAUACAUAACAUUACUGACAGUAUAAUUGAACAUUUCUGAAAUAUUUACACACAUUCACAUAGUACGCCCAAUGGCAUAUACAGAAAACAGGUAGGCUCAGUACGCCAACUUACUUAUCACUUGGGCGUAUAAUGUAUGAUAGCUCAACAUAACUCAAACACAUCCAUUCUCAUGCCAGCUACAUACCCAGAAUUCAGAACCAGAAGCAUAUCAUUCAGCCUUAUUCACAUACAUUCUCCUCCUUAACUCCUCAUAUCAUUUUCAUUCAGAUCAACAUGUUUUAUUAUGAUCUGCCAAUCUGUUUUGCAAUAUAGUUGCCUUAUCAGACGCUACACAAACAUGCCUCUUCAUCUUUAUCACUUUAUAUCAGUUCAGAAGCAUAUGGUAGUGGCUUAAGCAUAAAGAAUGAUGAUUCUUUAUAUCACUGACAGACUGUACUCAGACUAAAGACUUUGGAUAACCAUUAUCCACACAACACUACAAAACAUCUUUCAUCCAUUAUAGAAAAGGAUUACUUACCUUACACGAAUUAUAAAAUAAAGAAAAUUAUAACACAUGAAAGUAUAAGGAACUCACCAGAAACUUUAACAUAAGUCUUUAUAGCAAGUCUUUUGCUUUUAUCACUUGGACCUCUGUUAACUUCUUGAGUUAAAAUAAAGAUAAUUAAAAUAUCAUAUCAUCAAUCGAUCAAAUCUGAUCAUGCAUGCAAGAAUCAACAAUGCUCAAUGCAGAAUCAUGAAGUUUCCUUCCUCACACACUAUUCUAACAUCUUUGCAUACAAAACGAGAAACACAUAAAUGACUUAAAGGGUAACCUAAGGUUCAUCAUUAAUUACUAGUAAGCUAGUACUAAUGUAGAAGUUAGUUGAAUACUACAAAGCUUACUUCGAAGAGGUUUUCUGAACUUAGGUUUUUAAAGAGUUUUCAGAGGAAAUCAAGGAAGAAAAAGAAGACGUAAAAAUAUUCAAAAAGACCACCACUACCCUUAUAUACUUAAGCUUGGAGACAAGGAUUAGUGGAAAAUUUUGAUAAUUCGAGUAACUCACUUGAUUCUCGUGAUUAACUGCACUUAACAUAGUUUAAGUCUUAUCAUCUACAGUAGUUUAGUUCCGCUCUAACUAAAUCUCAACUUAGCUAACCAAAUUACCAUACUUAAAUAAUAAACAAAUCUCAACAGGUAUUUCCCAAACAACAGAACCCGCCAAAACUAAGAGUUCGCCAAAUGGCGCAUACACAUAAUUAUAUACUUAGCCAAGAUAAAAAUUUUACGUACUCAUAUCUAUCCUUAUUCUACCAUUUAUACGCCAAACAGUAACCAGAUAUAGAGACUUUACUGAGUGGCCUGUUACAAGUUAGAAACGACUUGCUAGUAUGCCUACAUAGCUAUAAAUCAAUGUUGAAUCUUAAGGUCAUAUGAGAUUAAGGAAAUGGAGAAUAAACUUGUAGAUCAAUCUAACUAAACGAAACAUGAUUCAUGACAUGCAUAAAAAUGAGAAAUUUAACUAUUUUUAUCAUAUUUUUUAAUUAUAUUGUAAUUUGGUAAUGAAUGUGAAGUUUUAAUGUGGAUUAACCCUUGUAGCAUCUUUCAUUUGUAUCGAAUGCUGGGAUGGGUGAGGAAUGUUAGACAUUGCUAGUGUAAUUCUUGAAAACAUCGAUGAUUUUUUUUUCAUUUGUUUAAUUGCUUUUUUAACUAUAAAAAAGGUAUUGAAAAACAGAGAGAGCACCCUACCCUUAGUCUUUGAAAAUGUUGGGUGGGAAAAUGUGAUCGUAUAAACAAGCAAAAAAACAAAAAAUAAAUAAACCACUUCUCUUUUAACUACUAAAAUUAUAUUGGUUGAUAUAAUAAAAUAAAAGGGUAUUUUGUCUAUCCUAUAUUACAUCAUCUUGAAAUUAUUUUGCAAUGUGAGAAUACUGGAUGACCAGAAUGUUGACAAUUCAAAUAUCGUAGUCUUAUUCCGGAAUGUAAAUUACGGGUCAUAAAUUUACAUUUGGCCAACCAAAAGCCCCUAAAUGAUAAGUAGUUACUUUUUCAUAAUUUUUAUAUAAAAAUUCAUGAUUCUAGUUUGAAUUAUCAAUUUUUUUUUAAAAUAAUAAAUCACUAAAAAUAUUUUUUUAAUUAAUUUAAUUAUUUCAACAAAUUAUCAAAUAAAGCUUCAGCUUCGCACCUAUUUAUUCUCAAUACAAGAUCAUAGUCCAUGAUUAAGAGUUAAAUAUAAUAAUUUUAACCUCAAAUACAUAUAUAAAUCGAAUUAAAUCCAAUUUCUUUUUAUCAAUUUUGCUUUUCUUCCCUUUUUGUCCAUCUAGUUAUUUUCUAUUUUCAACUUCAGAUUAAUGGUUAUCCUCUCCUACAUGCUAGGCCAUAAUCAAAAUGUUUUGGUCUUUAUAAGUCUUCCAAUCCAAGCCCUAAAAUGUGAGCCGACAAACUCAUUUGUGGCCACAAUCCAAGUCACCCAUUUGAUUGGUUCUUUAUCAUCAUCAUCAUUAUUAUUAUUAUUAUUAUUAUUAUUAUUAUUAUUAUUUAUUUUGGCUUAAGAUUGAAACAAAAAAAUAAUAAGAUAAAUAAAAACUGUUGCUUCAUAAAAGAAAAAAAAAUUGUCAAACCAACCAAUCAUGAAUUUUCUUCAAUCCCAUUUUUCAGUAUAUUUCCCAUUAAGGAAGUAUUCCUUAUAAAGGUCUUUCUUUGUAGGCCAUCUACACAUUCAACAAGGUACUGGCACUUUAUGUAUAUUUUAUCAAUUCCUAUAUAAUUUAUUAUUUUUUUGUUUUUGUAAUAUCCUCCACAAACAUGAUUAUGAUCCUAUAAGUUUUGAAUUAAACAGUGAUUUUUUAGAGUAAUGAUAAUACUGAAAAGCCUUUGAAGAUGUUUAAUUAAUGUCACCAGUUGACACCAAGUGCCUAGCUCUAGAACUUGAGUCCAGCUAGAAUCCAAGUUGCUUUUUAAUUGGGAAACUUUUCUUUCUUUCUUUUCCCUUUCUGAUACAUAAUAUAAUAUAUUCUACAAUAAUAUAUUUGUAAUUUUCCGAUACAUGCCUUCCAACAUGUUUGCUUAAACUUAUGGUUCACUACAUCUCCCUCUGUGUUAGUUUUAGAAUGGAUAUCGCUCGCAUUCUUUUCCCUUUUAUUAAUUUUCUUUCAUUUAUUCAAUGUAUUUUUUUCUCUUUUUAAUUUGUAAAUUUAUUUUAUAGAUCUAUUUGUUAUCUUUAUAAAUUGUGAUAGACAAAUGAUAGUAUUUGUAGUUGCUAAAACUCUACCAGUCACCAGCAGUUUCUCUUGAAAAGUAGGUGACUUCUUCAUCGGCUUCUUAAUCUGUUUUUGCUUUGAGAGAAUUUCAAAAUAAUAAAUGAUUUCAUGAGUUGGUUUGGACCUGUGUUGUUUUAAGUUUUAUAUGUUUUUUAUUUUUAUUUUCCAUUGUUUAAUAAAUAUUCGCUUUUGGAUUUUUUGUUUACUCUUAUACCAUGCUUUUUAGUUUUGCUUUUGCAACUGGUUUUAGGAAUGGUUUUGUCGUCCUACUCCCUAGUUUGGUGGAUGCUCGGCUCUUUUGCUGAUUUUUGCUUGUCACUUGGACCAUCCAGAGCUGAUUUUCUUAUUGUAUUAAGUGCUUGCAAUCACUCCAAAUAUAUCGUGCUUGAGUUAUGAUAAAACCAAUUGCCAACAUGUCAUAAUAUUCUAUUGAUGUUGAGAAUGAAGCUUUUACUGUGUUGAUGGAGCUUGUCUUUUAUCGCUUACGAUGGAUGUUUAUUAUUAUUUUUCUCAAAUUAUAUGAUCCCAAAAUAAUUUAAUGAUUUUUUCGUUAAAAAAAUUAGUUCACCAAAGUUGAGUAAACAACAGUAGAAUUGUUUCCUUCAGUAGACUGAAUAAUUGCUUAUAAUGACUAUUCCUACAAUAUCUUUAUAUUAUCAUUUAAACUUUGAUAUGAGAAAAAUUGGAGUAUGUGUUUGUUUAUGCUCUUUUUACGAUGGAUUCAGUUUGAAGGUAUUCUUCGAAGAAUGUAUGUUGGGUUUGGAGAGUCUACAUUAAUCCUAAAUAAAUUUAUUAAGUUAACAGAGAAUUGAAAUUUGCAUUAAGAUGUUCUCCGAUACUAAAACUGGCAAAGAAUGUUACAAGAGAAAUUAAGAAACAAAAGCAUGUAAAAGAGAUGAAAACGUAAAGAGAUAAGUUAUAAUCUUUGAAUUAUUUCAAGGGUUGCCUGAUGCAUGUUCAUUGGUGGGCCAAUUGGUAACGUUGACAUCCUAGUCUGCCUAAUUAUCAAUUUGUAAGCUCUGGGAUUUUGGUUUCUCAUGCUCCUUUCUGACAAGUCUAUCAAUCGUUAGUAGCUGAUUCUUGUUCCAAGUGCUUGCGCCCUUGUUAACAAUCAUGCUAGUGUUGAGCUGUUGUGAACUUGAGAUUUCUUUAUGCCAUGUAUCUUUUAUUUAUGACUGAGUAUUUAAUACAUUUGCAUUCUAUUCUUUUAACUCUACAAUAAGAGUUAAAAAUUUAUUAGGUUCUAUUUUUCAUAUAUUUAUUUUUUGAAAUUUUAUUAUAUUUGUUGGAUACUUAUCAUGAUCUUAAUUCUUGUUGUAGGAUUUAAAAACUCAAUCGAUGUACCAAUUAUUUUUCCUUUAUUUAUUCAUUUGCAGUUAUCUUAAAAAUAUUCAAUAAUAUGAUGUAUAAAAACUCUUUCACCAUAUUAUUUAAUUAUAUGUAGAAUAAGACUUUAUUUAAUAUUGCUUCUUAAAUUCCUUUUUAAAAACAAGUAGCUUUUUGAGUCCUAACCAAUGUUAAACAGUUUAACUUUUUAAAUCAAUUUAGCUUUUCAAACUAGUUUUUCAAGUCAAAUAAAAAAUUGAAAAUUCUAAAUUUUGACUUUCAAAAGCCAAUUGGGUGCCAAAUUAUAAAUAUAUCUCUAAUUUAUGUAAAUUAUAAAUUGUAAAUAUAAUUCAUAUAUUCAAAAUAAAUUUUACAAAUAGUUUAUACCAAUUUAAGAAUUUAAAAUGUAUAUUUCAUAAAUAUUAAUGGAUUCUCAUAAAUCAUUUUUAUACUUUAUUGUAAUCUAGUUAAAUAUUUGUUUAUACUAAAAUGUCAUGGUGGUAAUAAAUAAUAACAAUAAUAUUAUUGUUAUUAAUAAAGACAGGAGAAAGAAAGUUACUUUGCAUUUGACACAAUUAUUCAAUAACUUAUAAAUUUUUUAUUAAUUUAUAAGAUUAUGUUUAUAUUAAUUUUAAUAUUUAAAAUGGAAUUUAUAUAUUUUUAGUUAGAUUUAUAAAUAAUUUAUAUUAAUUGCUUAAAAUUAUUUAAAAUUUAUAUUUCAUAUACAUAAUAUUAAUGCAUUUAAAUAUCAUUUAAAUUAACUUAUUCUUUUAUUACAACACCUUAUUGAAAAUGAACAAUAUAAAUUUUUACAACACUUUUUGAAACAAUGCUAAAGAUGUGAAAUCUUAAUCUCUUUUUUUUUUUAAAAUAAAAUAAAAUUUUAAUCUCUUUUUUCAAAAUUAUGCUUCUACUCUACUUUUCAAAAGUUAUGCUAAAUCGUCAAAAUGUAAAAAAAUUAUAAAAAUUCAAUUUAUUCAAAUUUAAGUGUGUGUAUAUGUGUAUAUAUAUAUAUGCACGUUAAAGUCAAGAAUCUAUAAUCUAAGGUAUUGAACAUCAACUUUCUAAACCUAAAGUGCAAGGCAGAGGCUUUAAACGAUUUGUUUAGAUUAUAUCUCUUUCGACCCCAAAAACUGAUUGUAAGUUUGAUACAUACUUAAGAUGCUUCGAAUUAACCAAAAUAUAAUCCUGAAUUCUUUUCCUCGAAAUGCGAGUUUAGGGCAGUGACACAAUAAUUGGGAAUAGCUCCUUAAUUUGCUGGCCAAUGCUCCACAUACAACACUAAUAAUUCUAUAUUCUUCGACAAUAUGUAAGUGUGGAGAAUUGACUUAUUACACAGUGCCCCCUAAUUUUGGGGCACUUGAGAUGCAAGACUCGUGAACAGUAAGUUGAUAAAGACCCUUCUCUACCAGACAACCCCCCGAUAUCACCACCCAUUUGUUAAUCGAAAAAAGCAACUGAAACUAUCCCAUUCAAGGUUAAACACCUCACUGUUCUUUUGGGUAAAUUAUCACUAUCCAUGAAAGUCAAACAAACAAACAAAAUCUCCCUAAACGAUCAAGUUAUGGGGCAAAAAAGUUUAUUUAGGGAAUUAAAAUAUCAUUAAUGUUUGUUUUAUGAUUUAUAGAAAUUUAUUUUUUUGGAGUUUGAGGAUAUCUUUUUUAACAAUAUUUGUAACACCCUAAACUCAGUUUGGACAUUAUAGUUGAAUCUGACGAUGUCAUAUGGAAGUGCGUUUGAAAACCGUAUCAUUGCUAAAACCGUUAUUCGUUUAGAACUUAUCAUAAUCUUUCAUUAAUCCUCAAAUCGUGAUUCAUUUCCAAAAUGCUAUACUUUGCGGAAGCUUUUAAAAUAGUUUGUGUGUGCGUGGCAUUUUGAUAAAACAUUCAUCUCUUUUGAAAACCCGAGUUUUACCUACUUCUAGCAUAUAUAAAUAGAAAACAGUAUAAAAUCCAAAUUUUAGGUAAAAAUCCAUAGAGGUCAUUAUUACAGAAAAAUACCCCAAAAUAAAACUUAAAAUUGUAAAUAAGUAUCAAAUAGUAAAAAGGAGUCGUGUGACCAUCGUUGAGUCCUCCGCCGCACCGAUCCGCCUAUGUCUGGGGAUUACCUAUACAGAAUAAACAGAAAGGAUGAGUUUACGUGAACUCAGUGUGUAAUCUCCAUGCAAACAAACAGACAAUAACAAAUAAUCUCAGUUUGGGCCUAAGCCCUUUUCAGUAUCAGUAAGCAGUAAGGCCUUAGCCCAUCACAGUACAGUAACAGUGACAGUUAUGCGGUUAUAAAAUCCUACCCAACCAGCCUCUACACUCCAUCUCCGUCCAACCCUACACUCCAUGUGGGGAUAUAAUCAACUCACCCAUCCCUACACUCUAAAUAGUACCGAAAGCGGCACUAGACAGUAGUUACAACUGAGCUGCUAGUAAGUUAGGCUUGAAGCUUUUCAGUACACUUCCUCUAAUCAAUAUCAAUUCCCAACCUAAUGCAAUGCAUCAUACAGACAUGUCAUGGUAUCAUUUAUAAUCAGUAUAGUGUAUAUAGCAUGCUCAACAUACAGACAUACAUAGCUAUCUUAUAUAGGCAUAUAACAGUCUUUCAAUUAUUUCAGUCAAUUAGGAGUCUAAGUAAACUUACUCACCCUACAGUAGGUUCACAGUCGACUUAGGUGACCUAUGUAACCUUAGUAGUAAAUUAGUGAAAAUGGGCCUACAAGCCCAAGUUGCAUGCCCAUGUAGGCCCACACAGCCCAAAAUGGCCUUAGUCGUGUGGAUCACACGGCCUGGCCCAAUAUUCCCACACGUUCGUGUGGUUCAUCUGUGUGGGGCCCAACGCCCGUGUGGCCCAUACAGCCCAAUUCGACUCGGCCCAUGAAUCACACAUGACAGGCCUCGUUGAUCACAUACCCAUGUUUGAUCACAUGACCUACCACACUAGCGGUCGUACACCCGUGUGGCGUCAACCAUCACAUUGUUCGGCUUUUCACCGAUUUCUAUUUCCAGAGUUGUGUUUACACACCUGCUUCGUUCGUGACGUAAAUGCACUUCCGAGAUCACCAGCACCUAUGGUCAAAAAAUAAACCCUACAAUCAGUUCUAAUUCGUAGUUAAUUCGAAACCAAAACAUUGACAAUGAUUCGUUCAAUCCAUUCGUUACUUACCUUCAAAACCAAGCAACCCCCCACUGCGAAACCGAACAAGACAGGUCACCACUCCUAGAAUUCGUCGCUGCCAAUUAUACUAAGCGAGUAACGACAAAACCACACUGCUCCAACACUAACUGAAUCACUCCAGCCCUUAACCACCAAGUACGAAAGAACAAUGGAUAUGACAAGUUGUGGUAAUAAGAAGAAGGUUAGAAAACAAGAGAAAACGACAGCAAAAAACAAAGGAGGGAAUCAACAGAACCAAGAGAAAAAUAAAAAGAAGAAAUGAGAGGGGAAAAAUAACCAAAAAUCACAGCAAUAUUCUGCACCACGAAAGAAGAACAGUUGACAGGAAAAAUUGAGAGAAAACCAAUGCCAAAGCCGAAAUUUGUCAGGAAGGUGGAGAGAAAACUGAUUUGUCAAGAAGGUGGAGAGAAAACUGACUCUUUUAUUUUCAGAAGAAAAGAAAAUUGAUUAAAUUUUGGAUAUUCUACCCCUAAAAUCCUUAAAAUUUCUCCCCCUUAUCCCUAAAUUCGCUCCCACACUUCUCCACACCCCUCAAACACUCCAAACCGUCCACACUCACCCCACUCUUUUCAAAAUUCUGACUCCACUCAAACACCUCCACGACAUCUAGCAAAAAUAUAUCAUUCGCUUGCACAGAGACUCGAACUUCUGACCCCCAACAUACGAACACACCAUUUAGCCACUAGACCGGCAGGCCCAUUCUAUCAUAUUUUACCAAUAUUUACUUAUAAGCCUACUGGUUAGAGAUAGAGGUUUAUUCAUUUAAAAACCAAAAAUUUACCCAAGUUAAUGCUUGAACUUGGGACCUCCCAAACACUCUCAGAACACAUAACCACUAAAGCUAACAAAUAUUUGUCAUAAACAUACAAAAAUAACUAUAUAAGGGACUUUUUUUGGGUGUUACAACUAUACCCCCUAAAAGAAAAUUUCGACCUCGAAAUUUUACCUGAUUAAAACAAAUGAGGAUAUUGUUACCGCAUCACAUCCUUAGGCUUCCACGUGGCCUCCUCAAAGCUAUGAUUAUGCCAAAGAACCUUAACCAGUAGGAUGAAUCUUCUUCUUAGAAUCUUUACAUCACGCUCUAGAAUCUGAACUGGCUUCCCCUCAAAGGUCAGAUCUGGCCUAACCUCGAUCUUCUCAACAUGAACAAUAUGCGUAGGAUCAGAGUGGUAGUGUCUCAACAUCGAGACGUAAAAUACAUCAUGAAUCUGAUUUAGCUCCGGAGGUAACUCCAAUUGGUAGGCAAUUGGUCCUACACGCUUUAGGAUACGAUAAGGCCUAAUAAACCUAUGGCUCGACUUACCCUUACGUCCAAAUCUCAGUACCUUCUUCCAUAGCGAGACCUUAAGAAAAACGAAGUCCCCAACCAAAUACUCAAUCUCUAGAUGCUUUAGAUCUGCAUAAGACUUCUGUCUAUCUGAUACGGCCUUUAGUCGGUCUCGAAUCAACCUAACUUUAUCCUCGAUAUCAGAAACUAACUCAAGGUCCAGAACAUGCUGCUUGCCAAACUCAGUCCAACAUUAAGGUGUGCGAUACCUACGACCAUAUAAUGGCUCAUAGGGUGUCAUCUGAAUGCUAGACUGAUGGCUGUUGUUAUACACAAAUUUUGCUAGCGACAAGUAAUCCUCGCAACUGCCUCAGAAGUCAAUCACACAACUUCUCAACAUAUCCUUCAGCAUCUGAAUCACCCUUUCUGACUGACCAUCAGUCUGAGGAUGGAACGUAGUACUGAAGUCCAAUCUUGUACCUGGAGCUUCAUGUACCUUCUUCCAAAAUUGAGAUGUGAAGCGAGGAUCCCUAUCAGAUAUUAUUGAAACUAGUACCCCAGGCAGUUUCACUAUCUCAGACACAUACAAUUUAGCCAGCUUCUGCAAAGAGUAGUUAGUACGAACUAGUAUGAAGUGGACGAAUUUGGUCAAUCGAUCCACGAUGACACACACUGAAUCCUUCUUAGUGGGUGUGAGGGGUAACCCACUAACAAAAUCCAUAGUUACACGCUCCCACUAUCAAAGCAGAAUCUUGACUAGCUGUAAUAAUCCCGAAGGUAAUUGAUGCUCAGCCUUAACCUGCUGGCAGGUCAAACAUUUACCCACAAAAUCUGUAACCUCACGCCUAAGACCUGGCCACCAGUAUAACUCACGAAGGUCUCAGUACAUCUUGUUUCCUCUAGGAUGCAUAGCAUAAGGGCUACUAUGCGCCUCUUUCAGUAUCAACUGCCUCAAUUUAGUAUCCUUCGGUACACAUAUUCUCCCAUGAAAAUAAAGUACCCCUUCGCUAUCCAGUCUAAAAUCCUCGGUAUCCCCACUCUUUACCUGUAAUGGCCUAAAUUUAAGGUUAUCGAAACAGUGGUUUCGUAACCACAAAUCUAAUUUAAAGAGAAAUUUAUUUUAAUAUUUUUGCAUGAAUAUUGAUAUGAUAGGAAAAUCGUAUGAAAAUAUCGAUAGAAAAAUUUUAUCGAUUUAGUGGUUAGUUAAAAAAGAAAUUAUUAAAGAAAUUAGGUAAAAAACAAGGUAUCAAGACCUUUAUCUCGUAAAACUGAGUGAAAAAUAUUUUUAUAAAUAUUUAUGAAAUGUUAGUAAUAUGGUAUUAAAAUUUCGUUAGAAAAUUUUAAUGUUUGGGUAGUCAAUUAAGUGAAAAGGACUAAAUUGAAAAAGGUGUAAAAGUUACUAGAAGGAUUAAAUAGAUCAAUUGUUAAAUGAGGAGGACAUAAAUUGCAAAUAAUCCCAAAAGGAGAUAUUUUGGGCGGCAUAAGCUGAGAAAAAUCAAGAGAAUUAGUGAAAUAAGGGUAAAAUGGGAAAAAAACAAAUUUUACUCACAUAAAAAUGGGACCAAAUUGGAAUAUCUAGAAUUCUCUUUAUUUUUCUGCAUUCUCAUCAGCCAAAAAUAUCCUAAGGGUUUAUUCAAGCUGGUUUUUCAUAAUUUUUGUAGUAAAUCUAGAAAAUUCAAAUACGAAGCUAGAUCGAGGAAAAAAAAAGUUCGGGAUUAGUAGAUUUUUGUUUACGAACAAGUAUCGAGGUAAGUUUGUGUAACUUGAAUUAUAUUCUUAAAUGCUUGAAAUGUUUGUUAUUGAUGUGAAUAUGAUUUGAAUGUUCAUUGUAUGAAAAUUGAAGAAACACUGAUAUAUUUGAUAAAAAGGGGAAGAAAUCUCAGUUGAAUGGAAGGAAAAUUCUAUGGAUCUCUGAAAAGGAAUUGACGGUAAAAAGGAUCUAGCCCAGAUAGGUGGUCCUAUCCUAAUAUAGCCCUAUGUGGAAAAUGGAUUUAGCCCGGACGGAUAAUUCGAAUUAGGGUCUGAAUUUAGCCUAGACUGGUGAUUCAGAUCCAAGCUCAUUACAGUAAUUGUCGUUGCAAGGGAUUUAGCCUGGACUGGUAAUCCCGACAAUACACUAUGAGUUUAUAUUACAGGAGAUUUUGCCUGGACUGAUAAUCCCGCUGUAAGGAUGAGGUUCACGGGAGUGUGCUCUCUGAAAUGGAAAUGUACGCACAUGAAUAUGAAUUGACAGACCCGGAUUUGUACAGUUAGGUGUACCACUGAAAAUCCAUCGAAAUUCCAAGAAGUUCAACGGGAUAAAUAUGAAAAAAUAACAAGGAAAUGGAAAUCAUGGAAUUGAUGAGCUCAUCAAUCAUGGUAUAAAUUAUUGAUACAUGGAAAUUGUUGGACUAAUUUGAAUGUUGAGUUUGUGCAUGAUAGGGGAAUAAUGUAUGGAAUGGGUGUAUGAAUGUUUAUUGCAUUGUAUUGAAAAUAUUAGGUAAGUAUAAUUCUUUUUACAUGAACUUACUAAGCACAAAGUGCUUACCCUAUUUCUUUUUCCCCUGUUUUGUAGUGUUAAGAGCUCGGAGGUCAGAUUCGGUCAGAGACGUAUCACACUAUCAACCUCAAGAUCUCGGUAUAUAAAGAAACUUUAUUUUGGAAAUCAAUGGCAUGUAUAAGCUAGUAAAGUAAAUGUUAAUGUAAAAUGAAUGUAUGGUUAGCCAUUGGUACGACAACAAAUUUUGGUUUUGGUAUGUGAUGAGGUUAUCUUAUGAAUAUGUUAAAUCUAUCUUGAAAAUAUGUUGAAAUGGAUUGGUUGUGUUGGAUUAGUCUCGGUUUAAAAUUGCAGGAAGGUUAGAAAUUUUUAAAGGGGUUAUAUUGAGUUCAAAAAAAAUUGUGAUUUUGCAAAAAAUUUCUUAUGGUUUCGAUUUAAUCUCGAUUUGGUCCCGAUGUAUGUUUUGGGCUUCGGAGGCCCAACCAAGGGACGUCAUGACAUGUUUCGAUAAAUGAAUAGUAUUGAACUUGUAAUAAUGGAAAAUUAAUUCGGUAAAAUCUGGUAAUGCCUCAUACCCUAUUCUGAAGACGAAUAUGGGUAGGGGGUAUUACACUACCUGUCGGAAACAAAGCCCCAACGACUCAUCCUUUAUCUGUUUACCCUUAAUCUACUCUAUCCACAUCGGUUUAACUUAAAGUUCGGCCAAUAGACUACCAUCAUCAAAUAAACUGAGGCAAGCAGACAUCGCCCUUAGGUCAAUUAUAGCUCUACGGCUUAGUGCGUCGGCGACCACAUUAGCCUUACCAGGGUGGUAUUCAAUAGUACAGUUGUAGUCCUUCAGCAGCUCAAUCCACCUACACUGCCUAAGAUUCAACUCCUUUUGAGUGAGGAGGUACUUGAGGCUCUUGUGAUCAAUGUAAAUGAUACACUUCUCACCAUACAAGUAAUGCCUUCAAAUUUUUAGUGCGAAAACCACUGCGGCCAACUCUAAGUUAUCUGUCAGAUAAUUUGCCUCAUGAGUCUUAAGCAGACGAGACGCGUACACUACCACCUUACCCUCUUACAUCAACAUACAUCCUAAAUCGAUAUGUGAUGCGUCGCUGUAAAUAGUAAAAUCCCUUCUAGACUCUAGCUGUAUUAGAAUAGGGGCUUCCGUCAGUAUAGUCUUGAGCUUCUCAAAGCUCUCUUACUGUGCGUCAGUCUAUUUAAAUAGCACACCCUUACGUAACAACUUAGUCAAGGGUGCGGCAAUCAGAGAAAACCCCUCCACAAAUCGUCGAUAAUACCCUACUAGUCCUAAAAAACUGCAGAUAUCAGAUACAGUCUUAGGCUACUCCCAAUCUAAGACAGCCUCAAUCUUUCGAGAAUCGAAUCUAAUCCCCUCAGAAGAAACCACAUGUCCCAAGAACGUCACUUCACGUAACCAGAACUCAAAUUUACUAAACUUGGCGUAUAGUUGUUUCUCUCGCAAAAUUUGUAGAACCACUCUGAGUUGUUCAUCGUGUUCGUCCUUAGUUUUUUAAUACACCAGUAUGUCGUCAAUAAAUACCAUCAUGAACUAAUCCAGAUAGGGCUGGAACACUCGGUUCAUCAGAUCCAUAAAAGUUGUCAAUGCAUUCGUCAGUCUAAAUGGAAUCACUAGGAACUCGUAGUGACCAUAGUGAGUCCUAAAUGUCGUCUUAUGCACGUCAGCCUCUAUAGCUCUCAACUGGGGAUACCCUGACUGUAGAUCAAUCUUGGAGAAAACCAAAGCACCUUAGAACUGAUCAAACAGAUCGUCUAUCCUCGGUAGGGGGUACUUAUUCUUAAAGGUCAACUUGUUCAGUUGCCGGUAAUCAAUACACAUACAUAUGGACUCAUCCUUCUUUUUCACAAACAGAACUGGUGCUCCCCACGAAGACACACUAGGGCGAAUGAACCCACGAUCCAGUAGCUCUUGAAUCUGAGCCUUAAGCUCUACGAGCUCUUUCGGUGCCAUUCUAUAAGGGGCGAUGGACACCGAAGCUGUACCAAGAAUGAGCUCAAUCCCAAACUCUACUUCACGAUUCGGAGCUAACUCAGGUAGCUCUUUAGGAAAAAUGUCUUGAAACUCCUUAGCCGUCCUAAUAUCCUUAACCGAAGCAUCCCUAAAAUCUGAAACACUGGUGUAAGCCAGAUACGCCUCACGUCCCUUACGAACCAACUUUUCGUCCCUCAGUGUAGAAAUCACAUUUGAUAAGUAGUUCCGACGUUCCACAAUUACGACUACCUCACUGUCUUCCACAGUUUUUAGUACAACCCUUUUCGUGGCACAAUCUAAGCUCACUCGGUGUUAGAUCAAAUUCCCCAAAAGGUAGUUCCAUCAGAUCAGCCAAAAAGAUAGCUCCUUGAACCUCUAGAGGAACAUCUCUAAACAGUUUGUUAACCCUUAUUGACUGCCCCAACGGAGUCAGUACAGUGACCUCACUUGUAGUGCUCUCAAUCAGAAUACCCAAGUUUUCAGAUACGGUAUAAGCUAUAUAUGAGUGAGUGGAUCCUAUAUCUAUCAGUGCAGUAUAUGGUACAUUAUAAAUAAAAAACGUACCUAAAAUGACGUUCAGAGUAUCUCCAUCCUCUCGGCGACAAGCAGCAUAAACUAGAGCCGAUUGGCUCACCUCAGUAUGCCCAGCACCUCUGCCCGGUACUCUCUGACCACGGCCCAAACCAUUACUACCUCUGACCUGGCCCCGGCCUCUUGGUGGCUGAUGAACUACUCCUGGUGGCUGUACAGUAUUAUUACCCGGAGCUUGCAUCUGAUCGGACCUCCAUGGACACUCUCUAAUACGGUGCUUUAGAGAACCACACUUCAAACAUGCCCUAGUUCUUUUCCAACACUAGCCCUGAUGGCGUCUACCACAGUCAGUACACAGCGGCUGUCCAAUAGAAGCAAUGGGAGCCUCAACUCUGAUCUACCCAUCAACUCUGGCCUUUUUCUUAGGACUUUGAACGAAACUUGUGGGCUCUGAAUCCAUCUUGUUCUUGCCUCUCUCACUAUCACGAUUCUGGCGCUCAGUGCGUUUCACUUCCUCCGCGAUCUUCGCCUUAUCAACUAGUGCAGCAAAAUCUUGCUCCCUCUGUGGAGCUAUCAGAACCCUCAAAUUAUCCUUGAGGCUGUCCUCGAAGCGAACACAUCACUCGUACUCAGUCGCCAUCAUACCACGCGUGUCGAAACUAUUUUUUAAAACAAAAAUGUUAUUGUCGACUUAAAAACGAAACGAAAAUUGGAGUCACCACCGAUCCUUUAUUGGGGUGUGAUCGGCUCACCUUAAAGACAAUUAUGGUUUGUGAAAUUUUGAAAAAAUAGUUUCGGGAGUCGGUUACGCACGAGGAAGGGUUAGCACCCUCGUAAUGCCCAAAAUUAGUACUGAAUUCUUUAAUUAAGGUCUUAAUUCCGAAUAUCAAACAUCCGUGAGGAAUUUUAAAAAUACAAUCCUCCCUUUUAUUAACGUUAAUUUUAUAAAAGAUGCUUGGAUAAAUCGAGGCGAAUGCUAAAGACCUUCUCAUCUUAGAGUAAUAAAAUGUCACACCCAAUACAUUAGGACACGACAUUUUUAGUCCUCGAGAAUAAGCUUGUCUUUUAAUUUUCAAAACUCUUACGGUGAAGUUUAAAGAGGAUAUUCAAUUGCUUUAAGUCAGAUGAAAAAUCGAAACCCAAUACGUUAGGGCACAAUUUCUCAGAAUUCCUAGCAUUGAAUAUAGCCGUUAUUAUUAUUUUUUUAAAAUCUUUAUUUCGAGAAAACAACAUGUCAUAUCCAAUACAUUAGGACACGAUGUAUCGAAUUCCUGAGAAUGAGCUUUUAUUUAUGUGUUUUGAUUAAAGAAAAUUUUCGAUUAUUUAGAUUCAACGAGGAAAAUUAGAACCCAAUACGUUAGGGCUUAAUUCUCUCGAGGAUUCCAAAUUUCUAGUAUUACGUUAUUUUAUGGAUAAAUCAAUUUUAAUGCUUAAAAUAGAAUAUAGUCAUUUGAAUAAAACGCAAUAGGAUGACAAUAUGUAUCGCGAAAGAAAAAUUCGUAAGCUAGGUGUAAGCUAAUGAAUCAACAAAGAAUCAAUAAAAUAAAAAUAAACAAUACUACAUACAUCAGGGCAACAAUCUUAUAUUACACAUUAUACAACUAUUAACAUCCAUUUUUAAAAGCUAGUAAAACCUAAAAAAAAAAAGCCAAUUAACAUAAAUGUGAAUCCAAUGUAUAAGUUUUGAAAUAACUAAGAAUGGCAUGAAAGAAAGGAAAUGAUGAAUUUACAUAUAGGUAUGCAUAGGAAAAUUUUUUAAAUAAAUAAUAUGAGCAAGAAUUUACAUAUAGGAUAAAUUGUAUAUAAAAUAAAUAAACUGUAUAUUUAUGAAUUUUAAAGCAAUAGUACAUAAUAAAUCUAACAAUGUAAUAUGUAAUAAACUUAUAUUAUCAAUAAAAUACAUUAAAAACUUUUUAAAGUAAUAAUACCUCAAAUUUAAAAGACUUAAAACAAUGAUACACAUAAAAUGUAAACUAUAUAAGAUAAAAAUGUUGAGUUUAAUUACUAAAUAAUAUUAGAUUAAAAAAUAAAUGUAUCAAAAAUAAUGAAAUGUUAAAUAAUUAAAUAAAUUAAAUGAAAUCGAGCACAAUAAGAUAGUAGGGAUUAAAUUAAACUAAAAGUAUAACUGAAGGAACAGAAUGAAAAUAUAAUAAGGCGGAGGGGCCAAAUGUGAUGUGCAAAUAACUUGGGGGACCAAGUAGGAUAUAAUUUCCGUCCCUCCAAAACGCGGUGCACGACCUGGGCCAGAAUGAAACAAAAGUAAAAUGUAGCAUGAAAUUUACAAAUAGAGAAAAAUUGAUUUGAAAACACCAUGAAAGAAAGGGGACCAAGUGCACAAAUAACCUUACCAAGACCACAAUCCGCUGAUCUUAGCCGCCUCUGGGUCGGGUCAUCGGGUAAGUAGAUUAAACGAUGUCGUUUUGAGGGCUGUUAACCCUAGUUCAAAACCACGCCGUGCGACUGUAUUAGUUAAAGUAGAAUUUUUUAGUAUUUCAGUCUGCUUAACAAAAAUAAAAAGAAAAGGCCGCCCCCUCUUCUCGUCCAUGCUAGGAUUUCAACCCUAGUUUCAUGCCACUAAAAGCUCUGCCGAUUUCAGGCCUCACAACCCUCGCCCGAACUUUGAUUUCGACGAAGUGAACAAGGUUUCGAUCAACGCUAACACUAAGGUAAAUCUUCCUUCCUUUAUUUUUAUUUUACAAAUUUCAAUAGUAAUAAACGAACAUAGAAGAAACAGAAAAGAGAAAAAAAAAAAAGAAAAAAAAUCACCUUCAGCAAACUUUUUCUUUUUGAUUUCUUUUGCUAUUUUUUUUGUAUUUUUCUGCAUCCCCUUUACAGAUUUUGUUUAAUGGCUUUAUAUAGCCAAAAAUAAAAUGAAAUAAAAAUUAAAAAUAUAUUUCGCUCUCUUUUUCUUUAUUCCCUUUCUUUUAUUUGCUGUCGAUUUCUGCUCUUCUUUGUUUGUUUUUCUUUCCUGCAGGUACGGCGUACAAAGGGUAGACAUGGUAUGUACGGAGGCACGCAUGAGGCCGAGGGAAAGCCCUGGUGGCUGCGGCGCUAGAGGCUUGCUGUUGCUGCUAGGGUUUCUGGCUGGUUGAAAAAAAUGUUUUGUGUUGGAUUAGGGUUAGGUAAUUUGGGCCUGGCGUUUGGGUUUAGUUUAUUGGGCCAUGUUGAUUUGGUCUGUAUUAUUUUUUGGGCUUGUAACUAUGGCCCUAUGGACUUUUAAUAAUUUUUUGUUUUUAUUUAUAAAAUUGGGUCGGGCAAAUUGGGUAUUACAGCUGCCCAUCUUUGCUCGGUGUUGUGUAACAAGAACGGAGCAAAGACUUUAAAAAUAGCCAAUGUCCCGGUCGUGUUGGACUUUGGUAGUCUCAUUCCAACCUACUGAAUCUUCAGAGGUAUAGGAAUUGGUGCUUCGAUCCACUCCACUGCAAUGUCGGGAAGAUAGGAUUUGUACCUUGUCGCUUCUCAAAAGAACAAAGUUUGCUAUCUUUAGCCUGUUCCACUACAACUUCAGGGAGAUAAGACUUGUAGCUUCAACUUGUUAUGCUACAACUUUAAAGAUAAGUCUGAUGCGAUCUGCUAUACCGCAACUCCAGAGAAAUAAGAUUCACUGUUGUAGCUUCAAUCUAUUUGACUGCAACGUUGGGGAAGUAAGAUUCGCCGUCUUCAAUCUGCUCCACUAUUGCUUAGGGAGACAGGAUCUACAAUCUUCAACCUAUUCCACUGCUGUUCAGGGAGAUAAGACAUACAAUCUUCCACCUAUUCCACUGUUGUUCAGGGAGCUAGGACUUACAAUCUUCCACCCAUUCCACUGCUGUUCAGGGAGCUAGGACUUACAAUCUUCCACCUAUUCCACUACUGUCCAGAGAGAUAUGACUUACAAUCUUCCACCUAUUCCACUGCUGGUCAGGGAGAUAGGACUUACAAUCUUCCACUUAUUCCACUGCUGGUCAGGGAGAUAGGAGUUGCAAUCUUCAACCUAUUUCACUACUGGUCAGGGAGAUAGGACUUACAAUCUUCAACCUAUUUCACUGCUGGUCAGGGAGAUAGGACUUACAAUCUUCAACCUAUUCCACUGCUGGUCAGAGAGAUAGGACUCACAAUCUUCAACCUAUUCCACUGCUGGCCAGGGAGAUAAGGCUUUGUGAUUUCACCGAUCUAUUCUUUGAGGAACAUGACCUGUAUAAUUCAAUUUAUGAACCUAAUUAUGCCUAGUGAUUAGGAUGUCAUGAUCAGAAUGAAUCAAAUGCUCCUAACUAGGUAUGUAUGGAUGAUGUUUGCAUGAAUGCAGAAUAUCAUUUUUUUAGAAUGAUUCUUCUUUAUCGCUCAGGUUGUCAUUGCUUGACAUUUAUUAAGGUUUUAUCACUGACGUGCUAUAACACCUUCACUCGGCUGGCAUCUCUGAAGAAACGCUUAAUCAGAUUGCCCCCAAUGUAAUCUCCAAGGUUCAAUCCACUGGGGCACAAGAUUUUCACCCUCUUUCUCUUGCUGUAACCCAAGGAUAGAAAAAUUUGGCCUUUUCUCAAUUCUUCUUCUAUCAUAAUUUAAGGAUAUAGAAUGUUAAGCUCUUUGGUCCUUUACACCAUUCCUAGGGUGUCAUACCAGAUGCCUAUGCACAAAUUAAAAAAUCUCUCCUCCAAUGAAACCCCUCUUAUUGCUUGGUGAUUAUUGCUUGCUUGUUCAUUGAGCUUUAUCACCACCACAACAUCGUCAUUUUGUUCAACCAAUGUUUUGACAAUAAAAUUCGAAGGGAUAGUCUUAAUCUAAACUUUUCCUUCUUAGAUAUUUCAACCUUUAAACUUGGCGAAUUCUAAAUAAUAGUCAUGUUUCAGGUUACUGUAUUAUUUAGAAACUUCUAGAGUAAUAUGCAAAACUUCCCUUCUGAAAGUUUUAUUAGUCCAUUAAUCAUUAUUCUAAUGCAACAUGCUUGCAAAAAGAACAAAUCGAUGGAUAAAAUAGAAAUGAUUUGAGAGCAUAGCUUGCAAUGAAUAAAUUAUCAAGAAUAUUGAGAAUAAAAGAGGAAUUAACUUGUAUCUUGAAAAAGAAUGAAGUAUUCCAAAAAUAAGCAAAUAUAAAUAGUAUAAAGACUAGAUGCCCUAGAUAUCGCAGUUUGAACUUCUCUGUACUAACUUCCUGAAGACCAUUCUGAGUUUGACAUGUGUUUAGGAGAUCUACAGUACUCUAUCGAUGCCCUAAGAUGUCGCAUACGCUUUCUGUUGAUUCAGAUAUACCAAGGUCAUCACAUACCCCUAUCUGAUCAAAGUUCGAGCUCUUCUGAUCAGCUCAUGCCCCAUUCUAAUCAAUAUUUGAGCCGCCCUUUUCAGGUUUUCAACUCAAAUCCCCUUUGGUCUCAAGGUGCCCUUUGCGUGUUUUCACCUUGGCCUCUCCAUUUUUAUUUUUCUUAUUUUUUGGACUCAAAGCGCCCUUUACGAGUUUUCACUUUGGUUUUUUUUUUUAAAAGUGACCUUUGCGGGUUUUCACCUUGGUCCCUUCCCCUUUUUAGGUAAAGUAUUUCUUGAUUGAGUCUGAGUUUACUUGAUUGGCAGGCUUUUACCAUCCAUCUAGCUCAAGAUCAGAGCUCCUCCAGAAAAGGCCCUCUUUACAACAUAAGGUCCUUCCCAAUUUGGCAUUCAUUUCCCUCUAAAAUCCUUUUGUAGAGGAAGGAUCUUUUUCAACACCAGGUCCCCCUCAUAAAAUUCUCUAGGACGAACCUUUUUGUUAUAGACUCGCAUCAUUCGCUUCCGGUACAUCUGUUCAUCAUGAAUAGCUUUUAGUCGUUUUCCUUCGAUCAGGUUCAACUGAUCAUAUCGAGAUUGGAUCCAUUCAGCCUCAUCUAACUUUAGUUCAGCUAGCACCCAAAAAGAGGGGAUCUUAACUUCAAUGGGUAAUACUACCUCCAUCCCGUAAAUUAGAGAGAAAGGCGUUGCUUCAUUAGACGUCCUAAUAGAUGUUCGAUAGGCAAUGAGAGCGAACGGUAAUUUCUCAUGCCAGUCUUUGUAAGUCUCAGUCAUUUUCCCUACAAUCUUCUUGAUAUUUUUAUUAGCUGCAUCCACUGCACCAUUCAUUUUCGGGCGAUACAGUGACGAGUUGUAGUGUCUGAUCUUGAAUUGACUGUAGACUUCCGCUAUUGUGCUAUUGUUCAAGUUUAGCGCAUUUUCAGAUACGAUUCUUUCAGGCAUUCCAUAUCGACAUAUGAUCUCUUUUUUCAAGAACUUGCUGACUGCUGAUUUCGUGACAUUAGCGUAUGAAGUAGCUUCUACCCAUUUAGUGAAAUAGUCAAUAACCACGAAGAUGAAACGAUACCCAUUAGAAGCUUUUGGCGAUAUGGGCCAGAUAACAUCCAUUCCCCACAUGAAGAAAGGCCAUGGAGAAGUCAUAACGUGAAGAGGUGACGGAGACGCGUGUAUUUUGUCUGCAUAGAUUUGGCAUUUAUGGCACUUCUUGGCAUAAUUGAUGCAAUCUCCUUCCAUGGUGGACCAAUAAUAGCCGAAUCUCAUGAUUUGUCUAGCCAUUGUAAAUCCUUUUUAUAAUUGAUGCAAUCUCCUCAUGGGACCAAUUAAUAGCCGAAUCUCAUGAUUUGUCUAGCCAUUGUAAAUCCUUUAGCAUGCGUUCCACAAAUGCCUUCAUGAACUUCUUCUAGGAUUUUCUUGGCUUCCACAUUAUUUACGCAUCUCAAUAGUACUUGGUCCUUCCUUCUUUUGUAUAAAAUCUCUUCAUCUAGGACAUAGUCAAAGGCUAGUCUCCUCAAUGCCCUUUUAUCAUUCUCCGUUGCCUGAUCAGGGUACUCAGGAUUUUUCACAUAUUGCAAUAUGUCUUGGUACCAAGGAUGACUGACAUUUUUCUCUUCCUCGAUAUUGUAGCAAUGAUCCGGAGUCUCAUAAAUGCUCAUCUGGAUAGGCUUCAUAUCUUCUAGCUUGUUCACCUUGAUAAUGGAAGCUAGAGUGGCUAAUGCAUCAGCCAUCUGGUUCUCAUCUUGUGGGAGAUAGUGGAAAGUAAUGUCAUCAAACUCUUCCGUCAAUUCGAGGACUAACUUUCGAUAACUGAUUAAUUUGAUGUCUCUCGUCUCCCAUUCACCCUUGAUUUGGUAUAUUAUUAAUGCAGAAUCCCCAUAUACCUUUAACGUCUUAAUUUUACGUUCUAUGGCUACACGGAUGCCCAUGAUGCACGCUUCAUAUUCGGCCAUAUUAUUUGUGUAAUCAAAAUCCAAUUUACUGGUAAAAGGAUAGUGGUCUCCAUUUGGGGAUAUCAGGACUGCCCCAAUCCCAGUUCCUACGACAUUUGAAGCUCCAUCAAAAUUUAGCUUCCAAGGAUGAUUUUCUUGAGAAUCCUGUUCAGCAGUUGCCACGCACAUCAAGUCUUCAUUUGGGAAAUCAAAAUCCAGAGGUUCAUAGUCUUCUAAAGCUCGGCUGGCUAAAAAAGUCCGCUAUUGCACUCCCUUUAACAACCUUCUGAUUUAUAUAGUCUAUAUCGAACUCAGAAAGAAAAAUCUGCCAUCUAGCCAUCCUCCCAUUCAACGCAGUCAACUCCAUCAUAUAUUUUAAGGGAUCUAAUCUUGAAAUUAGACAAGUUGUGUGGUAGAGCAUGUAUUGUCUCAAUCUUCGCGUCGUCCAGAUCAAGGCACAACAUAAUUUUUCAAUAGGUGAAUAUCUCAUUUCACAGUCGAUGAAUUUUUUACUAAGAUAGUAUAUCGCCUUCUCUUUCCGCCCCGUCUCAUCAUGUUGACCUAACACGCAUCCCAUAGACUUAUCAAACACCGUUAAGUAUAGGAUCAGCGGCUUAUUCGGAUUAGGCGGUGACAAUACUGGGGUACUGGACAGGUACUGCUUUACUCUGUCAAAAGCUUUUUGACAUUCUUCGUCUCAUACACCUGGGUUAUGCUUCUUCAGAAGAUGAAAUAUGGGAUCGCAUUUCUCAGUUAGUUGUGAAAUGAACAUGUAAUUUAGUCUUCCUAGGAAACCUCAAACCUUUUUUCAGUACGCGGCAGAGACAAUUCUUGUAUUGCUUUGACUUUUUCUAGGUCAAUCUCAAUCCUUUUUCACUGACUACAAACCCCAGAAGCUUUCCCAACCUAGUCCCAAAGGUACACUUGGCUGAGUUGAGUUUAAGUUGGAACUUUCUUAACCUUAGAAAUAGCUUUCCCAGGACUUGUACAUGCUCCUUCUCUGUCUGAGAUUUUACAAUCAUGUUGUCGACAUAGACAUCUAUUUCUUUAUGUAUCAUAUCAUGGAAAAGGGUCACCAUGGCUCUCUGGUAGGUAGCUCCCGCAUUUUUCAAACCAAAUGGCACCACCUUAUAACAGAAAGUUCCCCAUAGGGUUAUGAAAGUGGUCUUCGCCAUAUCUUCAGGAUGCAUCUUAAUUUGGUUAUAUCCCGAGAAAUCGUCCAUGAAGGAAAAUAAUGAGUAUCCUACCGUGUUGUCCACCAAUGUUUCGAUAUGAGGAAAGGGAAAAUUAUCUUUCAGACAGGCCUUAUUUAAAUCUCUGUAGUCUACACACAUUCGUACCUUCCCAUCUUUCUUAGGGACGGGUACGAUGUUUGCCACCCACUCUGAGUACUUAACCAUUUGUAGGAUUCCAGCAUCGAACUGCUUUUGCACUUCCUCCUUUAUUUUUAGCACAAAAUCAGGCCUCAUCCUCCGGAGUUUUUGCUGGAUUGGCUUGCAAUCAUCUCUCAUAAGAAGAUGGUGUACUACAAUAUCGGUAUUCAGACCAGGCAUGUCCUGGUAUGAACAUGCAAAAAUGUAUUUAAACUCUCGAAGUAACUCGAUGAAGCCUUGCUUCGUUUCUUCAGUUAUGUGCAUUCCCAUCUUUACUACCUUUCCUUCUUCCAGGGUCACAAUCUCCACCAUUUCCUUCUGAGGUAGGAUCUAUUUCUCCUCCUGCUCUGCUAUCCUCAACAGGUCUGGAGAUAAGUUGCUAUCUAUGUCGUCUUCAAAGUCAUGAUAUCCCUCUAAACACAUGUCUCAUUCAAAAGGAUUUUCUGAGUCCCUAGCAGAGUCACUCAUGUCAUUGAUAUUCAGGGACCUGUUACAGGUACCAAGGAGUAUACAAAGAAUGUAAAAAUUUUAAGUAUAUUUAUUUGUAUGGUAUGAUUAUAAAAUUAAUAAAAGAAUGAUUUGGAAGAAUAUGAAAGAAUCUGAAGUAAUUACUCGUAUAAAAGAAUAAAAGAGUCUUAAAGGAAAUAUCUGUUCCAAAUAACUGCAAAGAUGUACUUCAUUAAGAUAAUGAUUUUAGAACAUAAGCCUAUUUCAUAAAAGAAUUCUUAUUGUUUCUAGGCUAAAACAACAAGUGUGUUCUGAAUAUUACUCUGAGAAGGCUCUAAAGACUUCAGGUAUCUCUUCUGCAGUCCAAUUAUUUAAAACACUCCCAGGUUCAUAAGGACGGAUAUCCAACAAGGUCCCUUCUUCUUUUUUGUCUUCAUGAAUGGCGUUGAUGUGAAAAUUUUCCAAUAUCUCCUUGAUACUUUCUUCUACCGGUAUCCUUCUCUGAAGAUGAAUAAUCCCUCCUGAUACAAAAGUCUUGGAUAUAUGAGGAAAAGUCAUAGGCUGCCAUUUGACCUCAUCCCCUCAAGCGUGCCCUUCUUCUUUCUCGUCUAUUUUCUAACUCUUUCUUCUUUUGUCCCAUAUUCGGCUUGUUGCCUAAGACAUCUCCCCAAUCCUCUUCCGGGUAAGGCUCCUUUCCCCAUCAACAAUUGUAACCCCAUCUUCGUGGUCUUAGAUAUUUUCGGCACUGGAAUUUUAUUCCCUUCAGAAAUAAAUGUUGCAUUUAUAAACUCUAAAGAUCGAAAAGAGCAUUCGACUGCCUCGUCAUUAGCUUCCACGUAUAGCGCAUCGUUGGCUACAACUUCUAUGAUGUCUUCUUCAGCAUUUAUUGUUACCAGCCGACCUUUUGACACUAGCUUCAACUUCUGAUGUAAUGAUGAUGGUACAGCCCCUGCCGAAUGUAUCCAUAGCCUCCCCAAUAAGCAAUUGUAGGAAGGUUUGAUAUCCAUUACAAGGAAAUCCACUUCGUAGAUAGUUGGACCAAUCAAUAAAGGUAUAUCGAUUCUUCCCAUGACCCUUCUUUCUGUGCCAUCAAAUAUCUUCACUAUAUUCUGGCAUAUCUUCAUGUGCGAGCUAUCCACAAGCAGCCUAUUAAGUGUAGAUAGGGGCAAGACAUUCAAUGUUGAUCCGUUGUUAAUCAAUACUCCUAGCAAGGUCUACCCCUUACAUCGAGUAGUAAUGUGCAAAGCUUUAAUAGACCCCAUACCCUCGGGUGAUAUUUCGUCAUCAUUAAAGAAGAUAAAGUUAUCGACGCUUAUGUUGUUGACUAGCCGAUCUAAUUUGUUGACUGAAAUAUCAUUGGCCACGUAUGUUUCAUUUAGUAACUUCAUCAAUGCACUUCUGUGUACUUCUGAGCUCAAAAGUAAAGCUAGUACAGAUAUGCGAGCUGGUUGUUUAUGCAACUGCUCCACAACACUAUACUCGAUGUGCUUCAAAAAUUUCAGCAACUCCUUAGCUUCCUCCUUUUUUAUUGGCUCAUUGAUCACGGUUCAGGCGUGACUACUUUUUCUUUCUUUUGCUAUUCUGUUGAAGCUUUUCCUUUCAUUGAUUCUAUUCGGGGGCUUACCAAAUUGUAGCGCUUUCCACUACGUGUAUGAGAACCUAUACCCUGAUCCCCUUCUACAAUAGCAGCUGAAGUCUCCUUUCCUGGAAUGGUUGUGUUGCAUUUAUAGUUCCACGGGACUUUCUAGCUAUCCUUGUAAGAGAAGGUUGCAGGUUUCUGAAUGAUGCUCUUCGGCAUUAUACAUGCUCUAGAUUCACUAUUCUUAGGUCGUGAAAUGAUGACCACAGGACAAUUAGCCUUUGGAACUCCCAACGUUGAUUUUGAUGUGCAUAUGUUUCCCUCCUCUUGAACUUCUUCAUAGAACUCCAUCUCUUUAUUAUCUAUCAAGCCUUGGACCAAAGUUUUGAAUUCUGUACACUCCUAGAUCUCGUGUCCUAUCUCCUGAUGGAACUCAUAGUAGUUCUCCUUUUGUUCAUAACUUUUUUUUGAAUCUAAAAUGAUCAACCCCUUUUUUCCAUCUCAUUCCAAACCCAUCUCAGAGGGGUUCUUACCUCUACAAUGUCUACCUUAAUUUUUCUCCCCAUGUUUCCACUCAUCAUGUUCACCUCAUUAUUAGCAUGAUUAGGUAAUGAAUUUUCUACAUUGGGCGAAUCAUCAAGCUUGACAACGCCCAUACCAAUCAGCUUUUCAACCAGCUUUUUAAAGGCUAUGUAAUUUUCUAUGGAAUGCCCCAUAAUCCCCGCAUGAUAGUCGCACUGCGUAUUUGCGUCGUACCAAUUAGGGUAUGGCGAUUGUCAGGAUUUCAAGUAGUAAGGGGAAACUACGUGCGCAUCAAAUAAUCGUUGAUACAACUCCUUAUACAAUAUUGGGAUUGGCGUGAACUGGAGCUUAUCAGUGUUUUGCCUUGUUCUGGAUUCUUGUCCUGAUGAACCUUGCUGAUUAGCAGUCACCUUCCUCGACUGAUUCACCGUAAUCGAUUUUGAGUAACCCUUGUUAUAUGUACUCGUGUUGUUCACCUCAUUCUCUUUUUUCUUUGAGGCUGAUGUUCGGUUACUUUCUCCAGCGUUAAUCUUCCCACACCUGAUGGCAUUUUCAAUUAUUUCACCAUUCAUGACUAUGUCAGAAAAACUUUUGGUGGCACUUCCUAACAUGUGUGUGAUAAACGGGGCUUUCAAGGUGUUAAUGAAGAGCAUCAUCGUCUCUUUUUCCAGGAGGGGUGGCUAAACUUGGACUGCAACCUCCUUCCACCUCUGUGCAUACUACCUAAAACUUUCACUUGGCUUCUUUUCCAUGUUUUCCAAGGUGGUUCUAUCAAGAACCAUGUCUGUUACAUGACUGUACUGCUUCAUGAAUACUUGUGUUAAAUCUUUCCACGAACUAAUCCUCGUACGGCUUAAUUGAUUGUACCAUUUAGACGCUGCUCCUGUAAAGCUAUCCUGAAAGCAAUGUAUUAGCAGUUUUUCAUUGUGAAUAUACCUCGUCAUCCACCUAUAGAACAUGGUGAUAUGAGCCUCGGGGCAACUGGUCCUAUUGUAUUUCUUAAAUUCUCGCAUUUUGAACUUAUAAGGGAGUACCAAAUCCGGGACCAAGCUCAAAGCUUUACCGUCUAUCCCAAGGCAAUUCUCAAUGCUUUCCAUUGCCCUGAAUUUUUCCUCAAGCCACUUACACCUUUCUUCUAGCUGUUUUGGCAAUUCUACCAUUGUUUUUCCUUUUUCAGCCACUUCGUCGAAAUCACGGACGGUGAGGUUAAUAGGGUUAUCUCUGGGGUUAGAGCCUGAUCCAGAUUGAAAGUUCGUUGAGUCACCGGCUUGAAACUGCUGAGACUUGAUUGUGACAGAGGAUUUGCGUGGGUGUACCUCAGCUUGGGUCUGUCCGUGUGAAGGGGUAAAGCCAGGAGGAUAGAGAGGUUCGUCAUUGUCUCCUUCUUCAGCAUUAGCCAUAGGGCUCUUUCCUUUAUCGUUUCCCCCUGUCAAUAGUUGAGUCAAUCGAUUCAUCAUGUCUCUUUGGGACUCCUGAAUUUCAUAUGUAAUAUCUUGCUAAACUUUAGCUAGCUGCUCUCGCACUUACAGCUGAAUUUGGUCUUGCAUCUCCUUCUGAAACUAUUCCAGUCUUUCCAAUCUUUGGUCCAUGUUUCUUGACUUUGCACGAGUGCCGUACGGGUGUUUGGUUGAUUGGUUUUCUAGAUUAACUGUAAUGAUUUUAAUCGGUCAGGAUCUUUCGGUGGACUUUAGUGCAUAUGAUGUAAUGUAAUGCAAAUGUAUGAAUGCAAAACUUUACUAGAAAACAAAAUUAUUUACAUAAAACAAAUUACAUAUAUGGUUUUUCCCUAACGCUCAGAACUUUAAUUUUCCUAAGUAACGAAGCUAACUCUUGUCCCCAGCUUGAUUCCAGCUUAUACUUUACGCUCAGUGCAUCGGCUUGUACUGCCAAAGUCUGCAGGUGAUCAGCUACCUCUCGAAUUUGAACCACAGCUUCUCCCAUAACACGAUAUCUGUUUUUAACUUGAUUCUAAAGAUGGUGAAGUUGCUCACUCUGACAACUUUUAUUGGUUUCCAAGUACUCAAUCUAGAUCUCACAAUUUCGCAAUGCCGAUUCCAACUCUUCUAUUCUUUCUUUCAUUUCUUCGAUCUUGCUCAAGCUCGCUCUCAAUUCCACCAUAGAAUUUCGACUUUGAUACUGAUGAAGAGAUCUUUCUAACUCAGCCACUCUAUCUUUUAGUUCACACUUUUCCUUUUGAUUCUCUGACAAACCCUUCUCUAAAGCCUCAUUCCGUGUCUGAACCUCUCAAAAUUUCCUUUCCCAUCCAUCAGCCUUGAUUUUUUUUUCCCGAAUCUUUUAACGCCACUGUUCUGAAGUUUUCCCCAGCCCCGCGGUCCUUAUUGAUAACCUCAACUUCUUAUAAUCUGUUUUCAAACUGUCCAGAUCUCCCUCGGCUUUGUUCUUACCUUUUCUUAAUUUCUCAGUCUCUAACUUUUCAACAUCCAUAUCUAAUCCCAGGUGCAUCUUUUCUUCCUCCAACUGCUCGAUCUUCUUUUCAAGCUCUGCAUUCUUUUUCUCAAAAUCUUGCUUUAUAAUUUCCAAUUCAGAGGGAACAACCCGCAAAUGUUCUUCUAUCGACUGACUGUCUCCUUGACUUGGCCCUGGGAUAUUAUCAUUGAUUCUUCUAACCCACCAUCCAUUAUAUUCAGGAGUCGUCACUAGGCCUAUGGCUAAUCUCUUCAUCCGACGAUUUUGGUCCCAUGCAUUGGUUAUCUCUCGAAUGUUAUUUUUAUAGCCAUUGUCUUUAUAUGAGAAUUCAAACUCAGCUAAACCUUGGGUUGCAGGUAUAAACUGCCUUGACCUAUACUGUCUUAGCACCAUCAAUAGAGCAUAACCAACAGCUCCCUAGAUUCCAAGUAAUGGGACCCAAUCAAAAUUACCACAUCGGUACAAGAGCUCAUCCCGGAGUAACCACGGGGCUCUCUACUCGAUGUCCUCCUCAUGAAGAUUCUAAAAAAUGGCCAACCAUUUCUCCUCCAAGAUGCCAUCUCUCCUUGGUAUAACGGCUAUCUCUUUUAGUGGCGAAUAACUUUCAGAGAAGACUCGAUACAAAACCUUAUCAAUUUUUCAAAAAUGACUGUGGAACCAUGCAAGUAGAAGCUGCACACAUCCGAUGAAUCUGCCUUCACCUGCCCUUUGAUAUGCAUUUAGUGACCUGACGGUUUUUGCCAAAAUUGCCAGAACUGGUGUAACCCUCUUAUCAAGUCGAUCAAAGAGAUCUGAGGUUGCCUCAUCUACGUGCCCUAGUGCCUUAGGAAAAAUUACUAGCCCAUAAAUGCUCAAAGCAAAGACAUCGACCUUUUUCCUCGAAUCAGGGUGUGCCAAAAUCAGCUCCUGCAGGCUUUUCCAAGGAAUACAUUUGCUUUCCCCCUUCUGCUUGAUCCGUGCUGUGACCCACUGCUCACUCAUUCCGGUGAUAUUCAUCAAUUUCUUUACAAAGGUUGGGAUAUUAAUGGCUCUAGAGUAGACUUUAUCAACUUGGAUCUUUGGGCAACGUAGCAAAGCUGUAUAUUCUUCUAUAGUGGGCACUAAAUCAACCCUUCCAAAGGUAAAGCAAUUAUAUGCGGGGUUCCAAUACUGAGCGAAGGCCCAGAACAAAUGUUCGUCUACCUUAAUGUUGAGUAGAUACGAUAAAUCCCCAUAAAUGUAGUUGAAAAUUUGCUUAGUUUCGUCAUUUCGAUGAUCUCAUAUUACCUUUAAUUCCUGAAGGAUAUUUUGCGUUACACUGAUACAGGUGUAAUCCCACAACUCUGACGUGUAUCCCCCGGCUAGACUAUAUCAUUUUUCUAAUUGUGUUUUCUCUUACCACAUACGGACAGCAGCAUUGUCCUCCACUUUAUCAAGAAAUCUGUUCUUCAUGCCAAGCUUUCUAAUUUAUUAAUCGAACUUGAAUCGACACUCUUUUGAAUAUGAAAUGACAUGCAAACAUAGCAAAAACACCAUAAGUUAGUGCAAGAUACAAAAACACAACAUCAAGUAAGUAAAAAAAAUCAAACACCUAUCUGGUAACCGCUAGGGUUUCCGCAGUACGAUCAAGGGUGGUCUCCUAAUGUUUUCUAUAUGCAGUUCGGUUCUAAAGUUGAGGUACUCGAACUAACAGAUUCCUCAAUCCUCACUCAUUAUAGGCUCAUACGGACCGAGUUCAGUUCAGGGAAUACAUUUCCCUAUGGCUAUAUGGAGAUGAAAAUCUCACGAAGACAUAGGUACGGAUGUAUCCCGGAAGCGGUCUACUAUCCUGCAUGGAGGUGAAAACCUCACGAAGGACUAGUUUCUCACUCCCACUUAAAAGGGUAAGACUAAACAAUUUUUAUGCAAAAUUAUGCCAAGAUAUAAAACUCAAUUUACAGUAAUCAUACCGCACACAAAUACAAUGAGAGGAUCGUAAUUUUUCAAAUCAAAUUUUCAAUUUUCAAUAAUAAGACAAAAAAACAAUCAAUUUUACAGCUUGACUCUCUUAAUGGUCCCCAGUAGAGUCACCAAGCUGUCGAAACCAUUUUUUAAAACACAAAUGUUAUUGUCGACUUAAAAACAAAACGAAAAUUGGAGUCGCCACUGAUCCUUUAUUGGGGGUGUGAUCGGCUCACCUUAAAGACAAUUCUAGUUUGCGAAAUUUUGAGAAAACAAGUUUGGGAGUCGGUUACGCACGAGGAAGGGUUAGCACCCUCGUAACGCCUAAAAUUGGUACCGAAUUGAUUAAUUAAGGUCUUAAUUCCGAAUAUCAAAAAUCCAUGAGGAAUUUUAAAAAUACAAUCCUCCCUUUUAUUAACAUUAAUUUUAUAAAAGAUGCUUCGAUAAAUCGAGGCAAAUGCUAAAGACCAUCUCAUCUCAGAGUAACAAAAUGUCACACCCAAUACAUUAGGACACGACAUUAUUUUUCCUCGAGAAUAAGCUUAUCUUUUAAUUUUCAAAACUCUUGCGGUGAAGUUUAAAGAGGAUAUUCAAUUGCUUUAAGUCAGAUGAAAAAUUGAAACCCAAUACGUUCGGGCACAAUUUCUCAAAAUUCCUAGCAUUGAAUAUAGCCAUUAUUUUUUUUUAAAUCUUCAUUUCGAGAAAACGACAUGUCAUAUCCAAUACAUUAGGACACGACGUAUCGAAUUCCCGAGAAUGAGAUUUUAUUUAUGUGUUUUGAUUAAAGAAAAUUUUUGAUUAUUUAGAUUCAACGAGGAAAAUUGGAACCCAAUACAUUAGGGCUCAAUUCUCUCGAGAAUUCCAAAUUUCGAGUAUUGCUUUAUUUUAUGGAUAAAUCAAUUUUAAUGCUUAAAAUAGAAUAUAGUCAUUUGAAUAAAACGCAAUAGGAUGACAAUAUGUAUCGCGAAAGAAAAAUUCGUAAGCUAGGUGUAAGCUAAUGAAUCAACAAAGAAUCAAUAAAAUACAAAUAAACAAUACUACAUACAUCAAGGAAACAAUCUUAUAUUACACAUUAUGCAACUAUUAACAUCCAUUUUUAAAAGCUAGUAAAACCUAAAAAAAAAGCCAAUUAACAUAAAUGCGAAUCCAAUGUAGAAGUUUUGAAAUAACUAAGAAUGGCAUGAAAGAAAGGAAAUGAUGAAUUAAUAAAGUAUGCAUACGAAAAUUUUUUAAAUAAAUAAUAUGAGCAAGAAUUUACAUAUAGGAUAAAUUGUAUAUAAAAUAAAUAAAAUGUGUAUAUAUGAAUUUUAAAGCAAUAGUACUUAAUAAAUCUAACAAUGUAAUAUGCAAUAAACUUAUAUUAUCAAUAAAAUACAUUAAAAACUUUUUAAAGUAAUAAUACCUCAAAUUUAAAAGACUUAAAACAAUGAUACACAUAAAAUGUAAACUACAUAAGAUAAAAAUGUUAAGUUUAAUUACUAAAUAAUAUUAGAUUAAAAAAUAAAUGUAUCAAAAAUAAUGAAAUGUUAAAUAAUUAAAUAAAUUAAAUGAGAUCGAGCACAUCAACAUAGUAGGGAUUAAAUUAAACUAAAAGUAUAACUGAAAGAAUAGAAUGAAAAUAUAAUAAGGCGGAGGGGCCAAAUGCGAUGCACAAAUAACUUGGGGGACCAUGUGGGAACUAAUUCCCGUCCCUCCAAAACGAGGCGCACAACCUGGGCCAAAAUGAAACAAAAGCAAAAUGUAGCAUGAAAUUUACAAAUAGAGAAAAACUGAUUUGAAAACACCACGAAAGAAUGGGGACCAAAUGCAAAAAUAACCCUACCAAGACCACAAUGCGUGGAUCUUAGCCGCCUCUGGGUCGGGUCAUCGGGAAAGUAGAUUAAACAGUGCCGUUUUGAGGGCUGUUAACCCUAGUUCAAAACGACGCCGUGCGACUAUAUUUUUUAAACUAGAAUUUUUUAAUAUUUCAGUCUGCUUAAUAAAAAUAAAAAGAAAAGGCCGCCCCUUCCUCUCGUCUAUGCUAGGGUUUCAACCCUAGUUUCACACCACCAAAUUCUAAGCCGAUUUUCAGCCUCACAACCCUCGCCCGAACUUCGAUUGCGAUGAAGUGAACAAGGUUUCGAUCUACGCUAACACUAAGGUAAAUCUUCCUUCCCUUAUUUUUAUUUUACAAAUGUCAAUAGUAAUAAACGAACAUCGAAGAAACAGAAAAGAGAGAAAAAAGAAAAAAAAUCACCUUCAGCAAACGUUUUCUUUUUUAUUUCUUUUGCUAUUUUUUGUAUUUGUCUGCGGCCCAUUUACUGAUUCUGUUUAAUGGCUUUAUAUAGCCGAAAAUAAAAUGAAAUAAAAAUUACAAAUAUAUUUUGCUCUCUUUUUUUUAUUCCUUUUCUUUUAUUUGCUGUUGAUUUCUGCUCUUCUUUGUUUGUUUGUCUUUCUUGCAGGUACGACGUACGAAGGGUAGACGUGGUAUGUACGGAGGUGUGCGUGAGGCCGAUGGAAAGCCCUAGUGGCUGCGGCGCUAGAGGCUCGUUGUUGCUGCUAGGAUUUUUGGCUGGUUGAAAAAAAUGUUUUGUGUUGGGUUAGGGGUAGGUCAUUUGGGUCUGGCGUUUGGGUUUAGUUUACUGGGCCAUGUUGAUUUGGUCUGUAUUAUUUUCUGGGCUUGUAACUAUGGCCUGAUGGACUUUUAAUAAUUUUUUUGUUUUUAUUUAUAAAAUUGGGCCGAGCAAAUUGGGUAUUACAACGCGCAUAGUGGCUCAGUCGUAAAAACUUGGCAUCAUACUGGGCCACUGAUCUGUCUCCCUGAGUCAGAUUUAGGAACUCCUUCCUACAAGCAUCCACAUAACUAGUCUCCGCAUACUUCCCACGAAAUGCGGUCCUAAAGAACUCCCAAGACAGUCGGUCGGGCUGAUUGCCCUCCUUAACAGUGAGCCACCACCGAUACGCCUCAUCACGUAGUAGUGAUACAACACCCUUUAACUUCUGCUUAGGAGUGCAGUUCAGGUCGUCCAUAAUCUUCUCUGUGGCCUCAAUCCAGUAUUCUACCACAUUAGAGGCAACUCCAAUACCCUUCAAAAGCUCAGCUCCGUUAGACUGUAGUCGUUUUGUAACCGACCCGCGACCUUCAGCUCUCGUAUUGGGGCCAUCGAACCUUUCUAGAAUCCUUAACAUGGCUUGGGACAGUGCAUCGUCCCCAGCCACUCGAUCAUGAGACUCAGUCUCAGUCACAAGUGAAGCUAAUGUCUCACUUGUAUCCAAAUUAGGCAAGUUGCCAGAAAAUGAGGACUCAGCUCGAGCACCUUUACGGCUUUUCCACGGCCUCUUAUAUCCCAUCCGUAAGUACCUCUUGUGCUCAUUGUCUAUUCGUGUUAAUCUGUAUUAACAAUUUUAUGCAUCAGUUUACAAUUUUAAUAAUUUUUAAUAGAUAUCUUAUGAGAGGCAAUAUCCAAAGUGUAAAGUUUGUAUUCGCCCAACGAAGUGUCUAUCAGUGUCUAUCGAUUUUACUACAGUAUUAGUAUAUACUAACUUGAGUGUUUUAAGUACAGUCUAUCGAAAGUAGUCUUGGUACAUACUGCCUAUACCAUUUUCAAUUUUAUAAGCAGAUAUAAAUUUAGAGGACUUAUAGGAUCGGCGCUGGAGACCUGAUGUGCCACACAUUUAAUAAAAAUGUUUCACGUCCUUUAAAAAUUAGUUCUCUGAGAAUCGAAUCUUAAAAACCCAAAUCCAAAAUAGAAUUUUGCAACCUAGCUCUAAUACCACUAAAUGUAACACCCUAAACCCGGCCUGGAUGUUAUGGCCGAAUCUGGCAAUGUCACAUGAAGUGUGUUUGAAAGCCGUAUCAUUGCUAAAACCGUUAUUCAUUUAAAACUUAUCAUUAUGUUUCAUUUAUCCUCAAAUCGUGAUUCAUUUCCAAAAUGUUAUACUUUACGGAAGCAUUUAAAAUAGUUUGCGUGUGCGUGGCAUUUUGAUAAAACAUUCAUCUCUUUUGAAAACCCAAUUUUUACCUACUUCUAGGAGAUAUAAACAGAAAAUAGUAUAAAAUCUAAAUUUUAGGUAAAAAUCCAUAGAGGCCAUUAUUAUAGAAAAAUACCCCAAAAUAAAACUUAAAAUCGUAAACAAGUAUCAAAUAGCGAAAAGGAGUAGUGUGGCCACCGCUGAGUCUUCUGCCGCACCGAUCCGCCUAUGUCUGGGGAUUAACUGUACAACUUAAACAGAAAGGGUGAGUUUACGUGAACUCAGUGUGUAAUUCCCAUGCAAACAAACAGACAAUAACAGAUAAUCUCAGUCUGGGCCUAAGCCCUUUUCAGUAUCAGUAAGCAUUAGGGUCUUAACCCAUCAUAGUACAAUAACAGUGACAGUUAUACGGUUAUAAAAUCCUACCCAACCAGCCUCUACACUCUAUCUCCAUCCAACCCUACACUCCAUGUGGGGAUAUAAUCAACCCACCCAUCCCUACACUCCAAAUAGUACUGAAUGUGGCACUAGACAGUAGUUGCAGCUGAGCUGCCAGUAAGUUAGGCUUGAAGCCUUUCAGUACACUUCCUUCAAUCAAUAUCAAUUCCCAACCCAAUGCAAUGCAUCAUACAGACAUGUCAUGGUAUCAUGUAUAAUCAGUAUAGUGUAUAUAGCAUGCUCAACAUACAGACGUACAUAUUUAUCUUAUAUAGGCAUAUAAUAGUCUUUCAAUCAUUUCAGUCAAUUAGGGGUCUAAGUAAAUUUACCCACCCUAUAGUAGGUUCACAGUCAACUUGGGCAACCCGUGUAACCUUAGCAGUCAAUCAGUGAAAAUGGCCCACAGGCCCAUGUUCCAUGCCCAUGUAGGCCUACACGCUCUUGUGGUCCACACGGCCCAAAAUAGCCUUGCUGGCCUAAUAUUCCUACACGUCCAUAUGGUUCAUCUGUAUGGGGCCCAACGCCCGUGUGGCCCAUACGGCCCAAUUCGGCUCGGUCCAUAAAUCGUACAUGGCUGGCCUUAUUUAUCACAUGCCCGUGUUCGAUCACUCGGCCUACCACACGAGCGACCACACACCCGUGUGGCGUCGACCAUCACAUUCUUCGACUUUUCGCCGGUUUCCAUUUUCAGAGUUGUGUUUACACCCCUAGUUUGUUCAUGAUGUAAAUGUACUUCUGAGAUCACCAGCACCUAUGGUCGACAAAAGAGCCCCACAAUCAGUCCUAAUUCGUAGUUAAUUUGAAACCAAAAUAUUGACAAUGAUUCGUUCAACCCAUUCGUUACUUACCUUCAAAACCAAGCAACCCCCCACUGCGAAACCGAACAAGACAGGUCACCACUCCCUCAACUCGCCACUGCCAAUUCUACUAAGCGAGUAACAGCAGGACUACACUACUCCAACACUAACCGAAUCGUUCUAGCCCUUAAUCACCAAUGCACGAAAGCACAAUGGAGAUGGCAAGUUGUGGCAACAAGAAGAAGGUUAGGAACCAACAGAAAUCGACAGUAAAAAGGAAAGGAGGGAUUGACAGAACUAAGAGAAAAAUAAAAAUAAAAAAGGAGAGGAGAAAAUAAAAUAGCUAAAAAUCACAACAAUAUUCGACACCAUAAAAGAAAAACAGUCGAUAGGAAAAAUUGAGAGAAACCAAUGCCAAAAUUGAAAUUUGUCAGAAAGAUGGAGAGAAAACUCACUCUUUUUUUCAGAAGAAAAGAAAAAUGAUUAGAUUUUGGAUAUUCUCCCCCUAAAAUCCCUAAAUUUUCUCCCCAUUAUCCCUAAAUUCACUCCCACAGUUCUCCACACCCAUCAAACACUCCAAAUCGUCCACACUCACCCCACUCUCUUCAAAAUUUUAACUCUACUCAAACACCUCCAUGGCAUCUAGCAAAAAUAAAUCCUUUACUCGCACAGAGACUUGAACUCCUGACCCCCAACAUACUAACACACCACUUAGCCACCAAACCAGCAAGCCCAUUCUAUCAUAUUUUAUCAACAUUUACUUAUAAGCCUACUAGUUAAAAAUAGUGGUUUAUUCAUUUAAAAACUAAAAAUUUGCCCAAGCUAAUGCUUGAACUUGGGACCGCCCAAACACUCCUAGAACACAUAACCACUAAAGCUGACAGAUAAUUGUGUCAUAAACAUACAAAAAUAACUAUAUAAGGGAUUUUUUUUGGGGUGUUACAAUGUUAUCUUGUAGAUUUGAAUAUGAGUUUUUUUUUUAAUAGUGUAAUGCUCUUUCAACAAUUAGACUUGUUUAAUUGCUGAAACUCAUCAAGGUGACUAUAAGUUAGCGCUGAAAGCGUAAGAAAACAACCAAUGGAGACAAAAGACAAAGCAUCCACUUUUGAAAUUUUCCUUCAAGGUCGGUAAAGUACUUUGAAAACAUACCCCACCAAUUUAUAAAGGUAGUGUUGUUCCAGAGUCUGAAUAGUUUUAUCAGUCAUAUUCUUAAAAUCCUUUUGAUCAGUAAUAUAAAAAUAGGAAUAUUUAUGGAGUUAAUGUAAAAAUAUAUUGAAGAAUGGUCAAGUAAUCUGGCCGAUAAAAAUAUAUAGGAAAUAAAAAAUGGAUUUAUUAGGGAUCAUUCAUCUCAUGACAUUGUGUGAUAACGUAUGAUAUUGAUUUGUUAUAUAAAAUACUUUUAUAGACCAAGAAUUGGACCAAACUGGUGCUAAUUAGGGAAAAGCAAAAUUUAUAGAUUAGCCCCUGAAGAAAUCUACCUGUUUUGUGUUUUGAAAAGGUAAGUUCAUAUGAAACUUACUACCUUUCCUUGUGUUAUAUGUGUACUUGUGCUUACUUCAUUAUGAUUAGGUUUGAACAUAAAUUGAAAUAUUGAUGAAUUUGACAUGUAAGGAUAGUAAAAGGAUUGAAUUGAAAUGAAAUGUGAUAAUUGAUUGUUAUGUGACAGUACAUAGUAUAAACAUUAUGAAUGAUUAAAGGGUAUGGAAAUGAAAAUCUAAUAGAUUCUAGGGUGUGAUAUGCAAAUGUGAAUGAUACAGGUUAUGAAAAUGUAAUAUGUAUGAUAGAUGCCUACGUGAACUUAGUAAAAGGUUAGGAUACAAUUGGCAUGCCAAUAAGGUCAUAUGUACGCUUGUACAGGAUAUUUGAUGAUACGAAGAUUAUGAUAAGUUAUAUCGAGAUCCAGCAUCUGUUGGAGAUUAUCGUGUAAUAUUUAUCUCUACGGAGACUUUGGUGUGGUGGAGGGGUGUAAUUGAAAAUGUUUAUACAUUUGAUGCCUACGGGUUUUGCACUUCGUUGCCUUGGUGUGGUAUAGUUCACUCGUGUAUCUGAGUCCAUUUUACUAGGGUUUCAUUGGGCGAAACACUGAAAUUUAAUGUUGAAAUUGGAAAAAUGAAAUGAACAAAAUUUGAUAUGGUAUUUUGACAUGUAACUAAUCUGUCAUAGUUCAAUAUAGCAGAUUAAACUAGUUUCUGCACUUUAAGAGCUUGAACACAAUCAUUUUUGUUUCAUUUUAAUUACAUUUUCACAGUUUUAGUUACAUUAAAUAAAGUGUGUAAUGAGUCUUUUAUUGACCUUAAGGGCCAAAUGAAGCCUAAGGGUGAGCUAAUAUACUUUGUGAGCAUGCAACAGACCAUUAGAAGGCAUACUAACUCAAUUUUGGUCGUUGUGUUGCAACACGAAGAGCUAGAGGUCACAACAUAAAGAACGAAAUAGAAGAAUUUCAAUACUACCUUCAGUGUUGUGACACAGCCUAAUGAUGUUGCAACACACCCUUGAAGACACCUUGAAGAUGGAGUAUAUUCCCCUCGAUGUCGCAAACCAGGACCUGGUAUGUCACGAAAUCUCCUCUAUAUGGGAGAUAAUUACGAGUCAAGGGCAUUUUGGUCCACACAAUCAAACAUAAAGAACGAGGACUGUAACUGACCUAGGGUUAAGGAUGAGAAACACUCUAAAAUCUAUAAAUAGGCUCAAUUAACACAUUUAUAAACAACUUUAGAUUGUAUAAUUUUCUUCCUAGUUUUAGUCUUUAGUUUUUCUCUUUUCAUAGGCUUUAAGUUUAUUUUAUGUUUUGAUCUUUGCUUUAUGGAAGAAAUCAGAUUUGUUAAGCGUGAUCAAACUCUGUGAGGAUUCUGCAUUCAGUUCCAAUACAAAUCAGGGUUUUUCUAAACUUUAUACUCUUGAAUUAUUAUUCAUGUUUAUUCUUUCUAUCAAGUUUACAUUGCUUAUGAAAUCCAUGAGGAACUAAUCCUCUUGUGGGGGAUUAGCGAGUAGAGGUAUGAUUAAUUAACUAUUCUGUAGGGUUCUUUUAAAGGAUCAACUGUUCAGGAAAGGAAGAUCUUAAACCCUAGGCCUGACAAUCCUAGGAAGUCAUUAAGGUGGGAAUUAACCCAAAAUUGAUAUGGUCCUAUCCAUGAAGACCUUAACCCUAAAUCGGUCUAGACUGUAAGGUCUAGAGAUAAGUAGUUCUUGCCUACCCGUUAUUCUAGUGGAAGAUCGAAAGAUUCUGCUAGGAUAUUGACUAGUUGAUUGAACAAGAAAACUCAAAGCGAUAGUUUAUUAUGACUACUAAAGCAAUCUAAUCACCUAUGCUUAGAUUUGAUGCAUUUACUAUUUACUUUCUUAUUAUUUCUUUAUUUCUUUUUAGUUUAUUUCUAUCAUUAUUAAGAAUCAUAAAAACAUUUCUUCUUAUCUGGUCGUAAUAUGAUUCAUUUAAAAGUGCUAAUUAGAUUUAUUUAUGCUUAGGUAGGAUUAAUUUAGUAUUCGCCUCCCUUGGGUACGAUCCUCGGAGUACUCAUUUACUCUGUUGCAACUAUGUUACAACCCAAAUCAUAUACUUAGGGAUACCAUUUUUUUAGAUAUUUUGUGCAGGGUUUCUACUCUGGACGUUGGUGCAUCUAGAGGCGGUCAAGUUGUUGACGCCGUUGCCAAUGAGACAACGUCACUAGAUUAAUUUUGAUUUUUGUAUUCUAAUAGAAUAAUUAAGAAAUAUCUAAAUUAUACAUACGGCCUUUAUUUUAUUUCUAUUUAGUUAUUUGUUUAACAUUACUGAAAAUUCUUUUUUCUUCAAGAAUUCUCGGUACAUCCCUCUGCAAAGAAAACAAAACUACCGCAGUGACUAUUGAAAUUAGGUUAGAAAACACGAUGGAUAACUUUGAUUAUAUAUGGUCAGAUGAUGAGAUAGAUUAUGACGAUGACAUUUACAAAUAAGGAGUCUAUGAAGAGUGAGAGAUUCAAGAGAACCAGAGACUAUUAAUGCUGGAAUUAAGUCAACUGAGAGGUGAAACUCAUGUGGAUCUACAGGAGUGUCACAUGAGUGCGAACUUAAAACCCGUUGUUUCACAGUAUGAGCAACCUCAAAAUAUGGAUGAAGAGGAAAACUUAAUAACCCAAUUACCUUAGGAAAGUCUGAAUAGUCAGACACUUCUGAGUCCAGAAGAUAAUCAAGGUAAGCUAGGGUAAAUAACAUUACAAGAGAAUAUUCAAAAAGAGACAAAGCCCAACUAGGAAAUACCGACCAAAUGCAAUAAUGAAUUAAGAGUUAAAGUCAUUCCUUUAGAAAUUUCUAGGUUAUUAGGAUGGGGAAAUGAACAAGAUUAGAACAUAGUAGAGGAUAUCGAAAUUGUGAAUGUUCUCCAAUCAUUAGAGAAGAUAGUCCCUCCUAACGAAUCUAUAAAUAAGUGUUUAAAGCUUCAGGAAUUAGUAAAUGGUAACAAGGUCAGAUGUGAAAUUUGAAAGGAGGAUACAUUUAAUCCAGCUAUAUUCUACAGAGUAUUAAUUCUCAAUCAGCCACCUCAAAAUUUUAACAAAUUAGAAGGUUUCAUGAUGUUAAUCAAUAUAGAGAUGGGACACUUUGGCAGAAACUUAUAUGGUUCCGAGAUUGACACUAUGCAGCUAAUACUACCCAACGAUAUUGAUAUAAGGUUGCAAGGGUUAAGAAACACUCAUCUCCUACUAGAGCCACCUGACAAAACUCAAUUCAACUUGUAAAGGAGUAUAAAGGAGUGUGAAAUAAGCAACGUAGUUACAUGACACCCAACAGCCUCAUAAUCAGAACUUUUGAGGUAAAAUUCAAACAACCCAUUCUGCUGAAUAAGUUCAUGGUGGACCUCUUUCAAAUUAUGCAUAAGUGUGAAGGAAAGGAAAUAAAAAUGAAAAUGAUUUUAAAAAAAAUUCAAAAUCGGGAAUAUAAAAAGUAUUUAGGGUUGUUAAAUAGUCACCUGGUAUUAAGUAUAAUUAAUCGUUUCGAAUUGCAGAAAGAUUUUUUAGUGGUCAAUGCAGGGCAAAAGAGCAAACUCAAAGAGCACAAUAAACGAAUAAGAGAAGAAUGACAUUGUAAUAGCUGGAUUUUCAGUGGUGUCGGAAAUAGUGGUUUGAGACCACAAAAUCCGGCGAGUAAGCUUGUAAAUUUUAUUAUUUAAUAUUUACGAGUCAAAUAUAGUUUUAAAAAUAUUUUUGAAUUAAUAAUUAAUGUCUUAUAAUGAAUUAUUAGAUUCGAGUGAUAAAACCCUAGUUCAAGUAGUUUUGAAAAAUGAGGUAUCGGGACCUCGUUCCUAUAAACCGAACCGUAAAAAUAUUUACGAAGUGUCAUUAAAGUGGUAUUAAAGUUUUGUUGAAAAAUUUUAACGUUUUGAUAGUGAAUUAAGAGUAAUUAGGUAUAAGGACUAAAUUGCAUAAAGGGUGAAAAUUGAGUUAUAGAUUAAAAAAAUUAAAGGGGCUAAAGAAGCAAUUAAGCCAUUGUUUCUUUAUGAUGAGGCAUAAGGUAGAUUUUUUUGUGAAUUUAUUAUAUAUAUUAUAAAAUAAACCUUAAAUGUUAAGUAUAUAUAUUAUAUUAUAUUAUAUUACAAUAAAACAAAAUAAUAAAAUAAAAGAAUUAAAAAAAGAAACAAAGGAAAAACGAAACAGAAGGAAAAAGAAAGAAAGAAAAAGAAAAGGGAGAAAGAAGGAGAUGAAGGCCUUAGGGGUUUUAAAGUUUCAAGUUUAAUUGUUAGUCAAUUUAGUCCCAUUUUCUUGUAAUUUUUAUGUUUUUGAGAUUGUUACAAUUAGGUCCAACUAAACAUUACCUUUGUUUUUUAUUUUGUUAAAGAUUUUGGAUUUUUUCACUGAUGAAUCUAUAUGAUUUUUUAUGUUAAAUCAUGAAUUUGAGAUAUUAGUUGUUAAUUAAAAGUAUUUUGUUAAGCGAUUUUGAUGAAUUUUUCGAUUAAUGAUUAAUUUGUUAAGUUAGUAAAAAUGCAAGGGUUUGUUGUGAAAUUAUUGCAAAAAUGGGUUGUAUUGAAUGCCAUGAAUAAUCAAUUAGUAUGGGUUUGCAUUAAAAAUGGUUAAUUAGCAUGUUUUGGCUUCAUGGACUAAAUUGAAUAAAAGUAAAACUUAGGGGCAAUAUUGUAAAAAUGUCAAAAAUAAAAAUUGCAUGAAAUGAAUUGUUUUAUCGUCUAAAUUAAUAUAUUGAAUGAAAUUAAUAAUUUAGAUAAAGAUUGGGUGGAAAAUCGAGGAAAAUAGAAAAUUUCCAAAAUGCCUUCUAAACUUUGGUAUUUCUACAAUUUAACGAGUUAAGUUCGUAUAACUAAAUUGUGAAUAUUUAUAUGUUUGAAUUGAAUGAUGUAUAUGUGAAUUGUGUAAUUGUUAUUUCUAUGAAAUUGAUUACAUAUCUGACAAAACCCGAUAAAUGUUAAGUCCCGUUUGAAUAAAUGAAAUUCGAUGGAUACAGAAUUUCCCGUAUUAGUUGUGGUCCUGCAUAUGUUGCGGACACACCACAGCUCGAAAGAGCGUCCCUUUAUUAGCCUUAUUGAGAUUCUCGUUAUAUGGUUCUUGUGAGCUUCCAGUUAAUAGCUCUUCGGAGCAUCCCGAUUGGUUUUGAUCCUACAUGUGUUGUGGACACACUGUAGCUUUUAUGAACGUCUCGAUAUAUGGCUCUUCGGAGCUUCUCGAUUAAAGGAUCUUAAACAAGCUUUCUGAAAUAUGGCUCUCUAGAGCUUCCCGAUAUGGCUCGCUUGAACUUCUCGAUAUAUGGCUCUUCGGAGCUACCUGUUAUUGGCUCGCAUGAGCUUCCUGAUUAUGUCUCUUAUGAGUUUCCCGUUAUACAGCCUGGAUAAGCUUCUCGUUAUACAGCUCACACGAGCUUCCCGUUAUAUGGCUCGAAAGAGCUUCCUAUUUAUGUGCUCGUAUGAGCAUUCCCGAAUAUGAAUUGACAGAUUUCAGAUUUGUACACUUCAUUUGUACUACAUGUGUAAUCAUCGAUAUUUUAAAUGAUUCAACAGGCAAAGUUCUAACAUGAGACAACAUGAAAUUGAAAUGUACUAUACCAGUAUAUACCCGAAAUAUAUGGAAUUGAUAUAUUAAUACAAUAUGUGGAAAUUUGAUGAACAUGUAAAUUUGAUUAUUAUUGAUCUCAUACAUGUUUUUUUAUAUUUAUACGAAAUACAUGGAAAUGAUGGUACAUGAUAUAUUGAUAUAAUGAAAUGAAUGAUAUAUGAUUAUAAAAAAUGGUAAGAGAAUGAUAUGUAUCAUGAUAUGUACAUAUAUGAAUAUUUUUUAUAUGAUGAUACAAGGAAAUUAUGUAAGUUAAGACGAGUAAUAAACUCAAGUGUGACAUGUUGAGAAAAUAAGAUUACCAAUGUUGAAUUUAUAUGAAAUAUGUUUAAAUACACUAACAAGUAUUGUUGUUUAUUACUUAGGCAAGUGUCAAGCUAUUGGUUAAAUGGUAAUAUGUUUAUUUAUAUGAUGCAUUUAAAUGGUAAGUAAUCAAAUGAAUAUAUGCUAAUGCUCAUGAAAGAGUGAUAAGAUUCAAGUUCUGCAAUCUCUUAUGAAAUGACUUAUCAUGUGAUUAAUUUGAAAAAGGCUAUGUUUAAAUGCACUAGCUUAUGGCUAUGUUGAAUGAUAUGUUUAUAACUGGUGUGUUAUGCAUAUGGAAUAAGUGUGGAAAGUAAAGAAAUGAAAAUGAAAAUAAAGAAAUUUGGAAGAGUUAAAGUUGUUUAAAAUCCUACUAUGCUAAGAAUAAUAUGUAUAAGUGAUGUUGUGGAUUUAUUCACCUUGUGAGUUAUUGAAUAUAACUUCACGAGUAUUGCGGUGUCAAUAUUAGAUUAUUCUUUAUAUGUAUAAAUUUCAUAUUUGAAAUGAAUUGGUAUGAUUAAAGUUUAUACAAGCUUACUAAGCAUUCAUUACUUACGUAGUUGUUUUCCUUUACUUUCUAGAUUAUCGGAAGCUCAGUCGGGUUGGAAGCUUGUUGGAGAUUUAUCACACUAUCCAUUGGUUCUAUCGGUACUUUCGGAUGUUUUGAUUUUGGUUAUAAUGGCAUGUAUAGGUAUUUUGGUUAAUGUUGACCUAUAUGUGUUUUGUUAAAAUUAGUCACUUAUUUGGCUUGUGUGUUGGUACAUUUUGGUUUGGUGCAUAUUUGCCUUAUAUGAUUGAUGUGUGAUUUGGUUUAUGAUUGUAUGGUGAAAGAGUAAAAUGUUAGUUAAAAGUGCAUUUAUAUACAUGUGUUUUGGGAUGUGAUGAAUUGAUCAGGAAUCGGUACCUUAAUAUAUAAGGUAUAAAUAUAUUUAAAUAUAUUAGCAUAUGAAAUACAUUUUGGCACCAAAUGGUAUGUUUUGGUAGGCAAGUGACUUGGUUUGAAAUAAGGAAAAUUAGCUUGGUAAACCUUGGGUACAAUUAUGCAUAUACGUUAGUUGUACAUAUAAAUAUAUUGAAUACAUGAACAUACAUGUUAUAAUUUGUCAUCUGAGGUGCCUAAAGGAACAUUGGUUGUAUGUUAAGAUAUUAUAUAUUUAUGGCUUGAUUUUUACUUGUUUUGGAUGCCAUAAUAUGACUUGUUUGUAUAUAUGAUGAUAACUAUAUGUACAUCCCUUGUUGGGUAAGAAAAAUGGCUUAUAAAAUAGCCUAUUUUCGUCCACACAGGCAGAGACACGGGUGUGUGUCUCAGCCGUGUGUGACACACGGUUAGGUGACACGGUCAUGUGUCCCCUGUAUCUUUUAAAGAGUGCAAGUCAGUAUGCUCACACGGCCUAGCACACAGGCGUGUGGCUUGGCUAUGUGGCCCAAGUCAGAGAGCUUCCAAGUUUGGACACGGGAUGGGACACAGCCGUGUGCCCCUAUUUUGAAUGCCCACACAGCCUGGGACACGGGCGUGUCUCUUGACCGUGUGAGACACACGGCCUGACCACAGGGGCGUUUGUCCCCUGCACCUUGAAAAAAAAAUUUGAUGUUUUUCGAAAAAUUCUCUAAGUACCCUGUUUAGUCCUAACUUAUUUCUAAUGUGUAUUUUGGGCUUCGAGGGCUCAUAUAAGGGACUUUAUGAUUGACUUCUGAUAUGAAUACUAUAUGAUGUGAAAUAUCUGUUUACUUGAUCUGUAAAUUUCGGUAAUACUUCGUAACUCUAUUUCGGCGACAGAUACGAGUUAGGGGUGUUACAGACAUGAUGGAUGUUGGACGAACACUGAUAGAAAAGGAAUAGGAAAAGCAUCUACGAGCACACUGAUUAAGUUUACGAAUGAAUUAGAUAGAAAAACUUAACAAUUUAUUUAAACUUUAAAUUUUAUGUAUUUUAUUGUACAUUUAACUAACCUUUUAGUUUAAACUUUAACUUGUAUCAAAUUUGUGGGUGGGUUUGGAUGGGCGGUGCAUUUAGCUGUGAUUAGUGUAAAAACAGCGGUGACGGUGAGAUUAGAUAUUGUAGCGAUACUGUAACGUGAGACAAAAAGUAAGCUAAACACACUGCACCGCACCCAAUCACCCAUCCAAACCCACAUUUUGUUUUAUAGGAAUCUAAGACACUCUGAAAAAUAGAAGUUUGGGUGAAAAUAGAGUCAGUGUCACAACACAGUACCCAUGUGUUGCGACACUAUGUCCAGAAUUAGAAGAUUGAGAAAAUCAUCUCGAUUUCGAGACACAAACACCUGUCAUGACACAAAAGACAAUAAACUUAUUCCAAAAAUUCAGAGUGUGUCGCGACAUUGGACCCCAAUGUCACGACAAUGGAAAAUUGCCAAGGAUGUCGCAACACGGAACCCCUGUUUUGCGACAUCACUACAAUUUUCUACAAGGUUGCCCCGACCCAAUUUACGCAACUCGAUGAAUUAACCUUUAUUUUACCUGAUUUUUAACCCUAAAAUUAUUAUCUUUAACCUUAAAAACACCUUAAAUUCACAUUCUAACCUUUCUUAACAUUCAACACCUCUUAAAGUUCUCUUAAAUCCCAACACCCCCUUUUCAUUAAAACCUUAAAUCUCCAAAACCUCUAUUGUCGAUUUUCAAAGCUUUAUUUGGGUGAAAAGUCAUUAACCACUUGGACAAGAAGCAACAAAAAGAUUUCAAAGAAAUUAAGGUUAAGUAUCCCUUUACCGUUUUACUAUUCUAUCUAUUAUUGUUCAUUUUUAUUUGAUUAUUAUAGAACUGAGCAUUAUAGAAUGUCGCCUAGAAAAAGUAGGAAAUCUUUAGUCCAAGAAAAUUUGAUGGUUUCAGACCCUAAAAAAAUUUUAGAAGCCAAAUACCGAGAAAUAUUUUCUCAAAUUAUUAGGACAACCACUUAUACAAGAACAAGGGUUCCAACCAUCAAUGGUUCUGUGCAAAGAAAUUUGGACAUUAGUCAAUAACCAUCGAUGGGAGUGAUUUUGUGUCACUACUAAGGAAAAUACGGUUGUACCAGUGGUACAAGAAUUGUACACCUCUUUUCGAGAUCAAGAAAUGAGAAAAAAGUAAGAUGAAACUUGGGAUACUGUAACGGUGAUAAGAAAAGAAGUACCGCUUACCCCUAGAGAAAUCUGUGAGUUUUACGAUGUCCCUUAUUAUGGCAAAGACUUCCUUGAUAACACUAAUUUGAAUACAUUUGAGGAUAUAGAGAUGGAAUAUGCCGUUAAUUACUUAAUUUAGGGUAUGUGUACGUGGAAUUAUGUUAGAUACUGCCUUGCCAACUAAUUUUAAUCAAGAGAAAAUAUUUUCGAUAGCGAAAUUACGGAUGCAAUUCAUAUGUACUAGAAUUGCGUCCAUAUUGAAUGUCUCUAACGUUAAUAUUUUUUGAGCUAUUCUUUUGUAUGGUAGUUUACAACGCAAGCAAAUAUGUGUGGACAAGUGGAUUUAUUGUAAGAAGAAGCGUUGUGCGAAUAGCCAAAAAGCUGGGCUUUUCUUUCCUCACCUCGUAACAGUACUGUGCCAAAAAGUAGAGGUUCCAAUGGGAGAGAAUGAGUAGUUCAUGAAGACAACAAAUAAUAUAAUUGGAGAUUCAUUAUAUAUGCAAUACAUUGAGCUUAAGAGGAAACAAGUUAUUGAUUGGAACCAUAGGAGGAAAGAAAGGAUGGAUGUUCUGGUGUAACUCAAACGGAAGAAAAAAUCAAAAGCUAGGAAAGGGGCAAAUGGAAACACUGAAGAAAAACUUGAUGUAAUGAUUAGGUGGAUGCAAAAGAUGGGCCCAGUACUUCAAGAAUUUGCCCGACUGAACGGGUUAAAAGCUCCAAACUAACUUCCAAAUAUGUUCGGCCCAACACGAACCCAUCAUAAUGACAAAUGAGAGGAGGCGACUUAAAAGGAUGAGCGUGAGGGGAUGAACACGAUUUUUCGAGGGAUGAAGACUGCUAUGAGGCGACGUUCUAGCCAUAAUACACCACACCAAAAAGGCCCAUUAUUUGAAGCCCAACCCAACAUGCACCUUCGACAGGAGGGACUUCCCAUCACAAAUAUGGCUCGAGAAAGAAACAAAAACCAAUGGAAAUGAGACAUUUGCCUCGUGUUGAUGAUUCAAAGAAAGAUUAAAACUGAACUUUAUAUUUUUUUUCUUUUGGGAUUGUAUUAAUUUCUGAAUAAUUUUUAAAUUUUAAAUUGUUAGGAGUAAGAGUAAUUGUAGAUUAUUAGUUUUCUGGUGUUUUGUUUAAAAUUUUUGCUUAGGAACCCUACAUAGCAAAGGCACAACAAUUUUGAGCUUUCAACGAUUGAAUGAGAAAGCAGCCACCAAUAGCCUAUGAAACCAUCACGUUCAAUCGGGUAACUUCUUUCCUUAUUUUUUUCAAGGGCUACACAUUGAAGACAAUUUAUUUUCUAAAGUGUAGGGGAUAACAUAGAAAUUUUGUUUAAUUGUUACGCUUUUCUUUGAUUUUUCUUGUCACUUGUGUGCUUGAGCUUAUAGAAAUACAAGUGAUUGGUUAGGAGCAUGUACAUAGGUUGAUUGUAUUUACAGUAAAUUUGGCAUGAGGAUAGGUUAUUUUAAUUUUUUUUAUUGUUAGACUAUAAAGUUCUAUAUAUUACACUGUAAAUAGGCAUUAAGCAAUUGAAUGUACCAAAUAAUACAGAGAAUAAAAGGAAAUGAUCAUGCUAGGAUGAAUGAUAAAUUGUUGAAUUGUGAUUGUUUGGUUGAUUAAAUUUGUGAAUAUUGAGAUACCUAGGGAUGACUUAAGGCAUUGUUUGGUAUACACCCAGAGCCAAAAAUCUAACCUUAUAUAUUCAUCCUUAGUACCUAUUUUGAGCCAAAAAAAACUUCUUGAUGAACUUCUAUACAAAACCCGAGCUAAAAACGACAAUUUGUGCUUACCGUUUUCUUUGGUCAUGAAUUGCAUGAUUAUAGACGUCUGGUCAUACAUAUUGAGGGUUAAGUAGAUACGUUACAGUGAUUUUGUAAAAACAGAGCGAUAGAAAAGAUGAGUGGAGUAUAGUGAUUAUAGGUUAGCUUAAAAGUGCAAAAAGAAAAAAAAUUCAAAAAGAAAAUUACACAAGUAGAAAAAAGUAUGUGAAAAAUGAAGGAAUUUGUGAGUGAGAUACCGUGAAAAAGAAAGAAAAGUGAUAAAGUCACAACAAUAGAAAAACUCGUUCAUUAGUGUACAAAAACUCGUGAGCUAGAUGUAGUUACUAUAUGAUGAUGAGAUUUCCUAUAAGAAGAAAUAAGGAAGGUGAGAGAAGGAGAAAUAAGGUAAUGAGCAAGAAAGGGUCACUAAAGGGGAGAAUAGGGGACAAUAUGAUGUGCCAAAUUAUUUUCGUGCUUGAAACUUUGAUGCUUACUAUUCUUGAAUUACAUACCUAUCCCAAGUCGAAAAGCCCUAUGUGAUCUAGGUAGACUUAUUUACAAUUUGAAAUCAUAUUGAAUAAUUGCAUUUACGAUUAUUUAUAUUCUGCUAAGAUAAUCAAAUUACUUGCAUAAUUUAUUGAUGGAUUCCUACAUUUGAGAUCCUUAAUACUUGUAUGCUUUGUAAUAUACUGAACUUAAAUGUUUAAUAUCAAAAGUAGUAAGUCAGCUACAUAUUAUGCCGAAAUUAUCUGUAAAUAUGAAAUGCUUAUUCAUGUGCUCCAAAAUCAGCACUUGUACCAUAUCGGUUUAAGGGUCGCCUUUCCAUUUACUACUUUUGUUUGUUUCGCUUGAGGACAAGCAAUGACUUAAGUGUGGGCGAGUUUGAUCUGUCGUAAUUCAAUGUAUCAGAUUAAACUAGUUUUUGCGCUUUAGGAGCUUGAACACAAUCAUUUUGAUUUCAUUUUAAUUAAUUUUUUGUAUUUUUAGUUACAUUUAAUAAAGUGUGUAAUUUUAGUAUUUUAUUGACCUUAGGGGCCGAAUGAGGCCUAAGGGUGAGCUAAUAUACUUUGUAAGCGUGUAGAAAACCAUUAGAAAGCGUACUAACUUGAUUCUGGUCGCUAUGUUGCAACACGGAGAGUUGGAUAUCGCAACACGGAGAGCAGAAUAGAAGAAUUUCAAGACUGCUUUUAGUGUUGCAACACACCCCUAAAGACACCCUAAAGAUAAAGCAUACUGCCCUCGAUGUCCCGACAUAGGACCUGGUGUGUCGCGAUAUCACCUCUGUAAGGGAAAUAAUAAUGAGCCAGAAGUGUUUUGGUCCGCACAAUCAAACAUUAAGCACGAGAAUGAUAGCUGAACUAAGGUUAAGGAUGACAACCACUCUAAAAUCUAUAAAUACGCUCAAUUAACACAUGUUAUAGAUAGCUUUCAAAUUGUAUAAUUUUCUUCCUAGUUUUAGUCUUUAGUUUUUCUCUUUUCUUAGGCUUUAGAUCUAUUUUAGUUUUUUUCUCUUUGCUUUGAGGAAGAAAUCAGAUUUGUUAAACAUGAUCAAACUCUGUAAGGAUUCUGUAUUCAAUUCCAAUACAAAUCAGGUUUCUUCUAAACUUUAUACUCUUGAAUUAGUAUCCAUGUUUAUUCUUCUAUCGAGCUUAUAUUGUUUAUGAGAACCAUGAGAAACUAAUCUUCUUGUAGGGGAUUAGCGAGUGGAGGUAUGAUUAGUUAACUAUUUUGUAGGGUUCUAUUAAUAAAUCAACUAUUCAGGAAAGAAAGAUCUUAAACUCUAGGCCUAACAACCCUAGAAAGUCAUCAAGGUGGGAAUUAACCCAAAAUUGAUAUGGCCUAUCCGUGAACACCUUAACCCUGAACCGGUCUGGACUGUGAGGUCGAGAGAUAAGUAGUUCUUGUCGACUCAUUAUUCUAGUGGAAGAUCGGAAGAUCCUGCUGAGAUACCAACUAGUUGAUUGAACAAGAAAACUCAAAAUGAUAGUUGAUUAUGACUACAGAAGCAAGCUAAUCACCCAUGCUUAGAUUUGAUACAUUUACUAUUUGCUUUCUCAUUAUUUCUUUAUUUCUUUUUAGUUUAUUUCUAUUAUUAUUAAAAAUCCUAAAACCCUUUCUUUCUAUCUGAUCGUAAUAUAAUUUAUUUAAAAGUACUAAUUAGAUCUAUUUAUGCUUAGGUAGAAUUAAUUUAUUGCUCGCCACACAUAAUCAUCGAAGGCUCUUAAUAUGUUCUUCUUACGCGUGGCCCUCCUUGCAGCUAAUGGUAAUUCCUCAUGUGGUCCUUUUUCAAUAGUGAUCCCACGUUGUCGGUUCUUCACAUAAGAUCUAAUUAAUCCGAAAAAAAUUAUAAAGUGCAAUAAAAACUAAUCUAAAUUUUCCUCCUAAAAUACUAUAAAAAUUAUACUAAACUAACUCUAAAUGUGAGAGUCAUCAAUAUUGCUCCACAUCUUGUUGCACCAUUCUAAUGCAACAAUAAUACAACUAGACGUUUUCAGGACUCAACUUCCUCAUCUUACUGCAUGGUUUGAAUUUUGUCAUUGUUUAAGUAAUGAAAGCGUAAAAAUUUAUACCUUAGAUAUUUUAUCAUUGUUUUAAGUAAUGAAAGUGUAUAAAUUUUAUAGAUUAGAUAUAAAGUAUUUAUUCUAACAUUUAAUUCAUACUAUCAUGUCGUUUAUUUUAAAAUGAUUGUUUUCAAAGUAAAAAUCAUGUAAAGAUGUCAAUCUUUAAUGACAUGGAGCUUUAUGUAGUGGGUUUUGCUAGUUUCUUUUUGGGAGGGUGUUUUUCACUAUCGUAGUAUGAUGAUGUUGUGAGCCAUGGAUCUUGAGGUUGUGCAUGAAGUGGAGAACAUGGCUUCAUCAUAUUAUCCAUAAAGUUCUUUCUUUUGGGAUCAUAAGGACAUGUCCGGAUCUUGGUACUAACGCAAGUACCAACAUUAGUGUAGCUAUACAAUGUCACUUCCAGUUUCAUCUUCCUGUAUAUGAUGAUGGGUUUUCCUCCAUUGUCGGCAAGGUACGGUGUCGGUAAGAUAGGUUAACAUUUUUACAAAUUUUAUGCGAAAUAAGCAAAUAAAAAGAGAGGGAAAAAAAGCAUGAAGUGAUGCCAUUAACCUUAUCGUGCAUGAAGUUGCUUCCUAAUUAGAAUGAUGUAUAUCAUUAAUCUUUUAGGCUACAAACAUGCAAAAGAGAUUUACUUAUGGUUUCCCAUAUAGGAAACUCUAAUAGGAUUAUGUUAAAAGUCAUCGAAUUUCGGACUUGUUAUGAUGACAUCAAUCGGCAAUGACCUAGUGAUCUAAAUGUAACCCUUUCCUUGUCAACAACUAAAGUAAAAAAGGUUUGGAAUCAAGAUGGCUUAAUGGGUUUGGAUUAAACUGUGUAAUGGGAUAAGAUAAGGUUAAUGAUCUUAGCGACUAAGAAGUUAGAUUUCACCCAAUUAUCACUAUCCAAAUUAAGAAGGCUAAUAUCUGCUUUCGAAAAAAAAUCACCUUGGUUUAAUUUGUGUAUUCCUAUAAUUUUCGUAUACACUUUUGUGUUAUAAUCAUGUUUAAUAUAUUUUGGUAAGUUAAAAUAAUUCAUGCUAUAUACAAUUUGAUGCAUUUGUAUUAUCACCAUAGUCAUAUAGCAUAAUUGUAUUGUAUGCAAUAUUGUAGAGUGUCCGAUAUCUAAAAAUUGUACGGUGCAAUGGAGUUCCUUUUGGAGCAAUGCAAUUUGUUUUGCCAAAAAAAUGAAAUGAAAUAAAGGGGAGGAGCACUACGAAUAGAGAAAUUAAUUUCCUAUUAAAUUUGGUAAUCAAUUAUCUAGACUUUUCUGUUUUCUUAAGCCCAAAUUCAUACAAUGAGAAUAUUGGAUAUAAACAUGUGGACAAUUAUAGAGGCAAUGUUGCAUGAACUUAGUACAUGUAGGGACCUUGAAAAUUUUGAGAUGACACACAGGAGCAGAUACUGUAAAAGCUUUCUCCCAUGAAAGAACCUUUAGGAGAUCAGGCACCAUUCACACACACACACACAUAUAUAUAUAUUCAUGCUUUUAGCUUGUUUUCACAAUCCUCAUUAUUUAGCUACUUGACUCUAUCAGUCAUUAUUGAGAAGAUAAAAUGAAAAGGAAUACCUCAGAAUUAAUAUACACUUUAUCUCUUAAACUUGUUUAAAAAUAUUUAAUUAGUAUUAAAAUUUUGUUAAUAUUUAGUUCGUAUUUCAAUUUAUAUUUAAUGACAUAUAUUGUUUCAAUUUGUUAACCGCGUUAGUAUUUUAAGGAUCAACAUGUAAUUUGUCCUCUGAACUUGUCCAAAGUACCUAGUUGAUGUCUGAACUUGUUCAAAAAGUACCUAAUUGGUACUUGAACUUGUUCAAAAAAUUGUACAUUUUUAAAUUAAUUUAUAUUUUUAAAAGAAUUUUAAUUUUUUAGUUUAUAUCCAUCACGUGUUAUACUAAAAACUAUCAUGUGCCACUCUAAGAUUAACUUUUAAUGCCACAUCAACACGCACUAAUGGUGAUUGUGCAGAAUUACUAACCUAAAUAACAGAAUAUAAAUUUAAGCACUAAUUAGAUAAAAAAAUUCAGGUACCAACUAAAUAUAUUUGAAUAAAUUAACCUUAAAAAAAGUAAUUCUGGAAAGGUAUGGCAGGUAGGCAACCAAAUUUUAUAAGGUUGGAUGUCUCUAACUCCAUCAUUACUUUCAGGUAGCUCAACUUUGCUUUCUUGUAGGCAGUGCUGAGGCCAAACAAAUUUACCGGGUAAAACCCUCAUCUCAUUUUGGAGGACCAGAAUUUUUCAAAUAAUAAUAAAGAAUGUAUUACACAUCAUUUGCAAGAUAGUUGCAUGGAAAACAUAUAAAAUUUCAUCUCAAAUAAAAAUUGUGUACACGUAUCAACUUAAUUUUUUACAUCAUCUUCUUUACUACUUCACUUAAGAUUCCAUCGAUAUUAAAUGCUUUUAGAAGGUGAGGUAAUUAAAUAAGGAAUAAUGUCAAAUUUAAUAUUUAAUAUUUAUAUUUUUUGUUAAUUUAGUUAUUCUUUUUUAAUUGGAUUCGGUUCUCAAUCUUUUAAAAAGAGUUAAAUUUGACCAUCAUUCUUCUAAAAAGAGUCGAAUUGUUAUUUUUUAAUAGAAAUUAUAUUAACUAAAACAUUAAACUUUUAAACAUGGUAGCUUACAUGUAAUACACAUGUACUUUGUGCUAUUUUUUGUUUAAUUGUUACAAGUUUUUUUUUAUAUUUUAUGAAUUUUGAAUUUGAAUUUUUUAAGUUAUUUGUUGGCGUGACAUAUAAGACAAAUAGCGAUAUGUCAGCAUAAAGUACACGUAGACUAUCAGGUAGGUUGCCAUACCAACAUAGUUAAAAGAUUAAUAUUUUAAUUAAUAUUUUUAUUAAAAAAAGUGAUUUGAUUUUUUUUGAAAUAUUAAUAGUUAAAUUUAACUACAGAAAAUAAUCAUCAAAUUAAUAAAAAAAAUAUGUAAAUAUUGAAAUUCAAAUUUAGUAUUAUGGCUUCAAUUAAUUCUCACUAUUUUUCUUUCAAGCAAGUUCAUUAAAUAUUACUACAUUCAGGGGCAUAGCUAGGGGGCUGAUAAGGGCCCGACCCUCUUAAAAUGAAAAAUUUUUCAUUUAGGCCCUUUAAAAUUUUUAAAAUUUUAAAUUAAGUAAAAAUAAAAUUAUACUUUGACCCCUUAAAAAUGAUAAAAAUAUAAUUUAAUCUUUUAAAAAUUAUAAAUAUAUAUUAUUAAAAUAAUUAUUUUAUCAUAACAAAAAUUAUAAUUUACGAACCCUAAAUUUUUUUUUAAAAUUUCUCCAUGACUACAUUAAUAUAUAAAAAAGUGAAAUUUAGCAUGUCAAACUAUGAUUGCAUUUUAGAUGACAAGAAAACAUUAUAAAAAAUAAAAUAACAAAAACCUUAAUAUAUAUAUAUAUAUAUAUAUAUAUGUAUGCGUGUGUGAGAGAGAGAGAGAGAAAUUUGGUCAGAGGUUCAUGUCGGUCGAUUUCUUUUGCCAGCUUCAGACCCUAGGAAGUAAUAAUAAAGUGGUAUUACAUAGGUAUAAAAAGAAGUGAAAAAACACAAGGUCCAAAGACCUUUUGAAGUGUCAAAGGGAGGAGAGUAUGAUACAACCUUAACCCUUAAAAGAAAUAAAAAGUUACAAAAAGAAAAAAGGUUUGCAUGUGAUUAUCCAAUAGUUUAACAUUACCCUUUGAUUUUGAAUCUUUUUGACAGCCAAUUAACAUCAGCUAAUGCCUCCAUUCCUACAGUACUCAAUCAUGGUAAUUAAUUAGUUUAACUCAAAAUCCAUAUAAGAUAAAAUAUAAUAAUUUUCGUACGUCCAUGUUAAGCUACAAGAUCCACUCUUAACGAUGAAGUGAUAAUUCUUUCCUUUAUGGAUUUUCGUUUUUUGAACUGUCAAAUUGCAGUAAUUUUCUUCCUUUCCCCACGAUCUUAGUGCAUGGCGACAUGAUAUUAAGGACCACAUAAUUGGUUCCCUAAACCCAAUUAUAUUUUAAGUAUAAUUUUUAUUAUAGUCAUCCAAAAAAUAAUCUUAAAUAAGUGACUGUCAUUUUAUGUUGUUUUCAUUUCAAUCAUUCGCGGUUAAUUUAGUUAACAAUAAUAUUAUUAUACAUUCACUUAAUUUUAAUAAAAUUUCCUUUUAAUCACUUAUUUUAUCUUUUUAAUUUUUUUUUUAGAAUUAAUUUUUCCUAGUAAAAGAAAAAAAUAUGAGUUUUAUAGAGAAAAACUUAGGUUUUUAUAAGGAAAAACCUAUGUCUUUACAUAGAAAAUUCUAAAUAAAAUAAAUGACUAAAAUAAAAACUUAUUAGAGUUGGAUAACUAAAAUCAGUGUACAAUAACAUUAUCGAUAGCCAAAACAGCAGGUGACUAAAAUGAAAACAUUAUGUACCAAUAGUGCCUUAUUUUCAAUUUUCUUUUCGAUGAUCAAAAUGAAAACUUAUGAGAGUUAGAUGACCAUAUGUAAAAUUUACCCUAUAUUUUAAAAGUUAUGGAUUUAAAAGAGAAAACCUCUACGGAGAAGAGAUUGUAUGAAACUUUGAUUCCAUGUCAUCCUUAUCCCUUUCCAAUAGAAGAAUGAUAAAUCAAAUUUUUCCUCCUAUUUUUUGCAUUUUUAGUUGGAUUUGAAUUUUUUCAGGAGAAAAAUCUGAUUUUUCAUUCUUCUACUAGAAAGGGAUAAGGAUGAAGUGGAAUCAUAGUUUCAUACAUUCCCUUCUCCUACCCACGACUAUAAAAAGCUAAUCCAAUUUAUUAUAGAGAAGUGCUCUAUUUAUCCAUCAACAUAACAAUGGCUUUAACCUCAAUAUCAAAAGAAUAUUAUGGCAUGUUGACAAUUAGCUCUCUCACAACUCAAGCACAAUAUAUUUGAAGUAAUUGCAAGCACUUAAUACAAUAAGGAAAUCGGCCUCGAAUGGUCCAAAGUGGCGGGCAAAAAAUUGAUAAAAGAACUGAGCAUCCAUCAAACUAGAGAAGACGAUGACAAAAUCAUCCCUAAAAUCACUUACAAAAGUAAGACUACAUCUAUCAGCAAGAUUAAAAAACGUGCUACAAGAAAAAACAAAAACUUUUAAAAGUGAACGCUUAUUAAACAAUAAAAAACAAACAAAAAAAUAUAAAACUUAAGACAACACAAGUCCAAACUUGUGAAAUCAUUUAUUAUUCUAAAACUCUCAAAAUAGAGACAAAUUAAGAAGCCGACGAAAAGUCACCCACUUUCCAAGAGAAACUGUUAGUGACCAACGGAGUUUUAGCGGCAACAUGCACCGUCAUCUAUUCAUCAUAACUUGUGAAGGCAGCAAAGAUACUCACAAUAUAGAUCUACAAACUAAAAAGAGAGAAUACAUGAUCAGUAAAUGAGGAGAAGAAAGAAAGAGAGGGUUAAUGGGAGGGAGAAAAAGGCGGGUGGUAGCCAACCCGAAGGUUGGCAUCGUCUCUGGAGAAAACUAAAGAAAAGAAACAAAUGGCUUAGAAAAAAAUCAACGAGUGAAAAUUUAAAUGUAACAAACCAAUUUGAAAUAACAUAUCUCAAAUAUAUAUAUUUGACACAUUGUAUAACAUUUAUUAAUUAGUAAAAUAGAAAAUAGUGUAGGACUCAUGAAUAAUACUAAUAAUUUUAUUUAAAUAUAACUAAAUAUUAAUUAUAAUUAUUAUAAUAUUUUAGGUUUUAGAUUUAGAAUUUAUAGUCUAUGAUUUUGGGUUUAGGGUCCAUGAUUCAUAUCAAGAUUAAAGUUUGAGUUUAGAAUUUAGAAUUUGUAUUAAGUUUUAGAUUUGAAAUUUUAGAUUUAUAUUUAAAUAAAGUUAUUAGUAUUUAUUUGUAAAUUCAUGAUCUUAUUUCACUAAUGAUGAUGUGUCGUGUUAUUAAUUAGUGACGAUAUAUGAAACUUAUUUAUUAAGAAUGUAUAAAAAAUUAACCCAUCUCAAUAUCACACAAUGAAAAAAAUUAGCUCAACAACGUUAAUGUAUACCUCGAAUUUAUUAAGAAAUGAAAAAUUAAACGUUUUUCGAUUGAGUUUUAGUUCAGCUGGAAUUGACAUUGUUGUCAGUGUAAGAGGAUGUGGAUUUGAAUAUGCUGAGGUGCAUUAUCCUCUUAUUUAAAGGUUGGGGGCUAUGAGUAGUUCUAGACAUUAUAUAAAAAUAAAUAAAGACUAAAAUUCGUGAUGCUAUACUCAUAUGAAAGAGAGUAAAUAAAAAAUAAAAAAAUAAACAUUUUAGGUGUUGUUGGGAUGGAACUAUUCAAAUCACACACCCUCUCGUGCUAUAAGAUCUCUUUUAUGAAAUAUUUACUACCCCACAUGUGUUGAAACUAUGAUUGAUCAAAUCUCAACCAAUGUGUGGGAUUUUAAGAGAAUAUUUUUUAUAUAUGCCCUUUUAGCAACUUAUUUUCACGUGAUCUUCUACGUGAUUUCAUGGUUAAAUUUAAGAUCUUUGUUAAUUAUUAAUUUAAUUAACUACUUGUAUGCAGGAAAUCAUGCUUACUAAGCUUUUAUAGAAUACAUGUAAUUGCACGAUUUAAAACUAAUGUUAUGAUUCGCACGAUAAAUUUGAAUGAAUGCCCUAAGUUAUAUAUUUAUAGAGCCAACAACCUAAUAAAGUAAAUGAUAAGAGAUUUUAUAUUAGCAUCAUAAUUCAAGAAUCAAGUCUUGAGUAACUUAUUUUCCUGUUAAAAAGAUUAUAAUGUAUGCUUAUUUUGAUUAAAAAUUUUGGGGAUGCUAAGGUGUAAUAAAUUCCAUGAACUUGCAAUUUAUAGAGUUAUUUGUUACGAGGAUAAGAAAAUUUCAAAUUAUUUGUUACCUAGAUAAGAGAAAUUAAAGUGUGUAAAAUAGAUACAUCCUUGAACAAAAUAUUAAAGAGUUUGUUUUUACCACUUAACAUUCCUGUCAAGUUGAAGGUGGAAAAGCAAUAACUGAAAUAAGUCAUCAGAGGUAAAGUUAAAUUUUUUUUAAAGGGUCAAGAUUAAAUUAUAUAUUGUUAUGAAAGUUAAAAUAUAAUUUUAUAUCUUUAUGGUUUUUAGAAGGACUAAAUCAAAAUUCUAACAUUUUUUGCGGCCAAACUAUAAUUUCACCAUAUAUUAACCUAGCAUUCUAUGAAUUUGGAGGGUUUAAAGGUGCAAUUUUUCAUUUUAGGGGGGGUCAGGCCCCUUCCUGCCCCUCCCUUCACACCUAUGAGUCAUGAUGUUGGAAAAAGAGACAUUUACCCAAGGGCUUAGUGAGAAUGUUAACAAUUUGAUCAUCAUUAGAAAUAAACUUGACUUGCCUUGCCUUGAAAGCACUUGGAUUAAACUUGUUCUCUGAUAAAAUGAAAAUCCAACUUAAUAUGCUUUAUUUUUAGCAUGAAAAAUGGGAUUAUAAGAAAUAUAUAUUGGACUAAUAUUAUCAUACCAAAAAAAAUAGUUGGUUCUUACAAAAGAAAACCCAGUUUAAGUAACAAGGAUUUGAGCUACAUAAUUUCUACUAUUGCAUUAACAAUGGUGUUCUAUAAAAGGUUGAACCAAAUGAAGACUUGAACUUGAUGAACCUAAUUUCUACCAUUCCAGUAACAAGGAUUUGAUACUCUCGAUAGAUUAUCAAUCAAUGGUGUUCUACAAAAGGUUGAACCUGAUCAAGACUUGAACUUAUCAGUGCCAUUUUUGGACUGUUGUUCUUGGUCUCCCCUACCAUUAUUCUUGUUCUUAGGCUUGGAAGACUAGAAUUUGUCUGGAUUUUUCAUGUCAAGCUUGAUCAAGGUUUCAGAUGUGGUCAUGGCUUUGUGACCGCCUCCAAACGUACUAACGUCUAGAAUGUGAAUAAUGCAACUAAAUUUAUGAAUUUAAGGCGGUUUCCGCAAGUAUACUGGUCUGGUUGUAAUAUAGUUUUUACAAAGAAGUAGGUGAGUACUCCGAUGAUCGUAUUCAAAGGAGGCAAGUACUAAAUUAACUUUAACCUAAACAGAAAUAGAUCUAAUUAGUACUUUAAAUAAAUUAUAUUACGAUAAACAUAAAAAAUAAAGAAGCUAUAUUUUAUAAUAAAUUAAAUAAAAGAACAUAAAUGCAUGAACUUCGGAAAACUUAAAUCUAAACUCAACCAAAUCUAAGCAUGGGUGAUUAGCUCACUUCGGUGAUCAUAAUUAAUUCCCAUUUCAGAUUUCUACUUCAAUCAACAAGUCGCUACCCUAAUAGGAUCUCUAGAUCUUUCAUUAAACAAACAAAUCGACAAUAACUACUUAUCUCUCGACCUCACAGUCUAGACUGGUUCGGGGGUAAAGGGUUCACGGAUAGGCCAUACCAAUUUUGGGUUAAUUCCCACCUAAUUGACUUCAUAGGGUCGUCAAUCCUAGGGUAAGUUCUUCCUUUCCCAAACAGCUGAUCCGUUGGGAAAACCCCAUAGAGCAAUCAAUUAAUCACACUUUCACUCACUAAUCCCCUAUAAGAGGAUUAGUUCCUCAUGGAAUCCAUAAACACAAUAAACUUGAUAAAUAGAAUAAACAUAAAGAACAAAUCAAGAAUAAGGUUUAAGAGAAUCUUGAUUAUAUUGAUGAAAGAAAGUUGGUCGAAUCCACAAAUUAGGUUCUCCGUUGAACAUAAAUAAAACAACUGAAAACAAAUUUAAAGCCUAAAAGAAACUAAAAACUAAAUUACAAGGAAAAUUAUAAAUUAAGAAAGUUGUCCCUUAACAAGUGUCUAAAGAGCCUAUUUAUAGAAUUAGGGUUGACCGUUGUCCUUAGCCCUAGGUUGGCUAACGUUUUUGUGUUAAUUUUCAUUAUGCGGACCAAAAUUCCCUUCACUCGUAAUUCUUCACGUACAGGGUCGAUGUCACAACAUUAAAGGUAGUAUUCUUUGGCCUUAGGUCCAGCUUCAAGGGUGUGUCACAACAUCCUCUGGCUGUGUUGCGACACCAAAGGCAGUAUUUCCAUUUUUUUUAUGUUCCCUAUGUUGCAACAUUAGACUCCUCUAUUGCAACACGACGACCAACUUUUAGCUCUUAUGCCUUUGAAUGGUGUCCUGCACACUCGUUAAGUACGUUAGCUCACCCUUAGGCCUUAUUCAACCCCUAAGGUCAUAAAAUGACUCAAUUUAUACUUUUUAUUGAAUUAAAACUAAAAUAGAAAAACUAACCAAAACAUAAUAUAAUUAUUUAUAUCUGAGCUCCUUAAGUAUGAAAAAUAGUUUAAUUUGCUACAUCGAAUUAUAGCCGAUCACUUUGGUAAGAUCCUAGACAACUUCUCCACUACAACUCUUGUUUGGCCCAAGCCUUUAAUCCACCAUGAAAUAUAAACAAGUAACACCCCUCGCUCGACCAGAUUGCUAGAUCCAAGCUGUGGAAUGUCACAUUCGUUACUAGAGCAACUACAAUUAGAUUCAUAAUAAAAUAAUCAUUUUACAUUCGUUCACACAUCAAUCAUGAUUUAAAUACAAUAAUAUCUCAUUUCCUAGUCUCAAUUGAGCUUACAAAAGCUCUUUUGACAACUCGAGCAUGAAAUAAAAUCAAUUUCCAAAGUUUUAAAAGUUCAAAGCCAACGUGACCUUAGGCCACUAGACGUCACGACAUGACUCACUGUUAACUGACGUUGUGACGAGGAAAGUUGCUUGUCAUGACGAAGACCUUGUAUUUGGUAAAAAUGAACCAAUUUGGUACAUAUUUCAAUGCUUCUGGCCACAACCAUUCAAUAUAAUCACUAAGUAUCAACUUCAUUUGAUACAAACAUACCAAAAACAUACCCAAACAAGCUCAACAACCAAAUUCUGCUUAUUAUCAAGACAAACAAAACUUAUGUACAUAUAUAUAUGUGUGUGUGUCAAUUCAACUUAAUAACUAAUUCCAUUAAAACAUAAUAUCCGAACCAAACCAAUCCAUAUGCAUACCUAAAAAUCACUAUAUCUAGAUUUAAACCGUACCAUAAUAUGUCAAUUAAGUUGGUACAUACAAAUUCAAGUUGCCAUCAAGUAUUCAAUACCUAUCCAUCAUUUAAACUUCAACAAUUCAAUGCCAAUUAACACACAUUCAUCAAGUCAUUCCAUACCAACUUUACUUAUGUCAAUUCACUUAAAACCAUGCAAUUUCAAAUGCCAUAAUAUCUUAAGCAUAUACAUCAAAUGAACCAUUCCAAACAAGCAUCACCAUAAGCAACAUAACAUACCAAGCUUUGCAAUUCACUUCAACUAAUAUACAUCAAAAUAACCUUGAGACACCUUAGAUAUAUACAUGCUACAACCCAAGACUCAAAAUGAUCAAAAGCUACCAAAUCGAUGAUAGGAUAGUGGAGCUUUUAUUCGAUUUGGCUUGACACAUUCCAUAAGGUAAUGAUCUACAAAGAAAAGGGGAAACAAACGGGGUAAGAAUAUAGAAUGCUUAGUAAGUUCAUAAGCAUUAAACAAAAGCUUACCUUAAAUUUCAAUUAAGCACAACAAGUUACUAAGCUUAACAUAGUUGGCUAGACAUGUCAAAACACAUAUCAUUAAGCUGAGUUUAAUAUAUAAUCAAAUCAUAUGAUAUCACAAUCAUAUAACAUGCCAAUUCAUGUCAUUUCACAACAAAUCUCAAAACUCAUUCAAUUAACAAAUGAAUCAACCACAUACAUAUCAAGUCAUAGUAAUAAUACAUGGUUCAAGCUCAAUUCAACAUUUUUCCCAGUGAACAUCAAGAUUAUUAUUUCUCAUGUCAAUUUCUCAUUUCAUAUAAACCGUUUUACCCAAUGAAACCUAGUAAAUGGACUCGAAUACACAGGUAUCUACGUCACACCAGUUGCUCAUCCGAGCUAAGUAUAUUCAUAUCGGGUUACUAGUCCAGGCCAAACCUUUAUAACUGCACAUCUAAUUGCUUAUCCAAGUUGAAUAUAUAUACAUGUCAGGUUGCCCAUCCAAGCUAAAACUUUAAAACGGCAUUAGGUUACUAGUCUAGGCUAAAGUUAUGUCACAUGUAUCUUCAAGUCCACAAAAAAUGUUGGAUCUCAGUAACAUCUGUAACCAAUCCUGUACAAGCGCGCACAAAACUCUAUUGACAUGCCAAUCGCAUCCUAACCUUAACUAAGUUCACAUAGGUCUCUUUUUCAAUUAUAAUCAUCAUUUUACAGUUUAGUCUAAUUCUCACUUUUUUCAUCAAUUCAUAAUUAAACACAUAUAUAAUUACAAAUCAAAUAAACAACAACAUAUAUAAACAAAUACCAUAUGAACUUACCUGGUCAAAACAACAAGCAAAUUGAAUCUUCAAGAAGUAUUCGACAAUUUUAGCUUUUCCUCAAUUAUCUCUGGUUUGAUUCAAUUCUUGGUAUAAACAAUUAUUUUAGACAAUUCAUUAAUACCAAAUAUUUUUAUAUCAUUCCAUGAUAUGCAUGAACCUAUUUAAUUCCAUUUUUUGAAUGCCUCUUAAGUUUUUCAUUUUAUUCAAUUUAGUCCCUAAAAUUGGAAUAACUAUAUCUUUCAAUUUUGAGCCUCGAUUUUAAAAUCGAUUUCAAUUACAUCUCUUAGGGACCUACUAUCUAUUAUUACUAAAAUUUCACCUCAGUUUCAUAAUUUAUUCGUUUUAGCCAUUAUGUACCAGCCAUAUCAAAAGACUCUAGUAAAGGAAGAUACAUGCAAUUGACCUUGUUUUCAUAUUCCUCAUACCAUCCAAAGCAUCCAAGCUUUGGCAUAUCGAUUAACUUCGUCUACGAUUGCAUGUCAUGGAGGGGCCAAUUUGAGAAACCUCUUCAACCAUGUGCAUUUCACUCAAUUUUCCUCUAAUUUGAUCUCUUUCUUAAACAAAAUGGUAUCUAUCAAUCGGUCAUGCUCAUACUUCGAUUCAUUUCUAUUAGCUCUAAUUACCACCUCCUCGUCGAUUAGAAGGUCAGUUUUAAAAGGACUCUUCUAGCAUUAUAGUCGCCUCCCCACAUGAAAAAUAUGAUUUAUGCAUUUUAGACUUCCAUCUUUUCAACAAAACGAAAGGAAACUUGAUAUCAUUAUGAACUUUCUCAUUGUAGAUGCCGCAUAUAAACCAACACUCUUCAAGCAAUCUACAAUUUGUCCAUCACCUCCAAAAUUUUAAGUUAUGUCAAGCGCAAACAACUCGAUCUUUCUGUUGUUAAAAACAUCAAAGUAAUAUUUAAUUUCACAAAACCUUAAAAGAAUUUUUGCAAAUAUUAUAAAAUUUAAAAAAAUUAAGUUGAAAAUUUUACCAUAUUGGUUGCAUAGCUUGCUAAAUGUUUAUAAAAACCUUAAUAAUGCAACCAUUUUUCUCCAAAAAAAAAAAGGAGUACAAAUUAAAAAGUUUUUUAAGAGAGUAUGAGAAAACUUUUAGUGGAAAAGAAGAGAAAUAGAUGUGAUAUUUAUAGGAGAGAAAGUGGAUUCCCAUUACUGUCCAUUUGUUUGUAUUAAAUGGGUUUUUUGAGGAACAGAGAAAUAAAGUAUCUACCUUUAAUGAAAUUAACAUCCAUAACUGUAAUUUAUAGUUCUUCUUUCCUUACUUGCAAGGCACGCACUUGUAUGAUAGAUUUGACAUAAUAUAAAAUAGAAAUGUUUAAUUUUUGUUUAUAUUGUAAAAAAGAAAAAAAGGAAAGUGUAUGAAUUGGUUUGGACAAUGGUAGGAGAGAAGAGAUGAGGAGGAAGGAAUGAUCCAGGUAUAGUUUUAUGCCGUGUCUGUACCUUUUAUGUAUUUGUUUUAUAAAUUCCCCGGAAGUAAUAAUUAUAUCCUACUUCUUCUCCCCCACCAAUUUUACCUUCUUAAACCAAUUUUCUCGAGAUGUUAAAAACUAAAAAAAGAAACACUAGAAAUAAAAUAUGUGUUAUUGAAGUAAUGUCAAAGGUCAAAGAUUUGCAUUACUGUCUCUGUCUCCCACACUCACACAUUCUCUAUUCCCUAAAGCACAACAAAUUUACAUUUCAUUCCCCUGCCUUUGGCCCAAAGCACUAUGCACUCCCACUUGCCUCUGCUCCUACCAUGGCUGUCCCACUUUUCCCUAAAUUAAUUCAUUUUUAUACUGUAUGUAUUUGAUGAUUUAAGGUUUAGUGUAUACUGUAUCGGGUAAGUCCAUUUGACUGGUCAAUUGAGUCCAGUUGAUGUGGUGGCAUAGUAUGGGUUAGUACACGUGGCGUAAGUGAUGAUUUGAUGAUGUGGCAGUGACAUCAACUUGAGGACCCUUUACCCAACAACUUCACAAGAUUUCAGGGCUCUGAUAUAUUGUGUGAAACUAUUGAUACCCUGACGUGGCGAUUUGUUCAUUCUCUUAAAUCGCCUCUUCUCAUCUGUAUUUAAUUAAUACAUUAUCCUUCUUGGAGACUAUAGAUUUCAGAAUGAAGAAAAUGUGAGUAAUAACAAUAUGUAAAGAAAAUUGGUGUGACAAAACAAUAUUAAAAGCUAUGUUUUACCGUAAAUAGAAUCAGAUCCUAUUAAAUGGCAUUCCAUGAUUCCCAUGAAGAUAUUUCUAUAUAUACACAAAUAAUUCAAUUAUUAUUACAGUCUAAAAAUUGGCACUAGUUUUUAUAGGAAGUAAAAGGUGAAGAAUGUGAGAAACAUGUGAACUUGCAACAAAGUAAAUUAUAUUAUUUAAGAUUCAUAUAAACAUUUAAUGUAAGGAGAAGAUAAGAAGAUUUGGCAAUUAUGUUAACAACGUCAAUUAAUAAUGUUUAGUUGGAGUGGAACUUAGCCUACAUUUGGACAUAUUGCGUGUACCCAUACAGAUAUAAUGUAUUUUACCUAAAAAAAAACAUACAAAAAAGCAGAGAUUGUUUGGGAUAUGUUAGGUAGCGAAUGGAAGGACAAAUGGCUUUCAAUCAAGUUGAAACAAAAACCCUUGUCAAACUGAUCUUAUUGAAAAAGCAGUAAAUGAAACAAACUUGCUUUUCAAGAGGGUUUGCAUGAUUUUUCUUUGUCAAAGGUUGUUAGAGAUGGGUUUGAGAAAGUAACAUACACUCUCUCUCUUUCUCUAACCAUGCCUUUUUAUAUCAUGGGUUGUUGUCCCCUUUCAUCUUCCCAUUUCAUGUCAACUACAAAAUGCUUGCCUCCUUCAAUGUACUAACCCACAAUUGUUGGCUUUAAGAGUAGUCAUAAUUUUUUUUUAUCACUCAACUAUCAAAACUUCAUUCAACUAUUAGUAAUUUUUUCUUUUGAUCACCAAAUUAUGAAAAACUACAAAUUAAUCAUUCAAUUAUUUAAUUUUAUCUUUUUCGGUCACCCAACUAUCUUGAAUUUUUUGGUGUUUCCAUUUUUACGUUCACUGGCUAGUAACCAAAAAAAAUAAAAUUGAAUAGUUAGGUGACCAUUUUAUAAUUUUUCAUAGUUGGGUAACCAAAAAAAAAGUUUACUAAUAGUUGUGUGACUACUAGUGUAGUUUACCCAAUAAAUAAAGAACAAAAAGUCAUAAUGAUAACUUAGCUUCUAGUGUUUAUUAUUUUUGUCACUUUGGUCCUUAUUUCUUUUAUUGCUUUGACCAAUUCAACCUUUAAAUUUUAGUUAAAUUGAUGUUUUCUUAGACAAAAAAAAGUUAAUUGGACUGUUAAAAUUUAAACGUAUCCCACAUGACAGUCUACAUGUACUUUACUGUUUAUGUAUAUACUUUUUAAAUUUUUCAUAAUUUUUUAAAUUUUUUUAAAAUUUUUAUAAACCACGCAUUGAUUGUCAUGCAAGUUACCAUAUUAACGCUAUUAGAAUUUGAACAAUCUAGCCAGCUUUUUUAUCCAAAAAACAACAAUUUGAUUAAAAUUUUAAGGUUGGGGGCUAAAGUGAUUCGAAAAAAUUAGAGUCAUAGUGAUAGAAAAAGGUAAAUGUUAAAUGUUAAAUUUAUCAAGGUAAACUACACCAUUAGUCACUAAACUAUGAAUAAGUUUUUGUUUUGGUCACUUAACUAAAAAAGUUACAAUUUGGUCAUCAAACUAUUCAAAAAUUUUCAUUUAAGUCACUGAGUUGUUAAAAUCGAUGCUAUAUGACUUUCUCUAUUCGCACUACUUGCAUAAUCAAAAGCUCUCUUUCCCCUUCUCUUUUAUAGUUCAGUUUUUUCAUUAAACAACUUUGGACAUCAGGAAUCUGUGAACCAAAAUUCAAACAGUUUUUUUCUCCAAUCUCUGACAAUGACCGUUAGAUCGACUUAGAUCUAAGAUAUGUUCUUCUACUCGUCAAUAAGUAUUGAUCAACUGUACCAAUCAUCAAAUCGUCUCUUGGAGCUUGCUGGAGAAACUUAAAAAAAAAAAAACUUAACAACCCAAUGACUUAAAUAAAAACUUUUGAAUAGUUCAAUGACUUAAAUGAAAACUUUUCAAUAGUUCAGUGAUCAAAUUGUAACUUUUUUUUAGUUAAGUGAUUGAAAUAAAAAUUUCCCAUAGCUUAGUAACUAAUGGUAUAGUUUAUCCAAUUUAUUAUUAUGUCAAAAAAACAAAAAAAAUAAUUAUAUCUGAGUCAUAGUAGGAAGAUAUUAGUCAACUUAUCAUACCAAGAGAAAAACUUGACAUAUAUAUUAACCCUUUUAUUUGGCCAAACUCCGAAGUCAAGAAAAAAAAUAAUUGAAGGCAAAAUGAAGUAAGAAAUGGAAAGUGAUGGAUGAAGAUAUUGUUUCACAUUGUCCACCGUCUUUUAAGUAUUUACUGUUUUAUUGUAACCCUACCUAUGACUUUCAUGCGUCCUUCCAACACAUGCCUUCUUAUAUAAUCUUAUUUUAUACAUUACAAAUAACAAAAAGUCAUAGUGUGUUAAUAAUUUGUAAAAAAGUCUUACAAAAUAUUGGUGCAAUUAUAUUAGUUAUGGGUCUAUUCCACCACCCGGCGUGCAUUUUUGGUUUGGUCAACAAGUUUUUCCUCUUUUUUCAAGCUUACUAACUUAUCUUUUUUUUUUUUUUUAAUUUUGGGUAAAUUACAUUAUUACUCACUUCAUUAUGGGUAAAUUUUCGUUUUAGUUAUUUAAUUAAAAAAAGUUAUAAUUUAGUCACUAGCGUUUUCGAAAAAAAUUAUCACCAAACUGUUAAGUGGCUAAUGGUGACACUUUUUUAAUCGAUAUAAUAAUAAUUUUAAUUCUUAUAUUUUAUAUUUUUUGUCAAUUUGACCCUCGUUCUAUAUAAAAUGAUAAAAAUUAAAAUUCAUUUUAAAAAAUUUAGAAAAUUAUAAAAAAUAUAAAAAUACAUUCAAAAUAAAAAUAAAAAUAGAUAAACAAGGGAAAAUUGUUUUUCAUUGUGCGAAAAGAAAAAGAAAAAGAAUUGGAAUAUAAUUUAUUUUUUAUUAUUUGGGUUUUAAAAAAUAAUUUAAAUAAAUAAAAAUUUUGUAUUUUUUGGGUUAAAAAAUAGAAUUGAAUUGAAUUUCACAAAUCUAUAAUAUCAAUUCUGAAAGAAUUUCGUCAACAACAUAGAACUCAACUUGUAGAUAUUAUUACUAAUUUAGCUCUAUUUUGUUUUUAAUGUGUUAUUAGAUUUAAAUGAUCAUUUUGGUUCUUAUGUCUUAAAAUUGAACAAUUUUGAGCUUUAGUACAAUAUAAUCUUGAGUUUUCUUGUAUGAACAUUAGUCUUUAAUUAUAUUUAAGUUUUAUAUCUAAUGAAUAUUAUGUUAAGAGAUUGAAAUUGAUCUAUUUGGUUAUUCAUUUUUGUGAUUUUAUGGCAAUGUUGAAGAUUUGUGGUUACAAUAACCUGAAUUUUUAUAUAGAAUUUUCUAAUUCUUUAAAUAAUUUAAAGUUUUUAUAAUAUUUAUAUAGAAUUAGAGUUAAAUUGAUCGAAAGUAUAAAAGUUAAGGACUAAAAUUAUUAUUAUACAAACUAAAAAGUGCCACCAUUAACCACUUAACAGUUGAGUGAGUAAAAAAUUAAUUUCGAAUGCAUUAGUGAACAAGUUGUUGCUUUUUUAGUUAAGUGACCAAAAUAAAAAAAAAACUUACGCAUAGUUGAAUGACUAAUAAUAUAAUUUACCCUUUAAAUUAUUAUUAUAAUAUUAUUUAAUAUUUCUUAUAAUUAACUUUUGUUCACAUGAAAAUUGCAAUAGAAAAGUAAAAUAAUUAGAAGCGAAAUUACUUUAGGCUUGUUUAUUAAUUCAUUGAAAAUAGGUUUAAUGUUUUAAACUUGUUUGAUAACAUAUAUAUAUAAUAAAAAAAAAUCAUUAGUUAGAAUUUUUCAGUGAAAACUCAUUGAAAAGGAUAAGUAAAUUAGGGUCAUUUAUCAUUUAAGAAGACUAUAUUCAAUGAAUUUAUACUUUAAUUUUUUUUAUCAUUAUUGUUAAAUGUCUGUUUUAUAAUAUUUCUAUAUUUAACACAUUAGCUUUUACCAUAUAUAUUUUUAUUUUCAAAAAAAUAUUAAUGGUAAAAUAUAAACUGAAAAUUUUCAAAAUCUAACCAACAAUUUAUUUAUAUUCAACAUUUAAUUUUUAUAAUUCAAGUACAAUACUUGCUAAAUUCAACAUUAAAAAUCCAUAACUUCAUUUUUUUAUCAAAUACCAACUUAGUCUCCAUUUUUAUAUAUGCUUUGUGUUUAUAAAAUUAAAAUAUUUCAUUAUUGAUUAAGUGUUGUUUUUUCUGUUAAAAAUAAGUCAUCAAUUUGUUUUUAAAUUAUAUUGACAUAAAGUCAGGAUUCAAACCUUGAUAAGUCCUUACCCAGUAAAAGUGCUAAGAAGGUCUAUAUAUUAAGAGUCAUAUUGUAAUUUGCUCCUUCUAUUUAAAAAAUAGGUAAAUUAGUCCAUAUACAUUAGAUCAAAGAUAAACUGGUCAUUCUGUUAAAAAUUUCAUUCAUUUUUAUUGUUAAAAAAUUAUCCUUGUAUGUCAGCAUAAGAUAUUGUUGAAAUAUUUUCAAAUAUUUAUAGUAUCCCAAUAACUAUAAAUGAAUGGGUGUAAUUAAUCAAAAGAUAAAACUUUUGGUCAUUGGUCAAAAGUUAUAUCAUUUGAUUUUUUUUAAAAAAAAGAAUUAUAACUAUUUAAAAAAUAUUAUUUGAAUAGUUACAAAAUUAAAUGAAUAAUUAUUAUUAUUUAUUUAUUCAUAAAGACACCUAUUGAAAGAUGUCUUUAUGAAGAGACAUGAAAAUUCCUAUAAAUAGGAAUGGGAUUUCAUUUGGAAAUCAUAUCAACAAAUUCUAAUAUUAUUUCUUCUCUUCCUUCAUUUUCUAAUAUUAUUAGAUUAUUCUAUAAAGUAUUGCUGCAGAAAUCCUUUGUAGAAAUUGAGUUUUUGUUAUACAUUACUCAGUGCAUAGUGGACUAUUCUCGUCAGUGCAAAACGUAAAUAGUCAUUGGCUUCAUUGUAUCCUCGAGGUUAAUUUGCUUGGAACUCGUUUGCACACUGAAGAUAAGUGGGGGCGAAUAUAACCUUAAAGAUAGUGGCUUGAUACACGCCUUGGAGCCUGUCCUAUUUCUUCUUUUUCUUUUCGAGUUCCGAUCGUGUGUUCGAGUUUUUUCCUUACCGGAGUUUUGUACUAACAAUUUUAAGGUUAUAUUUCAUGAUGACUACCACAACACAUGAAAGUGGAACACUAAGGGAGUUGGCUUCCAACUUUGUUAAACUUGAUCGUUUUGAUGGUGGCAAUUUUCGACGAUGGCAGAAAAAGAUGCACUUUUUGUUAUCAACUUUGAAGAUUGCUUAUGUUUUGGAUACUCCAAGACCUGAAGAGAAUGAAAAUGAAUCUGUUGCUGCAACCCGAGAAAGACAAAAAUGGGACAAUGCUGAUUACAUGUGCAUGGGCCACAUAUUGAAUGGUUUAUCUGAUGGUUUGUUCGACACCUACCAAAACGACGUCACCGCUAAAGAAUUAUGGGACAAAUUGGAGGCAAGAUACAUGAUCGAAGAUGUUACAAGUAAGAAAUUUCUUGUCAGUCGUUUCAAUAAUUAUCAAAUGGUUGAUGGUCGUUCUGUUAUGAAACAAUUUCGUGAUAUUGAAAAGAUGCUGAAUCAAUUUAAGCAAUAUGAUAUGAAAAUGGAUGAAAUGAUUGUGGUAUCCUCCAUAAUAGACAAACUUCCUCCAUCUUGGAAAGACUUUAAAAGAAGUCUAAAACAUAAGAAAGAGGAAAUAUCUCUUGAGGCUUUGGCAAAUCAUCUUCGUAUUGAAGAAGAGUAUCGAAAACAAGAUCAGAACCUAAAUUCUGAAAAUGCCAAAGUACAUGUUACGGAGGAAGUACAGACUACUAAACCAUUCAAGAGAAAGUUCAAUCAGACUGAUAGAGCACCUAAGUUCAAAAAGAAACAAAAGGGCUCAUGCUAUCAUUGUGGAAAGCCGGGACAUUUCAAGAAUGAAUGUCGAUUUUUAAAGAAGAAAUCAUCUUCUAAGGCUGAUAAUAACGAAAAGUUCGUUGCAAUGAUAUCUGAAAUUAAUAUGGCACAAGAUGAUAAUACAUGGUGGAUUGAUACCGGAGCAACCAAACAUGUGUGCAAAGACAAAAGCAUGUUCACAAAGUUCACACAAUGUGAAAAUGACAAUGUCUUGUACAUGGGAAAUUCUUCCACCGCAACAAUUAAAGGCAAAGGGUCUGUUGAACUACAAUUCACUUCUGGAAAGGUUUUAACCUUAAAUGAUGUAUAUUAUGUACCAGAAGUUAGGAAAAAUUUAGUGUCUGGAAGUCUGUUGAAUAAGUUUGGUUUCAAACUUGUUUUUGAGGCAGAUAAGUUUAUUUUGUCUAAGGGAGGAAUUUUUGUGGGAAAAGGGUAUAUGUAUGAAAGCAUGUUCAAACUUAGUAUUAUUAAUAAGAAUAAAAAUACUAUUUCUGCUUAUAUGGUUGAAUCAUUUUGUUUGUGGCAUUAUAGAUUAGGUCAUUUGAAUUAUAGAAAAUUGAAUGACAUGUAUAAAUUAGAUUUAAUUCCUGUUUUUAAUAAUAAUAUUGAAAAAUGCAAUACCUGUAUGUUGACUAAAAUUACAAGAAAUCCUUUCCCUAAGGUUAAAAGGAAAACAAAAUUGCUUGAUUUGAUACAUAGUGAUUUAUGUGACUUGCAUAAUACUCCUACAUUAGGUGGAAAAAAAUAUUUUGUUACUUUUAUUGAUGAUUGUUCUAGAUAUUGUUAUGUAUAUUUAUUGCAUUCAAAAGAUGAAGCGCUUGAUAAAUUUAAAGUUUAUAAAUCUGAAGUUGAACUUCAGUGUGAAUCAUUUAUCAAGUGCUUAAGAUCGGAUAGAGGUGGAGAAUACUAUAAUCCAAGUUAUUUUGAACUCACUGGAAUUGUCCAUCAAGUUUCAGCCCUUUACACACCACAACAAAAUGGUGUAGCUGAAAGGAAAAAUAGAGUCUUGAUUGAAAUGGUAAAUUCAAUGUUAUCAUAUUCAGGUCUUGGACAGGGUUUUUGGGGAGAAGCUGUUCUAACAGCUUGUUAUAUAUUGAAUAGAGUUCCUAAUAAGGAAACUAAAAUAACCCCCUAUGAACAAUGGAAGAAAAGGAAACCAAACCUUAAUUAUUUAAAGGUUUGGGGUUGUAGAGCUAUUGUAAAAGUUCCAACACCUAAACGUAAAAAGUUAGGUGAAAGAGGAAUUGAAUGCAUAUUUAUAGGUUAUGCACAUAAUAGCAAGGCAUAUAGGUUCAUAGUAAUUGAACCAAAUGAUUCAAUUUCAAUUAAUACGGUUAUUGAAUCAAGAGAUGCUAUUUUUGAUGAAAAUAGAUUUAAUUCUAUAUCAAGACAAUUACAACCAUAACAAUUGAUUCAUUCUUCAAAUGAGAAUGAGAUUCCAUUGAAACAAAUUGAUAAUAAUGAUGAAUCUUGUCAAGAAUUAAGAAGAAGUAAGAGGAUUAAAAAGGUCAAAGAUUUUGGACUAGAUUUCAUUAUGUUUCUUGUAGAAGGAAAAAGUGAAAGUAUAUGCAAUAAGAUACCUUAUUGUUAUAAUACCAAAUCUGAUCCUAUUACAUUUGAAGAAGCAGUGAAAUCUCAAGACUCUGCUUUUUGGAAAGAAGCAAUAAAUGAUGAAAUGGAUUCAAUAAUGGGAAAUCAAACUUGGAUCUUAGUUGAUCUUCCACCAGGUUCCAAACCAAUAGGUUGUAAAUGGAUCUUCAAAAAGAAAAUGAAGGUCGAUGGAACCAUUGAUAAAUUUAAAGCAAGGUUGGUAGCAAAAGGUUUUACACAAAGACAAGGUAUUGAUUACUUUGAUACCUAUGCUCCAGUAGCAAGAAUUGCUACAAUUAGACUAUUAAUAUCACUUACCUCUAUAUAUAAUUUGGUUGUUCACCAAAUGGAUGUUAAAACUGCAUUUUUAAAUGGUGAAUUGGAAGAGGAAGUGUACAUGGAGCAACCGGAAGGAUUUGUUGUUCCAGGACAAGAGCAUAAGGUAUGUAAGCUUGUUAAAUCUUUAUAUGGGCUUAAACAAGCACCAAAACAAUGGCACCAAAAGUUUGACAAGGUUGUUUUAGCUAAUGGCUAUAAAAUAAAUGAAUCCGAUAAGUGCAUAUAUAUAGUAAAUUUGAUAAUGGAAAGGGUGUUAUAAUUUGCUUAUAUGUAGAUGACAUGCUCAUUUUUGGCACGGAUUUGGAACAAAUAGAAAACACAAAGAAAUUCUUGUCAAACAACUUUGCUAUGAAGGAUAUGGGUGUAGCAGAUGUUAUUUUUGGGAUUAAAAUAACCCGAGAUGAAAGCACUAUAGCUUUAUCACAAUCACAUUACAUUGAAAAUAUGCUUAAAAAGUUUGAUCUUUUCAACUGUAUACCAGCAUCUACACCCAUGGAUCCUCAAUUAAAAUUAGUAUCUAAUGCUGGUAGGAAAAUUGAUCAAUUGAAAUAUGCAAGUCUAAUUGGUUGGCUUAUGUACAUAAUGACUUGUACAAGACCAGAUAUUGCAUAUGCUAUUGGAAAAUUGAGUAGAUACACAAGUAAUCCAAGUAGUUUGCAUUGGCAAGCUUUAAAUAGAGUACUUAGGUACUUAAAGAAAACUAUUAACUAUGGAUUGUGUUAUAAUGGAUAUCCUCCAGUUUUAGAAGGGUAUUCGGAUGCUAGUUGGAUUACAAGUUUGGAAGAUCAUGCAUCUACUAGUGGGUGGAUCUUCAUUCUUGGUGGAUGAGUCAUUUCUUGGGGUUCCAAGAAACAAACAUGUAUUACUGAUUCCACCAUGGCAGCAGAAUUUAUUGCAUUAGCCGCUGCAUCUAAAGAAGCAGAAUGGUUAAGAAAUUUGCUUUAUGAUGUACCUUUAUGGCUUAAGCCAAUUUCACCUAUUUCUAUCCGUUGUGAUAGUGAGGCUACUCUAGCAAAGGCAUAUAGCCAAGUAUAUAAUGGAAAGUCUAGACACAUUGGAUUAAGACAUAGUUAUGUCCGACAAUUAAUCUCUGAUGGAGUGAUCACUAUUAAUUAUGUGAGGUCAAGUGAAAAUUUGGCAGAUCCUUUGACAAAAAGUCUUGCUAGAGAUGCAGUAAAAAGGACCUCAAAAGGGAUGGGACUCAAGCCUAUUAAUUAGAGUCACCCAUGAUGGAAACUCGACUCAACGCUUGGUAUAACGUCAAGUCUUGAGUUCAAUGAGACAAAGUACAUCAUUAGUUUGUGACUGUUAGCACUAUAAAUAAAUCCAUCCUAAGAUUAAAGUACUAGGUACCCGUAAUGAUAAGGGAAGGAUGAGUAAUGUACUCUUAAUGGACCCAUAACAUAAAUAUGUUAGAAUGUUAUAAUUACGGGAACACUUUUGAUGGGAUCUACCUAUGUGAGUGGAAGUGUGGCCGCUUCUAGGAGCUUAAGGGCUUGGUUCUGAUAGCACUCAUGAAAAGAGGACAUAGACACAUGGCUAUAAUAGUGUCCCUAGAUACUAUGCAUUGACUGAUGUUGAAAUCAUUGUGUGAGAUGUGUUCAGUUAAUCAAAUGGAAUAGUUGGUUCAAAGCUUAGUCUACCAUACAAUUUCGAUUAACUUUAACAUGUUUUCACUAAGUGAAGGUUCAAUCGUAAGACACCUUUAUUUAUGCAAAUUGAUUUCCAAGAAUAUCAAAAUCUAAAUAUUUUGAAAAUGGGGGGAGAUUGUUGGAAUAUUUUCAAAUAUUUAUAGUAUCCCAAUAACUAUAAAUGAAUGGGUGUAAUUAAUCAAAAGAUAAAACUUUUGGUCAUUGGUCAAAAGUUAUAUCAUUUGAUUUUUUUUUAAAAAGAAUUAUAACUAUUCAAAAAAUAUUAUUUGAAUAGUUACAAAAUUAAAUGAAUAAUUAUUAUUAUUUAUUUAUUCAUAAAGACACCUAUUGAAAGAUGUCUCUAUGAAGAGACAUGAAAAUUCCUAUAAAUAGGAAUGAGAUUUCAUUUGGAAAUCAUAUCAACAAAUUCUAAUAUUAUUUCUUCUCUUCCUUCAUUUUCUAAUAUUAUUAGAUUAUUCUAUAAAGUAUUGCUGCAGAAAUCCUUUGUAGAAAUUGAGUUUUUGUUAUACAUUACUCAGUGCAUAGUGGACUAUUCUCGUCAGUGCAAAACGCAAAUAGUCAUUGGCUUCAUUGUAUCCUCGAGGUUAAUUUGCUUGGAACUCGUUUGCACACUGAAGAUAAGUGGGGGUGAAUAUAACCUUAAAGAUAGUGGCUUGAUACACGCCUUGGAGCCUGUCCUAUUUCUUCUUUUUCUUUUCGAGUUCCGAUCGUGUGUUCGAGUUUUUUCCUUACCGGAGUUUUGUACUAACAGAUAUACCUAACACGCCAUGUGUCACUAUCAAGUCAUUUCGUCAAUUAUAUCAAUUUUUAAUAGAAAGAGACCGAUUUACUUUUUUUAUUUAAUAUAUAAAUAUUAAUUUACACACCUUUUAAUAAAAAUAUAAUUAAAUUUUUAAUACAAAAACCUCCAUAAUACUUUUGUGAUUGCCCGAACAUAUUAUUAUUAAUAAAAUAGGGGUAUAGGAAUACAAAGUCAAAGUGGUAAUAGAAAUUUGUAUAGUAAAAGUUGGGGGCAUGACUACUCCUAUAAAGUAUGUAAUAUUAUACAACAUAUGUAAGAAGCCGAGUUUUUGCAGCCGAUUAGGUUCCUAGUAAAAAUAGAGUACGUGAAGGAACUGAACUCCCAUUCGUACACGUGUCAAAUUAUAAAAUUUGGCAGCCAGCUGGCUAGCCGGUCCCACUUAAAUCCUUUAAACAAGAAAAUAAUAAGGAAAACGCGCCCCUCCCAAUUAUUUACCGUACGCAUCUAACACACACACAUAAUUUGUUUCUCUUCUCUUCUCCUAUUUAUCUUUUCAAGAGAUAUUGACAUAUUGUCUCGCGAGAACUUCAAAGUAAACGCCGUUUUUUUCAUAUCUUACUGGGAAUUGCAAUUUACAAUUACUUGAAACCUAAUUUAAAGGAAAUUGGCUGCCGGUAUUUUUUGAGACACCCGCGGUACAAGCGCGUUUGUACCGGUGAUUCUACUGCGGGAUUACCGGGAAUUGCCUGUCAACCGUUUGUACCCGGUUGAACUGGUUCUUUUUCUCCAUAUCUAUAUCAAAUUACGCUUUAUCAAUUGUAUUUAAGCAUGUAUAUUGUCCUUUGGGAAAAAAAUCAGUAAAUUAAUUAUGUAUUUUAAGUGAAAAUUUCGCGAUAUUUAAUCAAAUAAAUUGGUUUUUUAUAUAUUAAAUUGUGAAUAGAAAUUUUUAAAUAAAAAAUUAAUAUUUUUUUUAAAAAAAUGAUAAAAUGGGAUAAUUGGGUACUUGGGAACUGAUCAAAGUUAAGGAUAGAACUUGAAUUGGGUAUUUUGGCAUGUUUUACUUUGAUAGAAAAAAAAAUUGAAGCAUAUGGGAAUAUUCAAAUUUCUUUAUCUUAAGGCAUGCAAAAAAUAAAAACAAAAAUAAUAAUAAUUGAUAAAUAAUAAUGAGAAAUUGACGUAUAUACCCUUAAUUGUACCAUUAUUUUUUAAAGCUCAAGCAACUUCAAUCCUCCAUCUAUUUAUACCCAACUCCUUCCUUCUUUUUCCCUCACACCUAAACCCAAACCAAAACUAUAGACAUCCAUUUCAUCUAUCAAACACCCUCCUCUCUCUCUCUCUCUCUCUCUCUCUCUCUCUCUCUUGGCUCUUAAAAGAAAGGCCUUUCUUCCCAUUGAAAAAGUGCAAACAACAAAUAUCAGAAUCAUGCCUGAAGCACCUAAGAACACACUUAAACCUACUACAGAUUACAACCUGGAACUGAAGAACAAGAAAACCCUUCAGUUCAUUGAGGAUGUGACUUCAAACGCUGAUGAAGUUCAAAAGAAAGUCCUUGAAGAGAUCCUUUCACGCAAUGCUCAUGUUGAGUACCUGCAAACACGUGGCCUUAAUGGUCACACUGAUAGAGAGACUUUCAAAAAAACCAUGCCUGUCAUCACCUAUGAGGAUAUCCAACCUCAUAUUGACCGUAUUGCCAAUGGUGAUACCUCUCCCAUACUUUCUUCCAACCCCAUUUCUGAGUUCUUGACAAGGUCAGCAAACUAAGCAACCCUUUUUUCUUUUUAUGCUUAUGUUUUUUUAAAAGGUUUUUCCUGUUUUUGUUUCCUCUCCUCCUAGGCAGGCCAUUUCAAACUUUACCUGUUUUACAAGCACAUCAGUGAUAGCCUGCCUUGUAGAUUUCAUGUUUAUUUUGGUUUUGGCUAAACGGAUGGUCUUGGUUUCUUCUUUGCAGCUCUGGGACAUCAGGUGGGGAGAGAAAGCUGAUGCCAACAAUUGAAGAGGAGUUAGGAAGGAGGUCACUGCUCUAUAGCUUACUGAUGCCUGUUAUGAGCCAAUUUGUCCCUGGUCUAGACGAAGGCAAAGGAAUGUACUUUUUGUUUAUAAAAUCCGAGGCUAAGACACCUGGUGGCCUUGUGGCACGCCCUGUUCUCACUAGCUACUACAAAAGCACCCAUUUCAAGAAUAGGCCAUAUGACCCUUACACCAACUACACUAGCCCAAAUGAAACCAUCCUUUGUCCUGAUUCUUACCAAAGCAUGUACUCUCAAAUGCUUUGUGGACUUUGCCAACACAAAGAGGUCCUCAGGGUCGGUGCUGUUUUUGCCUCUGGCUUCAUCAGGGCCAUCAAGUUCCUUGAAAAACAUUGGCGUCUCCUUUGCAAAGAUAUAAGAACGGGAACCAUUGAUUCCCAAAUCACUGACCAAUCUGUGAGAGAGGCUGUUAUGAAAAUCCUGAAACCUGAUCCUAAACUUGCUGAUUUCAUUGAGGCCGAGUGCAGCAAAGAUUCAUGGCAAGGGAUCAUCACAAGGUUAUGGCCUAAUACAAAAUAUGUGGAUGUGAUUGUGACUGGGACAAUGUCACAGUACAUUCCCACACUUGAUUACUACAGCAAUGGCCUCCCUCUCGUCUGCACCAUGUAUGCAUCCAGUGAAUGCUAUUUUGGUGUCAACCUUAACCCUCUUUGCAAGCCAAGUGAAGUUUCCUACACUCUCGUUCCCACAAUGGCCUACUUUGAAUUCUUGCCGGUUCAAAGGAACAAUGGCGUCACUAGUUCUAUUUCUGUGCCCAAAACUCUCAAUGAGAAAGAACAACAAGAAUUG
rnacentral:lncRNA from 1 species